UCCUCUCUCUCUCUCUCUCUCUCUCUCUCUCUCUCUCUCNAGAGAUGUGAGGUUGAAAUGAUGGUGGUAGGUGGUGGUAAGUGGUGGUAGGUGGAAUAAUGUUUAAUCCAAUGGCUAUUAAUAAUUAAAAAGUAGAUCCAGUGGCUUAAAACCUAAUAGCACCAUGAUGGUGAUACUUGUAAAAGUAUCAUAGCUCAACUCUAUAUAUAUAUAUAUUAUAAAAUUCUAAAUUUUGGAUAUCGAAAUUUUAAUUUAUUUCCAAAUUUUCAACUUCAAAAUUUAAAAUUUUAAAUCCUAAACUAUAGAAAUUUUUAGCUAUUUUUCUAAAUUGCUUUGUUUCAUUGCCUACCUACUAUUAAACCAAUUAGAAUACUUCUUCAUUUUUUCUCAUUUAUCUUUUGUAAAUUCAAAUUUUAAAACAAAUUAUAUCUAAAUUUAAAAAUGUAUUACAAAAUUAAAUAUAUGUUCAUAAAUCUUAAAAAAUAUGAUAAAGUCGGUCAAUUAAGAACCUACCAAUGAAGUAACUUCGACAAAAAUUAUCAGAAUAGUUGUAUCUUUUAUACAAACUGGCUUAAAAAUAAACAUAUUAUAAAUAUUUCUUUUGUGUUUAAGAAACUUUUAAAAAUUUACAAAAUGUGAAGAACCUAAAUCUGUAUGUAUAUACUAUCGUAUCCGCGGCAAAGCGCGGGUACAUCGCUAGUAUAUCCAGAAAGUACAAGCAUGAAAACUUGGAUCGCUAGAGAAGUUGACUUAAGAUUUAUCUACAAUCCUAUUUCCAAUCCCUGAUCAUGCUUACCACAAUUACCUAGAGAUCAGAGUAUGUUGUUACUCCACUAUAAAGGCAUAUAUACUAUCAAUAAGAUGCUAUUCAGAUGAAUGAACCACCAAAUAAAUAACACAGUAGCUGCACAUGUCAGUGUGAGAAACUAAGCAUGCAAUAUAAAUAAAAUGAUCUUACUAUUCAAACAUUCCAUUAAUCCUAAAUCCGAAAUAUAAUUAAAAGAAAAUUGGAAGUUGGCUGUGGUGGGGCCAACUGGUCAAAACCUUCUCUUUUCCACUUUUUCUUUCUUUUAAGCUCCAUAUUAAAAUAUAAUUCCUUGUUUCUAGGACCCUGUUAUUUGUUUUCUAUUUUGAUUCGGUCCAUACAGAAAAGCUAAUCGUGAGCACAUUAUAUGUUUAUUAUUUUUUUGGUUUUGUGGGCAAGGAAAAAUAGAUUAGAAAUAUAUGGGUUUGGUUUUUUUUUUUGUUAUUUAUCUCUUGUUUUAUGUUGUUUGUCGAGUUAUUAGGCGUGUUAUAGAAGAGAAAAAUAAUUUUAUAUAUAUCAAUGGGCUAUAUUUAUAUGCUUAUUACGUUUAUUACAUGACAUAUUGUUUAUGCCUAAAUGAAUAGAAAAAAAAAAAAAAGCAUAGAAACUAAGACGGUGGUGCCAUAAACAUAACUCAGCAUCCUAUAAUUUUUUUGAUCGCAAAUGUAAAAGCCAUAUCAAGGGUGUUCUGAUAUCAGAUAUUUCUAGCUCCGGAGGGAAUAAUGUUUAGGCAUUGCUUAUUUGUCAAAGGAACAGAGAGAGAAAAAAGAAAAAAGACAUUUUGAGCUAGAGAAACUGAUAGGAAAAUGCAUGGUGCGGAUAUUUUACUUCUCAAGGAUGAACUCUCGGAUUUCUAUUCCUGUAUGUCGGGCACCGCCCUGCUUUCGCACUAGGAUUUCGUCGCCAACUUUUAGCGACGUCACAGGAAUAACCAUGCUUGUGUUGUUGCCUUCUGCUGACAAAUAAAAUAGCCAGACAAAUUGGAGCGCAGAGCUAAAGAGAAUUCGUUGAGAUGUCAAGAAAAGUGAAAUUUAAGAAGAAAUCACCUUCGCUGGGACAAACAAGACCGACGGUUUCUGCAUUCUGUAGAAAAAUGCUGUAGGUCUCUUCUCCUAAAUUUUCCUGCAGAUGCAUAGUAUUUUUGAUGAAAUCAGAUGCAAACUAUUUACAAAAUUAUCAGUAUUAGCUGCAAAAUACGAAACUGCAGUGUUCUCCUAGCAAGUAAAAGCAGCCGAGCUUCAUAAAGAAAAAACUGACAUUGUCACAGCAUUUCUGAAAAGAACAUCAUAUAAACCCACCCCUUUCUUACCGUGCUCAUACAUGCUGUUAAGUAUAUAAUAGCAUUAAAUUUGUUAUGGCCAAAGGAUGUUUCUGUAAACAUGUUGAAUAAUCUUCACUGAAGAUAAAAAAUGAGGGGGACAAGCAGUAAAAAACCUUAGCCUCUACAAGGACGAGGGGUCUCGAUUCUAUUUUCACACGGCCCACAAUAGCUGUUCGCCACAAACCACUUUGAUCGACCACCGUCACUUCUUUACCAGCACGCAGCUCAGAGAGGUAGCAGGUCUUCCCCCCAGGUACUGCAAGGUAGGCGUGCACAGGCCCCUACAGAUUGGGAAUAAAAUAUAGUAAAAGGUAUAGAUAGUCCCUCUACAAUUCCCAAUUUUCUGUUUGGUCAGUGAACUUUUUGUGUAAGCAUUUAAUUCCUAAACUUUCUCACAUAUAGCAAUUCCAUCUGUGAAGCCAAACACUCACUGCAUUAAUCCUGAAUGGCCUGCUUGCAAUGUAGUUUGUCUCUAAACAUUCUGAGUGAACCAAGAACAAACCUCUGGCAAAUGAACCAACCUAAAACACGCGCAAGCAUUACCAUGUAUAUAUAUGCAUUUUUAGAGGGAGAGAGGAAAAAAAAAUCAAACAUACAUUGAUACAUAGCAUGAAAUUCAGGUAAAGAUGCUAUGAAAUGCAAAUUAAUGAAAUUAAGUGCAAUCUGCAAACGGAAAAGCAUAUAUAAAAGAGAAGGAAAACAUAAGCUUCGAUACUUAAAUACAUGUAUUGAUAGAGAUAAACGCAAACCAGAAGGCCUUCGCCAGGUCGCAUGACACUGCAAAGGUCCACACAAACACGAUCACCCAUUCCGACCACUUCAACGUUUGUUAUUGUGGCUUUAGUCAAAGCUAACCGACUACUGACUUCAUUCCUCCUAUUAAAAUACUCCUGAUUACAUCAACCAAAAGAAAAAGAUAGUUCACUAAACCCACGAAAGAGUACUUAACAAGUAUGAAUGAUGACAGAUGAGUGCUUUUUCAAUAGGAGAUUAUACAAUGAGUAAUCAACUGAAUGAGGCUUAUUUAUUGCCAUCUGAAGUAGGAAAAGAAAAUCACAAGUCGAGGAAAAUAAAAGAUCUCCAAACUACGUGAGAAGAGGAAUUACCUUUAGUUUAAGGAUCUCUCCGGUGUCUUCAACUUUUAGCACUACUCCAUCAAGACCUUGCUCCAAGGCCUACAAAUAUAAAAUAUAAGUUUUAGAAAAUACUUUCUCUAAGAACAAGUUUGAGUAAGAACCACUCAUAAAACGUAUGAGAAAAUUUUCCCUUAUAUACCUCGAGAAACACUUGUGCUUCUGUUGAAGUUGUUGCAACAGCCAAUACAGUCCUCUUAAAGCCGUGGAAUGCUGCAACUAUGUUCUCUGCAGGUAUCACCUAUACAGUGUUAAAAGAGUAUGUCAUACUUGUUUCUUAAAUACCAUGCAGAUAGUUUCAUUUUUUAUCAAUAAAAGUCAACAGUUUGAUGGAAGUAAUUAAAAAGUGUGAUAUCAGAUCUUAGCCACACUAUCAUAUUAAGGUUGUAGAGUCCCAACCAAUAAAAGAAAACAAAAAAUCCUUGGUAAGCGAUAACAAUAUAACAAGCUGUAUAAAUGAGCCUGAAUCAAGUAUAACAUAUUCUAUAUGUAGGUACUUGGUUCAUACCUCGGCUAAUCGAAUCUGGUUUUCUUUUUCUUUUUCUGUUUUUUUUUUUUCUUUUUCGGUGUCAUGUCUCAUUUGAGGCCUAGGAUGCCUCACCCACGUAGCUUAAUUCAUACCUCCAAUGAAUGAAACAGGUAGCGUUCUACCUAUUUCUCUAAAAAACAUAUUCUAUAUGUAUAAAAUGUGACUGAGGAAACUCACAAUUGCAGUGGAAUGACGAUUAAUAUAAAUUUGCUAUUAAGCAUUAAGAAUGCCGUCGAGGGUCUAAAUUAAAUCAACAGGGCAAACAUAUCACAGAUUUAGUUGCAAACAGAUAUGUCGUUCCCUCGUAUAAAUGAUGAAAUGAUGUUUUACUCAUGAGAUCAGCAAUGUGUUUCAAACCUGCCAUUCACCCUGAAAAUUGAUAACCAAGUUAUCGACUUCCAUGUCAUCUGGUCGUAUAAGUUCUAAUUCUCGUGGAGAUGAAACACCAUAAAACAUUCCGACAUUUAGACCUUGUUCAUCAAGAAGCUUUGCACCAUCAACAAAUAGAGGAUGUAUUAAAGCAGUUGCUGCACAAACCACAAACACCUGAAUGUUACAAGUAUAUGGCACUGAAUUUAAUCCCGUAAAAACAAGUUUCUCGAACAAAGAUAACUUCCUAAUAAGAUUACGUUCGUGAGAACAACAUGGCGGUAAGUAUGGUUAAUUUAGCUAAUAUUGCUCCUCUUUAUGAUAUUAACACAGUGUAAUACGCUACGUCCUCGCCACUCGCUUUGAACCAACGCAAAAGGAAACAAGGUGGAGAGCAAAAUAAGACUAGAAGAAUAAAACAGAAACAGGAUCUUAGGGGCAUACAUGCCCAAUCCUGCACAAGUUCUUUGGAAAAAGGUUCCGAGCCGAAGACGAAAAUUCUCCAACCUCUCUAAACAGCCGCAGUCAUCACUUGCCUACUCUCCGUCCAUACCCAGACAAGCUUCGAACCCUCAUUCUUGUUCCCCAACAUAGAGGAAGACAUUUUAAUGCAAGAGGUCACAGGCACAAGAGCUGCAUUAGCUACAUGAUGAUGCAAACAGAAUAAGACACAAGGUCAAAUUGGAGCUACAAUUCCACCCAAAAAAACAAUCUUUUUCGAAGCUAUAGAUAAGGAACAAGUAAAUGAUAACAUGGUAAUCAAUAAUUUGUGCAAAUUUUGGCUUAAAAUUGCGCAAAAAAUAAAUUCGAUUAGCUACAUGAAAGAUACUAAGCAAAACAAAAGAAGGAAAAGAGGUUAAAUUACAGCUAAAUCCUACUAAAGGAGCAACCUUUAUCGAAGAUGAAGAGAAGAAACAAGGAAAUGGCAACAUGGUAAUCAUUAUUUAGUAAAGAUAUUGCAAAGGAGCGGAGAUUGAUUGGAAAGGAACCAAAUUUGACUCAAAACCAUAAACUCGCACUCAAAAAAGGAGCUAGCGAGAGAAGCGAAAACGGCAUUAUAUAAAACCAAAAAAAAGGGGGAAAAAUCGAAAUAGUGGAGAUUGGUGGAGACCGAGAGAGAGAGAGAGAGAGAGAGAGAGAGAGAGAGAGCGCCAUGAGAGGGGCUUAGAGAGGAGGAGGAAGAGAAGAGUAGGUACAUCUCCGGCGAGGAGGGAUCGGGGGCGUUGUCGUUCCGGCGCUUUGACCCGGCGCGAUGGCGAUGGAUCGGAGUGCCAUCGCAAAACCCCGAUUCUUUUUUUUAAAAAAAAAAUUAUUUUUAUUUUUGGAUAUGGGACUGCAUAAAAUGUAUGAUAACUAAUUCAUCGUAAACGAAGCAGGCAGAGCAAGUGACAAAAAGUUUGGUGAUUGAUAUCCGAGAUUCAAAUUCGAAUCCUAAUUAAUUUAUAUUUUUAACUAAAUUUAUUUUUAAAUGAAAUAAACGAAACAGGUAGCGUGCUACCUAUCUCUCAAAAAAUUAAUUCAUUUUUUUGUAAGUUUAAAAUAAAGCAUUAACUAUUCAAACAAUAUUUCUGUAAACAAAAAUUAGUUUAAAAAUUUUAUAUAAAAAGCUUUUAGAUAACACAUUUCUCCAUUAUUUGUAAAAUAAUAUACUUUAUCUUAUGAAUUGUACUAACUAAUACGGAAACAAAUCAUAGAAUAACACAACAAAAAUUUCUACAGAAACUACGAAAACAAGUUUCGAUAUCUUUAAAAAAAAAACACGGAGCUGCUUGAUAGAGACCCAAACAAAGCCCUAAUUAACCCUCUACUUAAUAAAGCACAUAAUUAAUAUGCUCACUCACUCAAAACUCUCACUUCUUAAUGGAAAACUUAUAGAGCAUAUAAUGCUUAUAAACAUCAUUAGGCCCAUAAACUUCAUUCGGAAAGUUCGGGUGGUGAAUUGCAUCAGGAAAAUCCUGCGUCUCGAGGCAUAAAGCGGAAUGUUGCUCGUAAUAGUGCCCUUCUUUUCCUAGCACAUGAUGUAUAAAAUUCGCGGUAUAGAACUGCACCCCAGGUUGGUUCGACCACAAUUCGAGAACACGGCCCGACCGGGGCUCCUCCACGACCGCCACCUUCUUCACCCCCUGCCCGUCCGCGGGCCCAUCGAGUACGUAGUUGAUGUCGUACCCGCCCGGCACGUUAUCGAUCCCACUACCGACCGUCCUUGGUUCGCGGAAGUCGUAUGGGGUGCCCUCAACUGGGGCGAUUUCUCCGGUCGGGAUUAGGUUUCUGUCGACUGGAGUUAUGUGUGAACCAAAGAUUUGGACCAGGUUUUUGAGAAUCGUGCCACUCGCGUGCCCCCCGAGGUUCCAGUAGCUGUGCUGGGCCAAAUUGAUCGGGGUCGGUUUGUUUCGGGGCUCGGCUCGCAUCAUCACGCUGAACGUAUAGUCCUCAUCGAUCUUGUAUGUCACAAACACGUCGAGAUCGCCCGGAAAUCCUGCAUGAAAUGAAAAUAACAAACAUUCAUAUAUCUGUUAUCAAAUUUACUUUUUUGUUACAAAACUUUUUUUUUCAUAUAUACAUGCUAGCAAAUUAAAUAAACACACCUUGUUCACCAUCAAAGCUAUGGUAGUGAAAUGUGAUGUAGGGGAAUUCACCCUCCACUCUCUCUCUAACAUCCCAAAUGACUUGGUUGAAUCCUCUGUGACCACCUAAUCAAAAUUUUCACAAAUUUUAAAAAUAUAAAAACAAAGAUAAAAAAUUAAUAAUUCAUAUAUAAUGCUAUUUAUGGAUGGAGAAACCUCACCAUGAAGUGAAUUUUUCCCAUCAUUUGGGUACAAAUGAUAUGUUUUUCCACCUAGAGUGAAACGCGCUCCGCCGAUCCGAUUCGCGACGCGACCAACCAAUGCUCCAAAAUAAGUUGUCUCAUUCUAAAAUAAUAAAAAAAAAUCGUAUAAGGAACAAGAGCAUUUCGAAAUAUACAUAAAGUGAAAAAAAAAAAAAAAAAGAAAGAAAAAAGAGAACGGUAUGCAUCUUACAACAUAGGAGCCGAUCCUAUCGUACCCGAGAACCACAUCAUCCAAUUUCCCUGCAAAAAAAAAAAAAAAAAAAAAAAAAAAAAGAAAUAAGAAUGAAAAUUGGAAACAAUAUGUGAAAAAAGGAAUGAAAAUAAAUAAUUAAUCCAACCUUUAUUAUCAGGGAGAAUAACGGAGAGAAUAGUUGCACCCCAGCUACUAACUUUCACAGAGAACUCCCCCCUCCUCAACUCGUAUAUCCCCACCACCCUCUUAUUCUCUCCACAGCAUAACCCGGAUAAUAAACCCAAAACCAAAAGAGAGAGGGAGAUAAAUAGUAGUGAAUUAUUAUUAUUCCUCGCCAUGGUUAAUGAUGAAUGUGAAUAGAUAGAGAGAAUAAACAAAAAAGAAUGGAUGAAUGAGGCUUGUGGAGUUUAUUAUUAUUAUUAUUAUUAUUAUUAUUAUUAUUAUCUUUAUUUAUAGAGGUGCAUGAUUUUUGUACGUGUAAUCCCUUGGAAUUGGAAUAACUAAUUCACCGGAUAUCACUCUCUCCUAUUCCUGCUUUUAUUCCCGGAUACGAGAAACUAACCUUAUCCUCCACGAUGCAUGCAAUAUAAUUGACGUGUCAUACAUACGUAUAUAAUUAUAUUAUAAGAUAAGAUUAUAAGAUAUUAUAAAAUGAUUAAAAAAAAAAGUUAAAGGAAAUGUAGGAUGGCUUUUUGUGUGAAUUUAAACUUGAGGUUCGUGUUUCGGACUUUGAGUUUUAAUAUAUGUAGAUAGAUGCUAGAAAAGAUCCUGUGAUUUUGUUACUGUUAUUAUUAUUAUUAUUAUUAUUAUCUUUUAUUAAAUUCCUUUAUUUUUUACUUCCCUUGUGCUGAGCUAAACUAAUAUUUCAAAAUAUUAUUCUGGUAUGGUCUUGGUUGCAUGAGAUGUGAUAAUGGCACUUCCGAAAGUUCCUCAAAGUCCAAGCCCGAUCUUUCUUCAACGUUACAAAAUACAAUAUAGUCACCACCGAAGCCAAUGGGUUUAUGAAAAAAAGAAAAAGAAAAAGAAAAAAAAGAGCGGCUCCCGCGAGUGAAGCUCCGAUCGAACAACGUCUCCCCCAAAAAUCUCUCCUUUACCCUCUCUCUCUCUCUCUCUCUCUCUCUCUCUCUCUCCCCCAAUAAGACACCCUUCGUCCCCAAAUCUAAACCUAGAGCUAGAGAGAGAGAGAGAGAGAGAGAGAGAGAGAGGAGGGAGAGAUGGAUGCGGCGAUGGAUCUGAUGCGGCGAAUCUCGCCGAAGCAGAGCGAGACGGCGUUGUCGGCGCUGUUGUCGCUAUUGCCCCACCAUUCCGCCGAUCUCCUCUCCCAAGUCGACCAACCCCUCCAGGUUCCCCCUCUUUUUUCCGGAUUCAAAAUUUCAAAAUUUUCAAAAUUCGGGUUUUGCUCAUCAUGCAUUUGCGCCUUCGAUCUCGCGAUCCCGAUACCAAAGUUGCCACCUUUGAUCUGUUUCCGAAAUACUAUCCUACCAGGUUCCCCCUUUGUUUUUUUUUACGAACUCAAAUUUCAAAUUUUGAAAUUUGCGUUUUGAUCGCGGUCCUUAUCUCCAAAGUUGCCACCUUUGAUCGGUUCCCAAAUGGCUCCCCGCUUCUUCGUGAAUGUCCUUUAUCCUACCUGUUGUGUUUGUUCUAGGGUUAUAAGUUCAAUCCUUUUGGGAGCAACUUCCUCAGCAAGUUCCCAUUUGGGCACUUUCCCCUUUUUGAGACGAUUCUAUUUGCGUGUGUUUGGUUAUUGGGCACUGUUGAUGGAUUUAAUUAUCAUAAGGAGGCUUUUUUACCUUUAAAAGAAGAAAAUUUUCUACUUCUUACUUUGAUGCUAGAAUCAUUUAAUGGUCCCUGAUUCUAAUAUUAGGUUAACCCCAGUAUCAAUGUGUAAAUUCUAUUCAUAGCAUAUAGGGAUAUCCAUGAGCUGAUGUUCUGUCUCCAAAAAAGGAGAGCAAAAAACAAAUGAGUUUGCUUUCACUUCAUGUUUUGAUAACAAUGUAUCGCGCCCAUAGAAGCCAUAUAUUUACUUGCCCUAUUUGCACGAUUGCUAUAUGUAAGCAAAGAUGCUUCCUUUCUUCUGUUCUGUUUGCUUGCGACCACAACAAUUAUCUGAAUUCCCAGUUUUCCAUUGAGGGUGCAGGUUUGUAUGGAUGAGGAGUCGAUGAAGGAGUUCAUACUUUGUGAAUACAAUAGGGAUGCUGAUUCCUAUAGGUAAGCAACUAGAAAUAAUCCUCGGAGCGUAUGAUUGUGGGAGCGGGUCCAGAUAAUUAUUUCGGAAUUUCCCGCAAUUUUGACCUUUGAUGUGCGUAGCAGUAAUUUCUAUUUUGUUUUGUGUUUAUUUCCUUCGCUUCCAUUAACAGAUCGCCAUGGACGAACAAAUAUUACCCGCCUUUAGAGGAUGGGCCACUCCCUUCUAUUGAGUUGAGGAAACUCGAAGUUGAAGCAAAUGAAGUUUUUGCUGUUUAUCUUGACCAGUGAGGUUCUUUACUUUAUUCGUAUUCAACAUAAUUACGAUUCAUUCCCGAGUUAUUUAUUACUCUUCUUUCUUCCCUUAAUAGUGAGAAAGGAAAGGGAAAAUAGCUUUGAUUUGCUAUUCAGUUGUCUAAAUUUUGGUUCGGCAUUAGGAUAGUGAAUUUCUACAUCAGUUCUCAGUUACUGAGCAAUACCUUUCUCUUUAUGUAUAGGUAUUAUGAAGGAGGUGUCUCGUCGGUGUACUUGUGGGAAGAUGAUAACCAGGGCUUUGUGGCAUGCUUCUUAAUAAAGAAAGGUCUAAGCUUCAGUGCCAAUGCAAUCUCUUUCCUUUUGGUGAUCUAUUGACUUGUCUUAUAUUGACAUGCCGAUUUUCCGGAAAUUAGAUGGGUCGAAGACGGGGCAUGGCAGAAGAGGAUACUUGCAAGAGGGUUCGUGGGAUGCUAUUCAUGUAAUUGAGGUAAAGCACUAUUUACUGCUGCAUCAAUUCUUACAACUACUAGAAUCACUAGAGAGGACUUGUUUACUAUCACCUAUGUUGAGGCAUGCAAACAGAUUUAGAAUUAAUUCAAAACUUUCCAGGUGCAAAACGAAUAAAAUGACCGCUGUGUGAACAAGCCUGUACCGUCUACCAUAUAACUGUCUUCUAGUAUAAUCUGUUCUGGGCACUAACAACUGUCUUUUUUUUUUCUUCUUUUUUUUUUUUCUCUUAAGGGUGGUGCUAAUAACUGUUAGAUAUGUAUUUACAGGUUGGACCAGAGGAAGAAGGAACAGCUCGUUACUGCUUAACCAGUACCAUCAUGCUAUCAUUGACAACGGAAAACAAGCCAUCAGGAACUUUUAAUCUCUCGGGAUCGAUCAGGAGACAGGUAUUUGAGUUAUUUAUAUAUGUAACGAUGUUUCCUGCAAGAGGUGACUUUUCGUGUCUCUUGUUUUCCAAAACAUGGUGUAGAUUAAUGUGCCAGCUAGAGUGUGCAUUACUACCUAGAUAGAAUGAUUUACCAAUAAAUUAAAUGGGAGUAGCUUCGUGCCAGUUUGCUUUGCUAGUGCAUGACUCGCUUGCAUUUGAAGUAAAGAAAGUUUUAUUUUCAAAGCGAGGAAUAAUUGCUUGAAAGAUUUUGGCCUAGUCUUUCGCACUUGCUUUUAUGGGAUUUUGUUAGCACCUUGAUAUCUCCGAAAGCUUGUAAGGAAUUUGCCUGUUCAUUGCCUUUUUGUGAACUUCUUUAUAAUCAUUUUAUCAAAAUGCCUACAUGUCUUUUUACCAGAUAUCUUCAACCAAAACUCUACUAGUUGACUCGGAUUCUAUUGGUAUUUCAGAUGAAUCUUAAUCUUUCAGUGGCAGAGGGUCAUCUGUGUAACAUGGGGAGAAUGAUAGAAGAAAUGGAGGGUAAGCUGAGGAACUCACUUGACCAGGUAAAUAUUUUGCUCUAGUGUGACAGGAAUGAUCACUUCCAUUUACUCUUUGUGAUCUCUAAUCUCCCGUAAAGCAUCUGUCGUAGAUUUCUUAAAUCUCAUUGUAUUUUUGAUAGGUAUAUUUUGGGAAGACAAGAGAGAUGGUGUGCACUCUCCGGCCGCCACCCGAGGGAGUUCAGAUGAGGCUGCCCGAAAGCCGGUCAAUAUAACAUGCUGCAAUCAUUUUCCACCAAAAUUGAGAUGUUCUGUAAUAUAUUGAGAAAUUUGUGCUCUUUCUUUUUCUUUAAUUCUUUUUUCCGCCUCUUUUUUGAGUUUGAGCCAUAGCAGUGUUAAAAUCUCAGUGCAGAAAUGAGGGAAAAAAAUGAUUCUGUUGCCGGUUCGUUCGCCGAAGCUUUGUUUAUACAACAAAGUAACACUGAGUUGGAAAGUGACAAAGGAAUCCAUUUGAUAAUACUUAAGAUAUUAUAUUAGUUGUGGCUUCUACUACAUUGCAUAGUUUAUUUUCUGGUUUGUAGAUCAAUUAAUUUAUAUUGUAAGAUUGACAAUUGUCCAUGGCAAAAUUUUACUGGGGAAGGUUUUAUUCCAAAUGGACUAACUAUGUUCCAUCUAUUAUUCAUCAAAUUUGGAAUUAUGUCCUUGAUUUAAUACUGCUAUUUUAUAAUAUUUGAUUGGCCCAUUACUGAUUUUACAUGAUAGAUGUUUACAAAGUCACUAUACAGAUAAGAGAUGAACAUGGUCUAGCUUCUAGAAAAUAGUAAGUAAUAUUUCAUGAACAAUCAAGUACAUGAUUAUUCUGUUAAGUAAUACUUCUUGUGUUUUUAUAACCAAAGAAACAGCAUUCUAACAUACAAGAAAAUAAUUAGUGCGAAAAGGAAUCACUGAUAAAAAGAGAUUUCUAAAACUGGAAAUAGUAACAAAUGCUUAAUUCUUCCAUGCCUCAUGUGCCAAAACAUACUCAACCUCACUUCAGGAGAAUGCUAUACAGUAGUUAGUGACACAGAAAAUCUCAGCUUAUAAAUCUAAGUUCAUAAAUUCGCAAAAAGGAUAUACACACAUUGAAACAGUAUGACUUUGACAAAUAUUGUUUUUUUUAUACGAAAUGCGCAUCCUCUCUAUGCCUGAUUCAUCUACCAAUACUCAUAAUUAGUGUCAAAAAAGCACAAAAUGAAUCUUAUCAACUCAAACACACAACUUUCACCAGCACUCGUGUUCUUUCUCAGUAGAAGGGAUCUACAAGGCAUCAGAAUCAUGGAACUUCACAAGUGUGAACUAUAAUACAAGUCGCGAUCUCAAGCCACAUCCCUUUAGUCCCAUGGAACAUUAAUUCUCUCUAUCUCAAUGCUGAAUCUGAGUUGCUGAAGCGAAAAAGUCGGGGCUCGGAAGGGACCAAGUCAAAUUGCUAGAGGAGAAAACUUGUCAAUGCCGAUAGUUUUCCUACGUAAUUAGCGACAAUAUCAUUCCCACCGUUCUCAUUCAAUCGCUAUUGUAGCUGGUGAAUUUGUCAAUUUUACUGAUAAUUGUUAACAAUAUUUUGGAAAGGGCAUGAACAUAAAUCUAACAGGAGAAACAGUGCAGUAAUAUUACGAUGGAUCACGAAUAUACAAUUGGUUGAUUUACUUUCAUAAAGAGAGUUCCAUCUUAUUAUCUCAAAUGCUUUGUGACUUUAGACAAUUAUAGGCAUCAAAUGAUUGAAACCAAAAAGUGAAAAACUUUAAUAAAUGGGUUGAACAUGUCUAAUGUAGCAUAAGGAAUAAUGCAAACUUUAAGUAGUAGUAAAAGGGGAACAAAAAAGCACUUCUAUUAUAGAAGCAGAAUAACAUAAUUGGCUCACAUUGUCGGCCCAUGCGCGCACUAUAGAACUAAAACCAGCACAAGUUCAUGUUAGCAACUCAAAGUGUGUGGACAAUAAAGCUUGCCCACUGUUAUUGUAGUUGUUUACGAACAUUUUUUCAUGAUGUACGGGAGCGUUGUUUAUGUAUGAUUCAACAUAGAACGCAGGAAAAGAAAAGGUUUAUAGAGGAAUUCGCUACUUUUUCUUUUCCCCCUUUAUGUGACAGAUAUAUGAACAAAUUCAAACUUCAUACUGCAGGAUAGAAAGAUAUAUAAGAAUUUGUGAUUCACAUCUUAAUGGCGGCAAAAAUCGCUUCUAACACCAAAAAGGCGAGAUUUUGAUUCAGGGAUUGAAGCAAUUGGGAGCCAAACUUAAAGCUAGAUUUUAUCAAUACAAUUUCACACAGAUUUUAAAACGAUAGUUUAGAAACUUUUAUAUGGAAACAAGUUGUUUCAUUUUUAUUGUACUUAAAAACUUUGGGCCGUAAUUGGACCCCAAAGUGAAGUACAAAGUCCAAACCAAAAUAUGGGCCUGUAGUAAAUAACUCACUGGGCUCGACUCAAAUCCAAGAGCAAUAUACUCGGAUCGGACCAUUCAUCGGACUAAUCCAACAUCGCCCGGAGUCUCCCACUAUCAGUAACUUCUUCCAGUACCUACGCUAAUAUAUUAUCUAACAAGUCGGAGUCAGGGGCUCCAGCUGUUUUUUCUAAAUUGUACAUGUGAGGAUCGAACCUCUGACCUCUUUAAUUAACAAUAUUCUAAGUAACAGUGUAGUACUUGUUAACACUAGCUCAACUUUUAGCAAGGGAAAUAACUAACAUAGAGCAUUGUUCCAAGUUGAUCCUCCUACGUACCAUUUCAAAGUUAUGUAAAACGGCUACUAGAAGACAAGUUUCCCCAACAUGCUCUCGUGUAUGGGAAUAUCACUUUUUUAGAGAAAGGGAGGGCUUUUGAACAUUCCUCCAAGUCUCAUAAGGACACAAUUGCUGGUCUCUUUUGGAUUAAUCGACAAAAUAUUCCAGCUACCAUUUCAAAGCGUAAAAGUCAUUAAUUAGAAACAAAGGAGAAUAAAUCAGGGUUUAGCUAUUCUCUGCUUUUAGCGUAAUUACUCUGUGAACUCGCAUGGGUCGAUCCUGUCGCUUCCAAUAAACGGGCCUUCUAAGAAGAGAUUAGAGAACUGAUACGACUACCACGUUGAUAUAGCUCUCUAGAUUGUUGAUGCAUCGGCAAAUCACAUAAUUUUUAUAUUAUAUGUAUCAAUGCGUCAACAAUAUGAGGCACAAAGGUUGACAAAGGGGACAAGUUCCACCGAGUAAUUUUUGUUUUACUAGAGAGGAGUGCACCGGGCCUACGUAUUUAUGGUGGACCAGGCGCGCAGAGCGAUGGUCGGCUGUGGAACGCGGCCAACCCACUGUUCACGACGCGGUUUGAGUCCAACACGAUCCCUCUCAGGUAGAAACUGUUGAGCAGACCUGGUCCACCACGUCAUCCCUAGACCAGUCCAAUGAUCCGUCCUUCGUUCAUCCAUCAAUCCUUUCGAUCGCCAUGGCACAUGGGCAUGUGUUCUAUACACAUAAAGCGAAAAAAAGAAAAAAGAAAAAAAAAACACUACCAUGCAUAAUUUCCAACGAAUGCGUGCCCACCACAUAAGUUUUUUCCAGGGCAAUUAUUCUCUCGCGACCGAGAUGGAGAUUGCAAGCUAAUCACGGGGGACUAUCCACAGCUGAUGUGGUGGACCAGGUCCAGGGAAAACUCUGAUUCUGUCAGGCUACAGCUGUCCAUUCAUUCUCGCAUCUCAUGUUACUCCCACCUAAUUUUAUCUCUUAAAAAAAAAAAAACCACAUAAACCAUGGCGAGAGAUAAAAAAUAUAUAUAUUAAUUCGUCAAAUUCUGAUCUAUAUUUUUUGAUCCAUACAAAUAUAAUAAAUUACAAAUAUUUUUUAUGUAAAAAAUUUUAAUAUUUUUAAAUACGCCUCUCUAGUUUGUUAUCGUUAGAGAAUUAUUUAUAUUUUUAAUUUGCCAUCAUAAAGAUGUCUCUCUAAAAAUCAUAACAGUAUAAUAUAUAAAAAAUAAAAAUAUUAAAAACUAAUUAGAGUUAAAUAUUUAAUAUAUAAUUAAUUAAUUUUUUUCAACAGAUUCUAGCAAUAAAGAUAUAUUUAAAAAUAUUAUAAUUUUUACAAAGUUAAUAUAUAUAUAUNNNNNNNNNNNNNNNUUAAUAUAUAUAUAUAUAUAUAUAUAUAUAUAUUAAAUUUACAAAAAUUAUAUUUAUAAUUUAUUAUGUUUGCAGUGGUCAAUAUGCAAUUAACCCAUAUUUUUUAGCUGGAGCAAAUUAUAGCCUUUGAAAGCCUUUGAAGUGAUACCCUUUUCCCCUACUCCAUAUUAUAUCUAUAUAUAUAUAAAUACCCCAGCAGGAGCGUUUUGGAACUCCCUCUUUUCUCAUGAAAUUCUCCGCCCUAAUUAAAUUUCUCCUUUUACUUCACAACUAAGAGAAAGGGGUCGAUAUACACACAGCUAGCUUCUACGUACUAAGUUCUCAAAUAUAUCAAUCAUAUGAUGGAGAACAGCAAAGAGGUACUACUAAGCUCGAUCCGAUCCCCCCUUUUUCUCUAGCUUUCUCUUCUUCUUCUUUUUUUUUUCUAAAUUUAAAUCUUUUUUUUCUUUUCUUUCUUUCUUUCUUUUUUUUACUUAGAAAUUGAUAUCUAAACUUCAAGAAAUUAAAAAAAAAAUAAUUAUAUAGAUAUAUUUUGGAUUAAGAAAAUAAUAUUAUUGUUGUUUUGGUGGUGGUGGUGGUGGUGGUGCAGGAGAAUGGGGCGUGGAUGUCGGUGCCGGCGUUCGGGGAGUGGGACAUGAAGAACGGGCCGCCGGACUACUCGAUGGACUUCUCGAAGAUUCGGGAGAUGCGGAAGCAGAACAAGAAGGAGCUCUCCCGCUCCAGCAUCGGCAACGACGACGACCUCCUCUCCCGCCAAAACCAGCCCCACCCGCCUCCGCCCCUCCAGCCAACCCACGCCCGCCACGUCGACGCCGCCGCCCACGACCACGACCACGACCACUCCCCCACGGUAAUCACUCUUUUUUGCAAUUUGUUUUUUUAUUACUUUACUUAUUUUAUUAAAAAAAAGAAAAUAAUUGAGAGAAAAAAAAAGAAGAAAUGGUCGUGAAAUUAAUUAAUUAAUUAAUUAAUUAAUGGCGAGUGUCUUCGUCACGCGGGUGCUUUGAUUGGUCGGCUCGGCUGUGUGUCCCCACUCGCUGGCGGUUUUCGACCGUGUUGAUCGGAUCAGGACGGCGCGCGUGUCGCUUUUGUGGAGUGGAAUCUUGGGUCGGACGGAUAUGAUUGUGAGGAGAAGCUAAAACGCGCCUCUUCACAUCUCUCUUUGCAGUAAAGAGAGAGGGAAAAAAAAAAAAAAACUAUAUAUCUCGUUUGUUUACAAACUAUUCUAAUGCGAGAAUUAAAAAAAAAAAAAAAGUGUACAAUCCAAAUGACAUUUAAAUGUUUUUUUUUUAACUUAAAUAUUUAAUUUGAGGUAUGAUUAUUUAUUUAUGUUACAAUUCGCCAAGCAGAAAAGUUUAUAGAGCUUUUAUCGUGACAAAAUUUUAAGAAGUUGCUCAUUCAUUUUAUGUGUUUUUUUUUUUUUUUCAGCGAAUGAUAGCAUACUACUAUUUUGUUUAUUUUUUAAAAGUAAAUUUAAUUAAAAAUAUAAAAUAAUUAAAUUUUAAAUAUGAAAUCUCGAGUAUUAAUUAUAAAUUUUUUUGUCACUUGCGCUAAGAACAGUUUGUCGGUAUAUAUAAAGUUUUUCAUUGCACACAGAAUUGUAGAGAAUCUGCGGCCCCCCUGAAAGGCUGGAUCACGGCCAUGUGUUGCGAGCUACGUCAGCCCAAAUCUAGUGUUUUUUUUUUUUNGUUUUUAGGGAUAGAUAGCACGUUACCCGCUUCGUUUAUUUCAUUUAGAAAUAAACUUAACUAAAAAUGUAAAUCAACUAGGAUUCGAACUUGGGUCUCGAAUACCAACCACCAAGUCCUUUGCCACUUGUUCUGGGGACGGUCGGUAAAUCUAGUGCUUUUCGAAACUUCAAAAGUGUCACUCAUUGACAGCCUAGUAGAGCCAGCUCCUAACUGUUGCUAACGGCGAUGCCAUUAGGAAUGAAUAAACGAUAACGACGCAUCUUAAUAGUUUAUCUACAUUAAAUUAGUCCACUUAAACAUAUCAUGGCUUCGUUGGCAUAGCUAGUGGGGUUUAAUUGCUUACAUUACUAACAGAUGUGAUCUGAUUCAUUGGAGGUUUCGUAUUAUUAGCUUAAUUUAAUGAGCAUGUUGACGCGCUUGUUUUUUGUCUGAGUCGUCUAGUGCUGUAACAUUUGGAAGUUGCAUAGAAAGAUUAGUAAGCAUCACUUUCCCUUGAUUAGUAUGAAAAAGUAUUAUUAUAUUUAUUUAAUGCGUAUCUUAAAUAUUAAUUAAUCAAUCAGGUGGGACAUAAUAUGAUGAAAUCCAUGGAAUUAUUGUCCUUUGUGGAAAGUCUAAUUAAUUCCUCUACGUGGUAUCCAUGUUGUUUCUGCUACUUCUCAUCUCAGGAAGCAAGAGAUGGAGUCCUUGUCCUCUAGGCUCUAGGCCUGUUUGGUCUGACCGAAACUUUUCCAGUAAAAUUGUUGUUUGAGUAUAUACGUGUUUAGAACUAAAAACUUAUUUCAGCUGGGUAAAACUGUUGGAUUAACUGGGCCAGCAUCCUACUCUGUAGUAGGAGAUCAUGUUGGGCCGAUUCAUGUUCGAAAUGACGUGAGGUUAAGUGGGCCGAGUCAUAUUUGAAGUGGCGUGAGGUUGGUUUGGCCAAGUCACAAUCGAGACCUGUGGGCGCUGUAUCUGUACGGUUUAAGUGAAUUGGUUGCGUAUUUCUAAUAGCUCGAGCUUUUGGGAUUAAUUGUUAACGCCAACGAUCCAACAGAAGUCUCUGCGUAUUUUGUUUAUUGUGUGACUCUUUCGUGAAGUUGGUCAACUUUGAGUAGUAAAAUUUUCUUUAAUUAUUGGGGUUUUGUGCUAAUCUAUUCUUGUUUGCUUUUCUGUUUCUUUGAUGCAGGGGAGAAAGAAGUUUAUGAGUUACUUCCAAUGUUGUAUAAGAGCUUGAAGCAUAGUUUCCAUGAAAAGAAAAAAAAAAGGAAAAAAAAACCAUGAUGAGAUUAGUUUUGGGCUCCUUUAUUUGUGUUCUAAAACGGUUUAUUAAUGGCUCGAAUGUUUUAUGUAUAUUGGGAUUUUUCUUCAUAAUCUAAUUUACGAGAGCAUUUUGUUUAUUAUUCAGUAAGAACCCAAAAAAAAAAAAAAAAUCAAAAGUGGUCCUAUGUGAUUUUUGUUGAUUUUGUCACUUGGCCAAAUAAGUGGGUCCUUUGUAUUUAAUUUAUGUUGUCCCUUGGCUCACAAUUGCCUAGCGUGCACGGAACAAACUCUUCACUGAGACUAAUCAGAAACAAGUUGGAUGACAAAUUUGUUUACUAAUUUUUUUUCAUAAAUAAAGGAAAAAUAUUGCCUACAUACAUAAUACUCUGACUUUCUUAUGUUAAUAAGUCUUGUUCUUAUACAUAAAAAAAAAGUCAACCCACAAUCGUGGAAAAAAUGUUAGCUUUGAUUUCAACUUUCAAAUAGAUUUUAUGAUAUGAGAUUGACACCAAGUUUCUUUUUUCUCUUUUUGUCACCUUUGACUGUGAGAUGCAGAGCAAUUCUCCGUGCAGUUCGUUAAAAAAGGGAUUAGGAAUUUAGAACUCGUUUUUUGUUUCAUCAAUGAUUCAUGAACCAAAGGAUUAAUCAGAAAGAUUUUUCUCCAACUCUUCUUCAUUUUUCUUUUUCUUUUUUUGUUCUCUGAUGAUUCUGCAGUAAAAUUUGGACAGUAAAUUAAAGUCACACUCUCAUAAACAGAAGCAAUUUUUGGCCUACUUUUUUUAUGGCAGAUUGAGAACCUGUCAGAAGGUCUUACUUUUCACUGCAGACACCUGAUUCAUUGUCUGAAAUGAACAGCAAACAAAAAUUGUCCCAAUUCCCAGCCAGCUGGCUUGGAAAAUCAUGGUCAAUGAUAGUUUAGAUCAGAAAAGAGAGGAAACCGCGAAUUAGUCGAUACAGAAACGAUUAAAAUCUCAUAACAUGUAUUAAUCAGAGAAAACAAUUUGGAAUAUCAAAUCAGAAACCAGAAAGAAAAAAAGUCGCUCUAGCGUUGAUUGCUCGCUUGCCGACUACCGAUAAGUUCACUGAGUUUUAGCAUUCAAUGCUUCUCUAGAUCAUACAAUCAUACCCUAACAAAAGCAUAGUCACUAAUUUAAACUGUUUCAGCAUGUCCUUGUCAAUUCUGUUGUGAAAAUCUUCAAUAAGUCUCUUAUUAAAUGGUAAUAUCACAGGGUCCUUUCAUCUUUUUGUGACUAUGCAAGCCAAAUUCAAAAAUUCCAAUGUCAUUUCCGAGCAAAUCAUUGAGAUUCCAUUCAAAUGGACAACUGUUGAUAGUGAAAAAUGAACGCAUUCAACUUUCAAUAGAUUUAGGCAAAAAUAAAUUAAGUAUCAAGGUUUGGGCCAGGCAAGGUACCUGUCUGCGGACCCAAAACGCAAUUUGAAGAGAGGCUUGGUGUGCUGGUCCUUGUUUCGGCCUGGGACCAUAAACAUGAGGUACAAAAUAUGCCACUGGUGGAUCUGAAGUGUGCAUGAAGACAUAGACAUCAAUCACUUCAGCAAUGUCCUCAAGGAAAUGAAAGUUGGUUUGCAUUCAGAAGCAUCGAGAAAAGGACGAUCCAAAAAGGCUAGUAAAACAAGCAACCCAAUCUGAUUUCAGUUCCUAAAUAUGAUGGUUAUCCAGUUUGUAAGUUUCCGCUACCCUCUAAUUCCAACAGGUUCUUUCUAACAUACAAAUGUUGCUAACUCCAGAAUUUGAAGUGCAUGAUGCCUCUCAUUCGCAUUGCUUGAAAGAUUUGCUUUCUACCUUCAUGCUAACUAAAAUACAAUACAAAAUAGAACUCAAUGCUCAAUGAAAAGUUGACGAAUUUCAGUCUUUCCUACUUUACAUCAUUUGGAAAAACUUUUCUUUAUAGAACUUGAAUCUUUCCUGCUUGACAAAGGCCAUUAAGAUUUAACCACUAGAAACAAGUCAUGAUGUUGCGUCAAGGCGACUAUACUUUCCCUCCGAUUUCAGUGGAUUUCACGGAAUAAAUAGUAAAAUAAACAUCCCGCAACCUCUGUGAGCAUAAGUUUAUAUUAAUAUCAAAGAAGCUUGAGCUAGCGAAGUCCAUCAUCCUCGUCAAACAACUGAAGUUCAGAGAUAUCAGGGACAGAACCAACGCCUUUCAAUAAUUUUGUCAGCCCAUCCAAAACUGAAUAGAUCAACUCGGCCUGCGGAUGCUCUCUCCCUCUUGCAAUGAAUACAUGCACCUCCUUCAUCACUUCAAUCCAACUGUACCCAGGCUCUUUCACUGCUCCAAUAUGAUCCAUUCCCUUUCUCACCUUCUCGACAUCAACCCACAUACCCUCGGAAGCAAAUAUGUUCGAUAACAAAACGUAAGGCCCGCUAUCUGUGGGGUCUGCUGCCAAAGCCAUUUCAGCGGCAUAUUUUCCUAUUUCAAUGUUACCAAACACUCGGCAUGCACUAAGCAAGCUCCUCCAUACCACUGCAGCUGGUUCAAUCGGCAUCUGUUCUAUGAACUCCUUCGCCACCCUCAACUUACCUGAACGACCAAAAAGGCUAACUACAGAAGCAUAAUGUUCCAUUCCUGGUUCAAUUCCGUAUUUUUCUUUCAUAGAAUUGAAAUGGUAAAGUCCUUCCUCGAUGAGCCCGGCAUGGGCACACGCUGAUAAAAGACCAACAAACGUCACAUAGUUUGGUUCUACUUGCUCCUGUCUCAUGAUCUGGAAAACUUUAAGAGCUUCUUCGGCAAGCCCAUGUUGUGCACAUCUUGAAAUCAUGGAGUUCCAACACACGACAUCUUUCCCACAAGUUGACUCAAACAAAAGCCAAGCUUCUUUGAUGCAACCACACUUUGCAUACAUGUCUACGAGAGCAUUUGAAACAUGAGGGUCGGAAUCUACGCCUACUUUUAUGAUCUGGCCAUGAAACUGUAAGCCAUGGAACAUGCUUGCCAGGUUACUCGCAACAGUUAUCAGGGCAACGAAAGUGAACUCAUUAGACAUCAUUCCAGAAAUUUGUAGCUGGUGGAAGAGUCUAAGGGCCUGUUCACCUUGCUCAUUUUGGGUGUACCCAAAAAUCAUCGCAUUCCAUACAACAAUAUCUCUCUCACUCAUUUCAUCAAACACAGCUCUUGCAUCCUCAACACAUGAACACUUUGAGUAAACAUCAACUAACGCACUACCGGCAUAAAGGUCCAGUGAUAUUCCUUCUUUAAUAAUAAGGCCGUGAAUCUGCUUGCUUAAGUCCACAGCUGAUGCUGAUGCCGACACACCGAGAAGGCUAACAAAAGUCAACAGGGUUGGGGGCAACGAGCGACAUCGCAUGAUAUUGAAUAGAACAAAUGCUUCUACAAGCUCCUCAUGACUAGCAUAUCCUUCAAUCAUAGCAUUGUAAGAAAUCACAUUAUCUUCUGCAAGGACAUCAAAUAGAACCCUCGCCUCAGUUAAAGAGCUACAUUUGGCGUACAUAUCGAUAAGGCCAUUCUUCACAUACUCGUCGAACUCCAAGUUAGCUUUAAUUGCAUAACCAUGUAUUUGUCUCCCUUGUUGUAAAGCCAUCAGAGAGCCACACGAGCUUAAUACGCUUGUACAAGCAAAACCAUCGGGCCGCCACCCCAACCGACUCAUUUCGAGGAACAAGGCCAUCGCUUCAUUAUCACAAGAAUUUUGCAUGUACCCCGCGAUCAUCGUAGUCCAUGAGACAAGGUUCCUAACAACAAUUGAAUCAAAUAACUUGCGUGCAAUCGUUAAUUUUGAGCACUUGGAAUAUAAAUCUAUUAGCACGUUGUUCACGGAAACAUCCAUUUCAGUAGCAACUCUAUACGCAAAACCAUGGAUUUGCCGCCCGCCCUCGAGAAAACCUAAUGCAGAGCAAGCGCUAAUGGCGCUUGAAAGGACAAAUCUAUCGGGCCGAACUCCUUCGUCCUUCAUCAAAUUAAAUAGUUUCAAGGACACAUCGCUCUCCCCGAUUUGUGAAUAACCUGUGAUUACCGCCGUCCAAGUCACCGAAUUCCUAACCGGGAGCUCACCAAAUAUCAACAUAGCCUCAUCCAUACAUCCAAACUUAGAGUAGAAGUUGAUCAACGCUGUACCAACAUAGACAUCGAUAUCAAACCCCAAUUUUAUCACAAGAUCCUGGACUUGGCUAGCAAAAUUAGCGACCUUUGAUUGAACACAGGCGCGGAUCACACUAGCGAGAACGAACUCAUUCGGGCUCUCCGAAGUGGAACUCCGGAAGCGGGAAAAGAGCAAAAAGGCCUCUUCCUCGCGACCCUGCUGCGCGUACAUGGAGAUCAUGGAUGACCAAGAGAUCAAGUUUCUGUGAGGCAUUCGAUCGAACACUUGGCGUGCCGAUCGGAUACCGCCGGAUUUGGAGUACCCGUUCAGGAGGAGGUUGUUUAGGAAGAGAUCGGCACGGAGGCCGGAGACGAUGGAUUGGGCGUGGAUGGGGUGGAGGUGGAGGUGGUGGGUUUGAUUGGAGAUGCAUGUUUGUAGGAGAUGGGCGAGGGUCCGGGGUUUCGAGUACAGGGUUUGAAGUGGGGGUUUAAAUUUCAUACAGGCCCAACGGCUAGUUAGCUCAUUGAGAGUUUGAGGUUAUUUUUGAGGACCCUUCACACAAAAAUUUGGCGCCCGGUGCAAGCAAAUCACACUGCUUAAAUAUUCAAGGGUUGUGACUCCACAAAGGUUCCUUAUAAUAAUGCACAUAUUAAUAUGUAAUAACCAUCUAUAAUUAUUAGAGCAAUACUUCAAUACACCAUAUAAAUUUUGACUAUUUAUUUUUCUUAAUAAAUGAUUGAGAUGUAAAUUUUGACUAUAGACGUGAUUUUCUAUUGAGGCAUAGAUACCAUUCACCAACUAUCUAUUUAAAGGGUAUUUUGGUCUUUACGAAAUAUUUUGGUCCAAAAAGGGGCGGUCGGAGAAUAACAGCUGUGUUAUGUGUAGUGCGGAGCUCGAUAUAGUUGAUCACCUGCUAGUGGGGUGUGUUGUUAGUAAAUUUCUUCUUCUCCCGCACUUUGGAGAAUCCCAGUUCUUCUCCAUUAUUGAGGAUAUCUCCUUCGUCUAGGGGCGGCUACUGGAAUGGCGUCCGCAGACCGACAUUUUGAAGGUUCAGAUAUUGAUGGCGGUCACUUGGUGGAUGCUCUAGCACGAAAGAAACAAUAUUAUUUUUAAAAAUCUACCGAUUGACGUUACCUUUACAGCCCAUCGUAUUAGAGUGUUGGCAAAGAAGCAGACUAAGUUCUGUCGAGCUAGGUGUUUGUUUGGUCGUUAGUGUUCGUGUGUCAUUUUCUCUCUUUAGUUACCUUCUUUCUUUUUUUAUUUUUUCAGCCUUUUUGAGGCUCUAGUUAUCUCACUCUAUGUAGCUAAAUUUAUAUAUUUAAAAUAAAAUAGGUAUCGUGCUACCUUCCUUUCUCAAAAAAGAAAAAAAAAAGAAUACUAUAUUCUUUUCAAAUACCUAUAACAAUAGUUGAAAUUCAAAUUACAUAAAAAACUUAAGUAUAAACCAAAUUCAAUUUUUUUAAAAUAUAAGACACAAAUUUAAAAUAAAUUUAAAUUCAAAAUUUCAAUUUAAAUCAAAAAAUAAAAGUUGGCUUUAAGAUUAAAAGUAUAAUUUAGAUUCAAAAUUUAAAAGUUUAAUAUCAAUUUCAAAAUUAAAAUUUUACAUUACAAUACCAACUUCAAAAAUUAAAUUUAAAUUCAAUAUUUUUUUUUUAGUUUGAUACUUAACAAAUUAGGUAUUAUCUAAUUUAGUAAGUAACAAAAAUAAAUAAAACAUUUAAUAUUUAUAGGACGUUAACAAAUUUAGUAUAUAUUACUAAUUUUUUUUCCAAUAUUAUAAAUUAAUAGUAGCAUGCUGUGCUGAGAUGCUCUGAGCAUAACUUUUAUCUCAUACUCCUUGUUGAUUGAAAUCUCAAGGUGUAUAUGACUUGCAAAAUGUUAGACCCCAAAAAAAAAAAAAAAAAAAAAAAAAAGAGUCUGACCAAGCAUAUGUACUGGGGAAUCACUAGAUUAAAAUGAGAGUUAAGGAAACCAAAGAGAUAAUUAGAGUGGUAAAUUCUAUCUGAGCAAUUGAGGUCAACUCGACCAAUCAAUUAAACUAGAUUGAAGAGUAAAUGGAUCGGAUUUAGAGGAACAAGUUUACUUAACCGGUUAGCGAAUAAGCUCAAUCGAAGGUUGAACUUGAAUCGAUUUUUUUUUUUUUUUUUNUUGUGAGAGAGAGAGAUAGGUAGCACGCUACUCGCUUCGUUUAUUUCAUUAGAAAUAAACUUAGCUGGAAAUGUGAAUCAAUUAGAAUUCGAACUUGGGUCUCAGGUACCAAACACCAAACUUGAAUCGAAUUUGAAUCUAAAGAUCCUCGAAUAGUCCAACAUUUCUGCUCUUUCUUCUUCUUUCUACCUCUUAUUUUCCUCAACUAAUCUUUCAAUUACAUAAAUGUUUCAAUCAAUGUUUAACUUGGACUGAGUCUGGUCCAAACUUCAACAUUGUUAGUUUCGCCCCUGCUUAUUAAAAAGCAGCUUUUAAUUAAUACUUUUGUUUCGUUUUUUUUCUUUCGAAAACUCACUCAAUUUUUCAAAGUAUCAGCAACGUAAAAAGUUGGCCGUGUUCUUAGAUCCUUUAAACUAUAAUAAUAUUUAUCACUAUUGACUAGAAUAAUUAGAUAUUACAUCUUUCUCGCCAGGUAAUGAGACUUAGCUAGGUUUACACCGUUUUGUACACAAAUUAAUAAGUGUGACAAGCGAAUAUCUUUGAGAAAAAAAAGAUACAAAAAAUAAAAUGUGCGACACACGUGUGAAAGCAUCAAAAGCAUGUGCUCUGAAAUCUGAGCAGCCCCGUAAUCAUUCAUAAUAAUAUAAAUAGUACCUUUGAUUGUAAUAAAUUUCAUUAAAAAUUAUCGUGUUAGAAUUUUAGAAACCUUGAGGUCAAAAUCUCACCUCCACCUCUAGACCAAAUGGAUCAGUUCAUAGUUAGAUGGACUCUGAUUUUAUUUCUAUGGCAAAAUUUACAACCAUUUAUAAUCAUUUGUGUUGUAUUAUAAUUAAGGCUUAAUUGUAUAUAUAUAGUUUUCUGUAAACAUAUUGAAUAGCAGAUAUAUUCAUAUAAAAUUUUAAUUUUUUAUUUUUACUCUUGCAAAAGUUCUAUCGUUUUUAAAUAUUUUUUCUGUUGUUAGGAUUCAUCGGAAAAAUAUAGUUUACCAUGAGUGAAAUACUUCAUUCUGAUUAGUGAAUGAGUUAAAUUAACUUUUUUAUCCCCCUAAUAUUAUUGGAUAAAAUAUUUUUUGGGAGCACAUUUUCAUAUAAUUCUAACGUUUAGGUUUUUUGAAGGGAUAUAUUUGUGAGGGCAAACAUGUUAUUUUAUUUAAUUGUUGUUAAAAAAUAAAUAGUGCUAUAUCAGUAACAAACUAGAGGGACAAAUAUGAAUAUUACUGAAUUUUUGUAGGAAUAAAAAUAAAAUUUUAAACUUUGUAAGAAUAUAUAUUUGCUAUUCGAUAUGUUAACAGAGUGUUGUAUACAAUUAUUUCUACAAUUAAAUUCAAUCAAAAUUAUUUAAUAAAGAAGUAAAAUCAAUAAAUUUAUCUAUCAACAAUAUUUUUUUGUUUUUUUUCACUUGGAUCAGAGCGUGUUCUCCACUAGCCAACCCAACCCUUUAAUCUUUUCUCUUUUUUUUUUUAAAAAAAAAAGAAAAUUCCAUCCUAUUCAAUUAACACGUCGUAUAAUAUUCCGCAUGCGGUUGGUCGUGACCCACAAGUGCCAGCUUAGUUUUUGCAAUUAUUUGCCUUUCUUUAAUUGGUGGGCUCACAAUCGUGGUUCAUACCCUGUCACGGUCCAUGGUAUACACUUAUAAUUGAACACCGCCAUAAAUAAACCGUCCAUGAGAUGGGAUGAACGGCUGUAAUAUGAAGGCGCGCGUUUUACGGAUGAACCGAGUUUAGCAAGAAAUUUGUACGGUCUUUGGAUGUGCGCCGGUCUAGUCGCCCCCUCCCAUUCCCACACCCGAAAUCAGCUGCAUCGUGUCGAACAGGCUACAGCAGAAUGAAUCUACAGGCUUACGUGGCACGAUACCAUUGAUUGCAAUCGGCCACGUCAUCUAUUUAUUUCCCCCAGUUGCCCAUCGAAGCGCAUACUACGAAACGCAUAGAAACUCCAAUGCGAGUUCCCAAGUUGAUCCCUCGCGUCCAUCUAGCUCAGGCAAUCGGUUAGCUCAGAUGGACGGUUGAUUUAACGCCGCAUAAGAAACUCUCUAUGCGGUUUAUCCGUUUAUCAGGAGCGGUAGUUGGAGUCAUGUGGUCAAACGUGGCAGAUGUUUUCUCUCUCCUUAGACCGAGAACCCACCAACCACAGAACUUCAGUGACGAAAUCACCCUCCACUUUAUAGAUAAGUACGGAAUGAUCCCCUCUCUACCUUUAAAGAAUUUGCAAUUAUAAUAAGGGUAAAGUUGUCAAUUUAGAACAUAAUGGCAAUUUUGAAGCCAUCCGAAAUAAAAAAAAAAAAAUCCGCGUCGCCGCUUAGUCCCAAGUCCACAGAGGCUAACGUGCGCUGCUCGCGCCUUAUAAUGCGCCGCGAACGCGAGCUCCUCCUCAAAUCCCUAGCGCACUCCUCCAUCCACCUUCAAAUUUCCCCCAAUUUCUCUUCGAUCGAACCCCCUCUUCCCCAUCAAAUCACCAUUCUCGUUUCAGCUCCUUUGUGAUUUGAUUCUUUUUCCGAUUUUUUUUGAAUCUAAUUUCUAUUUCAACCAAUUAAAGCAAGGGGGAGUCGUUUAGAAUUUAUCUUUUUCAGUGGAAUUUUGGUGAAGGUUUGAUUUUGCGAUGGAGUCGGGGACCGCUUUGAGGUUGCAAUCGAGUCCAUGGAUUGGGUGCGAGAACCCGCGGAGGAAUCCGCUAGGGUUCUUAGUUUUGCCGCGGGGAUGUGGCGGGGAUAGGUUAAACACUCUUAAUAGUAGUAGAGAUUCGAGGUUGGGGAAGGGUUUGGAUCGGAAUCGGAAUCGGCAUUGGCAUGUUGAGUUGAAGAUUUCUUGCUGUUCUACAAAAUCCGGAAGUGAGUUGGUGAAUAUGAAAUUUUUGUUUUCUUAUUUAUAAUACAGAAAUUGUAAUGAUUCACUGGGUGCUCUGCUGGAAAAAUCCAAGUUUUAAGAUAUUUUGUGAGUGUUGUUAUUGUUUGGCCAAUUGAAACCAGUAGUUUUCGACAAAAUUUCCGGGUGCAACUGACCCUAAUAUCGGAGUUAUAGGGUGGCAAAGAAACUGUAAACUUCUGAGGAAAUUACAUUUGUGAAUUUUGUAAACUUAUGAGAAAAUGGUUUUUGGUGGAGGUUCUGUUUAUAUCAAGAGUUUGGUGAUUAUGUAGGUUAAAUUUUAUAUUUUUUUCGUAAUCUAUACAUGAUGAGUCCAUUGUUGUGUUGUUUCUGAUUAAUCUUACCAUUUUAUGUCAUGUAGCAUCAGCCAAAGUGUCAGAGAAGUUUCAUGCAGCUGUUGACGAGGCUCUUAUCUUAAAGGCAUGCUUUAUCAUCGGACUCAAAACUGUUAUUUUGAUAUUGGAUUAACUCCCUCCAAAGGAAACAAGUUCUCUUUAAUGAUUUUUUUUGUGGACAUUUUCUUUCUUGGUCAUUGAUCGGAAUUGAUGUUUGUAUACUUCAGAGGAAGUCGGAAGACGUUGCCUCACAUUUGAACAGUCGCUGUAUAUAUCUAGUUGGUUAGUCUCCGGAAUAGUGAAUUACGAGUACAUUUUGUUUGUGUAAUUUCUCGCAUUAUCGCGUCAAGUUAUCAAUGGUUUGUACUCUUUUUGUGUAGGUAUGAUGGGGUCUGGUAAGACUACAGUGGGGAAGAUCCUCUCAGAAGUUUUAGGAUACUCCUUUUUUGACAGGUUUGUGGUAUAUUCAACAUGUCAUGCUUUUGUUUUCUCUGGAUAAUUGUUCAACAGUAUAUGUAAUUUUGGGGGAUGUCAAUUUAUUAUUCAUUGGUUGUGCAGUGACAAGCUGGUAGAGCAAGCUGUGGGUGUUUCUUCUGUUGCCCAAAUAUUCAAGGAUUAUAGUGAGGCUUUCUUUAGAGACAACGAGGUACUAGUUUCAUCAAUUAUAUUCCCUGUUCAGUAAGGAGUUUAAAAGUGGUUAUGUGCCAAACUUAUUACUUAAUAUGUUUUUCUUUUCUAAUUCAUAAUAUUUACACCUCAUAUGUGCUUGAUUUUCUUUUCCUUGAUCAGAGUAAUGUACUUAAGGACUUGUCAUCAAUGCGUCGCUUGGUUGUUGCAACCGGAGGUGGUGCUGUCAUUCGACCUAUCAAUUGGUAAUCCAUAGAAGUACAAUAUUCAGCUAUCUUAGCUCCUGAGAUACUGUUUUCUUAAAUCUAAGGAAGUGAAUUGUUGAAAUUCCAGGAAAUAUAUGAGACAGGGAGUAACUGUCUGGCUAGAUGUUCCUUUAGAAGCUCUAGCGAGGCGGAUUGCUGCAGUUGGGACUGCUUCUCGGCCUCUUCUGCAUCAGGAACCUGGUGAUCCAUACACAAAGGUAGAUAUUUCGGCAAAUGAUUUUAUAUUCCUCUCUAUCAUCUAUGAUUUGAUAAUAAAUUUGUUCCAUCCCAUGUUUAUCACCUAGUUCAGCAAAAUGCUAUUAGUAUAUAAGGUAUUAUGCUAUAUCAUGCUAAUGGUGAACGGACCAUCAAAUCCUUAGUCGUCUGGUAUCUCGAUAUAAGAUAUUAACAAAGAAAAUCACUUCAUCCUCCUUCGGAAACUUUAGCUUGCAUGUGGUUAAUACUCUUGAGAGGCUAGAUUAAAGAUAUGUCGUCGCAUCUUAACUUUCGCUUGGUUAUGGUCUUCAGGCUUUGAUAAGGCUCAGCACUCUGUCUGAAGAGAGGAAAGAUGCCUAUGCUAACGCACAUGUCAGAAUUUGCCUCCGAAGUAAGUGUGCUUUCUCAGUUCUUGUUUGUUCUUGUAAGAAAAUUCUUUUUUCAACUCACACUCAAACUGCUCCAAAGAUAUUGUCCUAUAUGCAUAUCUUAAGCACUACCCCUUAGUUGUAUUAAAACGCGAUCACACAUUUUAAUACGUCUAUACAUGGAUGAUUCUUUCCCAUAUAUACCCUGUAAGCCAUUGCAAGUUAGGGCCUACGUUUGUCAUAUUAUUUCAGUUCUUGAUAUCUCAGAUUCAAUCCGAGUCUCCUCCUGUUCUUAGUUGGCCAAUCAAAGAGACCGAUAAAAUUUCCAGACCCUUUCUUCAGCGAUGCUACUAAAUGAUUCAUGUUAAAUGGUUGCUUUUCAUUUGCAGAUAUCGCCGCAAAAAAAAGCCAUGGUGAUGUAUCUUUGCUCACACCAACAGAUAUUGCAAUUGAGGUACUAUUGAUUCCCUACCUUGUUUCUUUUUCCAUAUUACAUUCCCUUGAUCUUUUAAGUUCUCUGACUUGAAGCAUCACUUUUCCUUGUUAUUAUGGCAGGUUCUUUCGAAGAUCCAGACACUUCUACUUGAGGAGGUGUCAACUGAAAAAUUUUUCGUGCCUUCCGAUUUGAACCACGGAGACAACCUUGAAGAAAUGUAUUGUUUGUAAACGAAUGCAAGGGUGUAUACCAUUCGCGGAAAUACGCGGCCUAUACGCCUUUUUGUUUCUCAUUAUUGAUUCAGAUUACAAUUAACAUUUUCUGCUUUUCUCGUCGUAUGGAUCGAUUGCGAGUUUGGGUAAUGAAGAGAAGACGUGGAAAACUCUUUCAUGUACGAAAGAAAAGAAAAUCUUCAAUUAGAGAGUCAUUUGUUGAAUAGUAAAUUAGAAAAGCGAUGUCCUCUAGAUCAUGGUGCAAUUAAACUGGUAAGUGAAAACAUCAAAUUAUAUUGCUGGAUGGAUAAUUAUUUAGCUGAAUUNAAAUCCAACAAUCAUAUUAUACCCGAGCCAUAAAAGCUUUUGAUAAUAAUAUUCAUAAUAAUAAUUCUUUAGGAACAAGAGAAAAGUAUAUAUAAGAAAAAAGAUAUACCAUCUUAAGGUCCCCAAAGCGGGAGGGAUCGGAGAGGAGGCCGCGCAUGUGGGCGGUGCGGGGGUUGUGGAUCCACAUGGUGGAGUCCAUGAACUGGACGCCAUGGGCGGCGCACGCGGCGAGGAUGGGGUCAAGCUCGGCGGCGGAGAGCGCGGCGGGCUUCUCGAGGAGCAGGUGCUUCCCGCGCUCCGCCGCCGCGACGGCCCAGCGCGCGUGGAGGCUCGUGGGGAGCGGCAUGUACACCGCGUCCACGGCGGGGUCGUCGAGGAGCUCCUCGUAGGACCCCACGGCGCGCACCGACGAGGAGAGGGCGUUCUCGGCGAUGAAGCGGCGCGCCUUGUCGAGGGAGCGGCUCCCCACGGCGACGAGGGUGGCGUUGGGGGCGAGGGCGAUGGCGCGGGACACCUUGCGCGCGAUCUCCGCGCACCCCACGAUGCCGAAGCGAAUGGGGCUCGUCGUCGUCGUCGUCGCCUUCUCCUCCGCCAUGGAUUCGCUCUCGUUGGGGGAGAAGGAGAAGGAGAAGAGAAGGGGGAAAUGGUGAGCGGUGUGGUAUGUGUAAGCGGAGCGUUCGCUAGGUUUUAAGUAGGAUUCUUCGAUAGCAUCGGAAUGUAUCAUAGAAAAAAAAAAUAAAAAAAACUUCUAGUCCCUCUAAAUAGUAGUCUUGUUUUUGAUAAUCAGAAUAAGUUAUCUAAUAAUAACUUUUAAAUAUAACUUUUUUAACACAAUUAUAGUAUAAGACUUUAAUUUACCCCUUAAAUAUAUUGAUAUUGAUAAUUUUGCUAUUUUAUAAAAUAGCUUAUUUUAUGCACAAACUAAUUUAUCUUAUUUUUAAAAAUAUAAUUUGAAGAUGGGAUAUGCUAACACUUUUAAUAUUCAAUCACAAUAAAACUUUUUUAUAUCAAAUUAAAUAUUACAAAAAAAAUUUAUUCCAACUCGGUGCCUUAAUCAGCGGAUUAUCCAAAGAUAAUAAUUUAAUAUUAUUUAAAUUAAUAAAUAAUUUAAAUAUAUUUAAUUAAUUUGGUAUCGAUUGUUUGAGAGGUAAGGACGAAACAAUAAAUUCAAAUGUAUACUUUAUACCAAAUUAUACCAACUUAUUCUUAUACGAAAAAUAACAUUUCGAUAUAAAAGGAGAUGAGAGGUUAUUCCGUCGCUAUCCCUUUAUCCCGGAGCCAAACAGGAACCAAACAGGGUAUAAAAAAAUUGCAAAAGAGGUAUACACGAGAAGCAUCCGGAAGAGAUCGAUUGACACGUGUCAAAAUCACGUCCAUUAACCUUUCCAUUUUCAUUUUUUUAUUUUUUUCUUUUUAGCAUCUUCUUUUUCUUUUUUUUUUUUUUCUAUGAUACAUUCCGAUGCUAUCGAAGAAUCCUACUUAAAACCUAGCGAACGCUCCGCUCACACAUACCACACCGCUCACCAUUUCCCCCUUCUCUUCUCCUUCUCCUUCUCCUUCUCCCCCAACGAGAGCGAAUCCAUGGCGGAGGAGAAGGCGAAGGCGACGACGACGACGACGACGAGCCCCAUUCGCUUCGGCAUCGUGGGGUGCGCGGAGAUCGCGCGCAAGGUGUCCCGCGCCAUCGCCCUCGCCCCCAACGCCACCCUCGUCGCCGUGGGGAGCCGCUCCCCCGACAAGGCGCGCCGCUUCAUCGCCGAGAACGCCCUCUCCUCGUCGGUGCGCGCCGUGGGGUCCUACGAGGAGCUCCUUGACGACCCCGCCGUGGACGCGGUGUACAUGCCGCUCCCCACGAGCCUCCACGCGCGCUGGGCCGUCGCGGCGGCGGAGCGCGGGAAGCACCUGCUCCUCGAGAAGCCCGCCGCGCUCUCCGCCGCCGAGCUCGACCCCAUCCUCGCCGCGUGCGCCGCCCAUGGCGUCCAGUUCAUGGACUCCACCAUGUGGAUCCACAACCCCCGCACCGCCCACAUGCGCGGCCUCCUCUCCGAUCCCUCCCGCUUUGGGGACCUUAAGAUGGUAUAUCUUUUUUCUUAUAUAUACUUUUCUCUUGUUCCUAAAGAAUUAUUAUUAUGAAUAUUAUUAUCAAAAGCUUUUAUGGCUCGGGUAUAAUAUGAUUGUUGGAUUUGUUGAUAUGAUUGGCUGAAAGGUUUUCUUUUUCUCUCUCUCCUCUUUUUUUUUUUUAUCCUCAGAAAAAGUAUCAUCUUUGGGGAAGAAUCUGUUUGAUAUUUAAAAAAUUAUCUUUUUUGUUCUUUUUGGCUCUGUAAAUGAUGAUCUUUGCGGUAUUUGAUUGGUCAAUUGGGGAAAUUUGGGAGCUUUUUGGUCCUUUUCUCUUCCAAAAUUGUAUAGUUGAAUAUAUUUGGAGCUUUAAUUCAUUUUUUUCUGUAAAAACUCUCUCUUUUAACGUUCUGAUCAUAAUACAGCUUCUGCCAAACUUACUAUCUAGUAUUUAGAAAGAGAGGAUUUUGUAAUCUUUGUUUCCUUUUAUCUUAGUAUUUAUCAGGUUCUAUGUAACAUAUAUAUCUAAAUUGGUCAUGCUGCUUAUUCUUAAAUUAGCUUUUAAGAAGGAUUGGAUGUGUUUGAGAUGUGCAUAUUUGUUUUUUUCUCUAUUAUGCUUUUGUACAUUAGAGCAUUGAGAAAUUGGACAACCGCACGAACCAAAAUUAAGUUCCACCGAAGCUAACAAGUAACAACAUAGUGGGAACAACAUAGUGAGAUGGAUGAGUUGGGGCUACUGGAGAAGAUGAAAUGUGGUUGUAUGCACAAUUAAGUUAGGCUUUAUGAGCAAUAUUCUUUAAUCUUUGGUAUGAUCUGAUUUGUCGGUUUUGGCAUGAUCUGAAACCUUAUAUCAUCAAUGUAUGUUAUGCUUACUUUAAAUCAUCAGCUCUCUUCUUUUUAAAAUGCCAACUAAGUUCAAUCUCCGAUGGUUUUGCAGAUAAACAGCAUUUUCUCCUUCUAUGCGGACGAGGACUUCCUUAAGAACGACAUCCGUGUGAAGCCCGACCUCGACGCCCUCGGAGCCCUCGGCGAUGCGGGUUGGUACUGCAUCCGCUCCUCCCUCUGGGCUGCCGACUACCAGCUACCCAAAACUGCCACCGCAUUUCGCAACCCUGUUUUAAACGAUGCAGGCGUAAUCUUAUCGUGCGGAGCCACUCUUCUUUGGGAGGACGGAAAAAUCGCGAUAUUCCACUGCUCUUUCCUCUCUCACCUCACUAUGGACCUAACGGUUAUCGGAACGAGAGGUUCGCUUCAUGUCAAUGACUUUAUCAUUCCUUAUGAGGAAAAAUCCGCGGAGUUUUCCUUUGCGUCUGAUUCGGGUUUCACCGAGCUUGUGACCGGAUGGCAGCCGCUGCCGAGCAAGCAUGUUGUCACAACCGAGCUUCCCCAGGAAGCGCUUAUGGUGCAGGAGUUCUCGAGGUUGGUGGCAGGGAUCAGGGAUUCUGGAAAUAAGCCAGAGGAGAAGUGGCCGACUAUUACUAGAAAGACGCAGCUUGUGAUCGAUGCAGUGAAGGCGUCGAUCGAUAAGGGAUUUGAGCCUGUUGAGAUUGUUGGUUGAAUGAAGAUUUUUUUUUUUAUUUUUUCCCGAGUUAAAUGUGUAAUUUGGAUGCAUGAUAAAUAAGGCUGUAGUUGCUGUGAGAGGAUAUCGAGAUGUUUAGUUUGCUGGGGUACUAUGGGGAAAGUUGUUGAGCUCCUUAGAUGAACAUGUUUGUGUGGUGAACUUUGCUUGCUGAUUUAAUGUCACAGUGAUUUGUUUCAAGAUUACAUAAUUAUCCAACAUUUCAAUAUGCAGGCUCUUGUUUCGUACUUGAUCUUUCUAAAUAUUCUACCCCUCUUUAUAGCAAAGACAUAUGAUCAUCAUAGUAAAUGCCUCUUGCCAAGCUACUAAUAUUGGAUGGUUUAUUGCAUGCAUUGAAGUCUAUAGACCAGUAUAAUGUAAACCGUUAGAUGUGAUCUAUGAUACUAGAGAGGAUUUUAACUUUAAUGACAUAAUGUUCCAUAACGUUUUUCUCAAGUGACACAAACAAACAGCUCACUGGUUCAAUUGAGUUCUUUCUCCCUUCUAGCAAAAUAAUACAAUUAAUACAAAAAACGAAAGAGUUUCAGAAAGGAACAAAUUCCCAAUUAAACUAAACUGAUUUGUUAUUUACAAAAGAUGAACACAGCUGAGAAUUUAACCUACUUAUAUACAGAAAAUCAAGUUCUGUGAAUUUGAAAAGAAUAUCAACAUGACCUGGCUCAUCUGAGGAUUGGAACUGCAGCUGUUCAAACCACUUCAAAGUUUAACCUUGCACAUUAUUAACCCAGAAGCCGAACCAUGUGAACUCAUUAUUGGAUAUCCUUAUCUACCGAAAUCGAGCAUUAGGAUGAUGCAGGAACCUGCAAAAAUGGUUUUAUCACAGUAAUUGUGUCAGAAAACCUUUGCCUAUAAAGAGAACUCCAAGAUCAGUACAGUUCUAUUUUAGAUUGAUUAUAAAACGCCUAAAUGAAUAGAUUUACCAACUUUUCUUAUUCACACCUCUCCAAUAAAAAAGGAAAAAUAGAGCUCUAAGCUUGAAAUGAGAAAUCCCAACAACCGCAGGUUUAAGAAUUCACUCUACACAGAGUGCCUAACUUUUGGUCAGGUAUUGCAGCCAACAAAAACAUAAAAUUAGACAGAAACACGAUACUUCGAUUGCAGCAUAGACAAGUUCAACACAGCCCAAAAGGAUAGAAAUAGGAGGAGAGAAAGGAGGAAAGCAAGAGAAAAGGGAGAGAAUGCUUCUCUUUGAACCUCGUCAGGAAAGAAGAAAAUAGCAUGAUCAAAAGCUUCUCUUUUUAUUUUUUCUUAUACUUCCGGUAAUGAAACAAAAUCAUUUCCUUCUCUUUUUCUUUCUCUUCUUUUCUUUCCUUUCCAUUCUCUUCUUUCCGAUUCUCCCGUCCAAAUCGAGCAUAAAUGCAAAACAAACAACUGCAAACAUCUAGUUCUGGAUUCCUCCCUUCUCUUUACUCAGAUAUGGCCUUGGAAUAUUCAGAUGUUAACUCGGAUAGAGACAACAAGCCAAAUGUGCAAGAAAAACCAUAAAAUUGGAAACUUCAGACUCUGAGGCUGCUUCACUGUAACAUAUACCAUAUUAUUCUGAUUCUCAGACCAUCUUCUAGCUUUUUCUCAUCUGCUCUAGCUAGCUUCGUACAUUUUUCUGUAUUCCAUGCAAUUACUACUACAAUAGAAGUUUCACACAAAAAGAAAAAGGAUAAAAAAAAUGAGUAUCUUGUUGAACUAAAUAUUGAAUUGCUAACAAUGCAAAUUCCGUCAAAUCUACGCAAUUACUCCUUUUUAAGCAGUAACAUUUUCCUUUUCAAACAGCAAAAUCAUCAGUAAUCAUACACAAAUCUACAGAUAAAACUCGGUCCUGUAGUCUACAAUAGCUUGCUAUUUUAUUUCGAGCCAAACAAACGCACUAUCGCCGUACAAAUUCCGAUGAUCUUGAACUAGUCAGAAAUUAAGAAGAAUUCUAUGGGCACGAAUUAUUCAGAUGACAGAAGAGAUAUCAUGAUCAUUGUAAACAUACCGAAGUUUCGAUCUUUCGAAUGUGCCACACACAAAGCUCAGAGCUCCAAAGCCAAGCAAUGAGCUAUGAAAGACCCUCUUGGCACCGCCAACUCGAUAGACUCCACCCACAAAACCCUCCCUUUCAGUCCCCCGUCGCUCGUUCUCGAGACCUCAAUCCCGGCCCAAUCGAUCACCAUCUCCUUCUUCCUGCGAUCUCCCUUCUCCUUCCCUUCCCACACCACACACAGCAUUCCUCCCAGGUUCGAAAGUGUUGCCCCGCACAAGAAUUUUGGGAGCUCCCGCUCCACCCCCUCCACCCGCUUCCACUCAUCCAGUUCCGGAUCGUACCCUUUGAUGUGCCCUAGGAAAUCGUACGAGUAUAGGAUCCCCCCCACCGCCGCCGCCCUCCCCCUCCACCCCUGAUCGAGCCCCGGCGCCACCGCCGCCCACGGCGGCUCCGCCGCCGGGUCGUACACCACCCCGCCGCGAUCCGCCACCGCGAGGAGCCGCCCCGCGAGCACGGCGCUCCCGUGCAUCCACUUCUCCCGGACGUGCGCCGGACUCGGCACGACAACCCACGCGGCGGCGGCGGAGGAGGCCGAGGGGUCGAGGGACUCGGCCCAGGCCUCGGAUAUAGGGACGCAGCCGCCGACGGCGUAGAUGCGGCCGCCGAGGGCGGCGGCGGCGGCGAACUCGCGGGGCGCGGACAUGCGGGGGCCGAGGGACCAGCGGGGGAGGCGCGCGUCGAGCACCUGGACGGCGGCGGAGGGGACGCCGCCGAGGGAGCCGCCGAGGACGAAGAGGAAGGGGCCGAGCGCGGCGGCGGCGGAGCCGAGGGAGGGGAGCAGGACGGCGGAGGCGAGGGCGGAGCUGCCGAUGUCGACGUCGAUCUCGAGGUAGCCGGCGGCGCGGGGAGGGGGCUAGGGUUCCGGCGACCCCGGUGGAGGAGGAGCCACCGCGACUGGUCGGUGGGGGAGCGGAGGUUGAGGCAGAGCACGGGCUCUGCGGCGCCCAGGGCGGAUCGGACGGAGAAGAGGAGCGGGGAGCGGAGGAGGGAGCGCCAGGAUCGGGACACGCGGCAGAGCUCCGGGUGCGAGGAUCGAGGCGCGCGAUGCACCGCACGGCGACGUCGUCGGGGAGGCCGGGUAUGAGCGCCGCGUCGCCCAUCGUCGCACGCGCGCUCGCAGCGGAGUCGCUAAAAUUGAGCAGGCGAGAGCAGCGAUUUCAAUUUUGAACAAGGAUGACGCUAAUGGGCCGUACGGGCCAUUACAGAAAUUUACAGGCCCACGAGAUAUAGGUGUAUUAGGCUUCACUCUCACGGCCCACGGGAACACGUACUCUCUCCGUACUAGAAAGCUAGUGGGCCGUAAGGGCCUGUGCAACAAUUAUAAUAAGCCCACAGGUUAAUGUGAUGACGAGUCAAACUUUCAGCCCCAUCAAAAAGUAUAUAGACCACGUUUGUGUUUAUAAUUUAUUCCUAAUUCGAUUAAAAUUAAUAUUUAAAUCUGUUGGUGAUACAUUAAAUUUUAAAUAUUAAAUAAAAUAUAAAUUGAAUUUGAUUAGAAUUUAGAUAGCUUUUUAUGUAAGUUAUAAAUAUAACACAGAUGCUAUUAUUUGGUGGUGAUGAUACGUCUAGCUACACCCAUAUGGCAUGCUCAAGAUGGUUAUGAUUUUGGAUGCACCUAGUACGUGAUGUUUUCGUGGUCGUGGGUCAAUAGUAUAUCUUGUGUAUGGAUGCACAAGAUGAGAGAGAGAUCUUUUAAAUCUAUAGAAAACAAAAAAAGGAUAAGGGAAAUUCAAAAAAAAGGGCUCGGAUUUGAAGCUAGUUUGUUAUAGAAGAGAAGUCAUGAGUCAAGUGUAAUUUUCUCUUAUUUAAUGAAUCUUAGUUUAUCCAUAUAUUUUUAUAUUUGGUUUUCUCUGUUUUGUUUGUUGUAUCAGUUUUUGCUGAAAAAACAGAUUUAUGGUAAAAAAUUUGAUUUGACACUUACGUUGUAAAAUCCCAAUGUUUGAUUCCGAAUCAAUAAUAGUUGGUAUCAGAGCAUAUUGCGGAUUCUCAAAGUUUAAUACCAGGACGGGUACUAAAUUAAUUCCCAAUAGCAAAUACAUGAAACCAAUUAAUGGAUGGCGGUUUUCGUUCACCUAUAUUACCUCUCAUUAUCUUCUUCAGUAUUGGUUCUUCACAAUAAUCUCUUUGUUUAAUUAAUGCCAAAUAGAAAGAGUGUUCUAAUAAGAAUGAGUAUAAAGAUUCGUCACGGAUAUGCACGACAGCACAGUUGAUUUGCUUGUGUGCAUGUAUGAUCCUCGACCAUAGCAUUAUUGUAAGGAUUCGAUUUUCUAACAUAUUUGGUCAAGAUUAUUAGAGUAGCUAUUAAGUUAAGCAAAGUGGAUUAGCAGUAAUUGAUUGUUUAUAUAAACCUUUAUUGUAUCCACAACAUAUCGUAAUGUCAUUAUCAAACAGACUAACUCAGCGCAAAGUAGUAUCAGAUAAAUUAUUGCCACUCUAAAUACUAAUUAUUUAAACUAAGGCUAGUUAAGAUUCUGAUCGAAGAUUCCGCCGAUUCAACGCGGUUGCAUCCUCGAAGACCAUUGACUAAAUGGCCAUACAACUUGUCGGUGGCGAAAUCCGCGUCGAGACGCUGAAAGCAUGUAGGACUAAUCCAUCUUAUUUUAGUUAAUUUUUCCUGGCAAAUCCUCGACCCACGAAGGCUUGUCUCAAUGUUGUCUUUUAAUGAGGCUGUAAAGUGCAUUCUUGUAGAACAUAAUUUCUAAUUAUUAAACCAGAUUAAGCUUUCAUGAGACCAAGACCAGGUUUUUAGGGUUUGAGGGACUGGAGGGAUUAAGGUUAGGACACUAGGGUUUUCUUUUUUCCAAAAAAAAAAAAAAAAAAGAAGGUUACGUAUAUGCUUCAUUAAUUUAAAUUUUUAGGGUUAGGAUUAAUGUUGCACUAGAAGUGCAUGGGAUGGGGGUUUUCUUAAUUAAGUAAUAAUUACCUGUUUAAUUAAUUAGAGGGGUUAAUAUUUUCCUAUGGGCCAAUUAUAUAUAUAUAUGCCUUUUGUUUUUGAAUUUACGUAGCCCACCAUUGCAAGUUUGGAAGUGCACUUACUUAGAAGUUGGCUUCGGAUCACAUAAUGAGAGAUGUUGCCUUUUGGUAGGAGGUUUGCUUCCUCUACCGAGGCAUGAACUUUAAUUAAUUAAUUUCUAAUUAAUUUCUCUGGGGAUUUGACCAGAAGCUAAUGAUAAUAUAUAUAGCCAUGUACAAGAGACAUGUUACCUGCAGGUUUAUUGCUGGCUUUGUUUUUUUUAAUGGUCUAGCUACGUUUAUCUUUGAAACCGAGUUAUAUAAAUAUGGAUCACUGAAUCAGCAAAACUUACGAAAAUUCGUAUAUUUUGUACGUAAAGGAAGUUGCGCUUUCAUCGGCGAAACAGAUGAUAAUUGAGAUAGCAAAGUUCUAUGUAAAUCUCACCCCAACCUUGAAGCUGUAUAAGAAGUUCAUUCGAAUUAAAAUAUUGUACGAUUAAUUAUAACUAAAUGUACAAGUGUUGAAAUGUUCGUGGAUGCAGUGAAACUUACACAACAUUCCUAAUUAAUUAAGAUUGGUUAGGCAGGAUCCUUUAAUUUCCUUUUGAAGCUCUCUCAUAGAAUACUUAUGCCUCAAAGAGAGUGCAAAAGGAUACAAUACUUUGGCCUCAAAGAGAACGCAAAACAUAUUUAGCAAAACAAAUUUAGUAUUGUAUUAAUUGUUGCUUCAAAAGACGAGCUUUUGUGUUCAUAAAAUAACAUUUGUUUUGUAAAAAAGAAAGGCGUUUUUUAUAAUUGAUUUGUCACCACUAUACUCCACGUAGCUACUUGCAACACUAUCAGAAUAGCUAAAUUACACGCUUGCACGAAAGAAAUGAAUCAACUCAUGCAUGAAACAAACCAAUUAGCUCGUCUGAUGCAGGGUAAGUUCAAUGAAUAGUUUGCACGUUAAUUUCCCCUAGAUUUGCUGCGCAUCUCAAGUCACCUAGAUUUGUACACAUCUCGAUCGAGUCACCAAGUUCUGUUGCACAUCUCAAGUCACCUUUUUUUUUUUUUUUAACCUUCGUUCAAGGGGCGGCUAACCGGAUUCACCAAAUCCAAGUUACAUGAACCAACCAAACAAUUUGGUUUAGUUAAGUGAAACCUAAAAAAAAUUUACUUAAGAAUUCGAAGCUGAAUUAUAAAACUUCGAGCACGAAGCGCAGUGCAUGUUCUGCAGUGAUUAGGAGGAGGAAAGAGCAGUUAAUUAGAGUUUGUAUAUUGUUAAUUAGACAUGAAAUCUUAGAGAUAGAUCGAUAUUGCCUCGAAGGAUGCCCUCGCGUAGCUAGAAAGGCAAUCAACGGCACACGGAGAAUCAUCGACAAGGGCCCUAGCUAAUUUGCGAGAAUUCAGGCUAUUGACUUGAAAAUAUUUUAGCCGCUUUGAUCAAAUCAAAGAAGUUAGUGAGAAAGCUAAAGGAAAAUUAACAAAGAGAAGAAUAAUUAAGUACCAUUAAGAGUUCUAAACUUAAUAUGAGGGGACCUUUGUCAACUAUGUAAGGAACAUGCGUGUACUGUGUCUAAUGAGGAGUUCACACUUGCAAAUCAAAGUCAAGUACCUACGUGAAAGGGGAUUAAAACUUUUAUAUAUAUAUAUAUAUAUAUAUAUAGACACACACACAUGGUACCAUUUUUAAUAUUAUGAGCUGAGACCACCACUCUUAAUAUGGUAUUUGCCAAUUGUAUUCAGUUUUCUACAACUCCACAAAAAUAGUAAUUAAACUCAAUACAUCAAGUCAUGGUAGCGGUCCACGAGCUCAAUAUUGCACAACGCACGCUGGAUGCUGGUAUUAUAAUUUUGAACUCUUCUUUUAUCAUGUUUUUUUUUUCUUUUCCUCCGUAUCCUAAUCAAUUAACUAUUGUUGUUGUUAAUCCCCCGCGAUUUAAACGUGUAUUCUCCUCCCUAAAAUAUAUGAUUGGUUAAUAAUUAGCUAGGAACAUAUAUAUUAUGGUUAAUUUAUUUUAUAAACAUUGAUGUUGGGAUUCGAUGAGAGGUAUCUCUAAGAACUAAAUCCUCUUUAAUUAGUAGAGAAAUUAAGAGAGAGUGUAGAUGUGUAGGUGUAGGACAUGCAAACUAUGCAGCACACAGCAACUUACCAACCGACAAAGCUAGACAACACGUAAUAUAUAUAUAUAUAUAUAUAUAUAUAGAGUAGGGCUANGUAUCUCUAAGAACUAAAUCCUCUUUAAUUAGUAGAGAAAUUAAGAGAGAGUGUAGAUGUGUAGGUGUAGGACAUGCAAACUAUGCAGCACACAGCAACUUGCCAACCGACAAAGCUACACAACACGUAAUAUAUAUAUAUAUAUAUAUAUAUAUAUAUGAACAUAGCUAGGCUAUCCUACCCCACAAUAGGAUCAUGGAAGGUUCCAAAACAAAUGUACUGCCCAGAACUCUUUGCCCUAUAGCUGUUCGUCCUUGGUACGUACGUGGCCACCCCAUAAUUACCUUUUUUUCUUUUUUAAUUUCCCAUGAUAUGCAUACACUAGGUAAUAUUGCAUUUGUAUAACAGCUUAAUUCAUUCUAAAUGCAAGUGAUAUUAAUUAGGAAAAUUUUCGUACGUCCUCUUUUCGGAGAUUAAAAUUUCAUCAACACUCCUCUAAAAAUUAAAAUAUAAUAAUUUUUAAAAAAAAAUUUAGAAAUAAUCAUAAAUAUAACAUAACUUUUCGUUAAAAAGUAUCGUUAUAUAUAUUAAAUACCAGUUUUACCUCGGUACAACAUAUUAAAUGUGACUUUUUUAAUAGUAUAGAACCCCUCUAUUGUGGGCUAUUUAAAAUGCCACCAUCAACUUAUUUUUUAUUUUUUUAUUGAGACUUAGACUUCUAAUUUUUUCGGAAGGUGAAAAUGUAAAAACCUGAGCAACUAUAGGUCUUUUUGAAAUGGCCCCCUCAACUUUCACUCUUUUGGCCGAGAUCUUCUUAUUUUUAAUUUUUAAAAAUUAAGUGAUUUUAAUUAAAAAUUUAUUAAAUUUAUCAAAUUCAUUGGUGAUCUCACCAAAUUUAAUAACUUUGCUUACUUCUUAGUAACACUAAACCAAUUAGUAGUUAAUAACUAAUAAAUUUAAUAAUGAAUAAAUAUGAAAACUCAAAUUAAAAAAAAUAGAGGUUAAAGGGGUGUCAACCAAAAAAAAUUGAAGUUGAGGGUUCUAAUAUCAAAAUUGUCUAUAGUUGAGGGGUCUCCAUACAUUUUACCGUUUGAAAUUAAAUUAUUUUAGUUAUUUUAGCUGAAAUUUUGUGUUAAAUUUUAUAAAUUUUCCUUUUUUGGCACUAAAUCUCUAAAUUUUAAAAAACUAAAAGUUAAGGGGUUUUAAUAAAAAACUACAAAGUUAAGAGAAUUAUUUCAAAAUAGCAUAUAGUUGAGGGACCUUCAGUACAUUUCUCAAGUAGUACAUCAAACAAUUAGGAGUAAAUUCGUCAUUUCAUUACUUAACCUCUUAACUAAUGUUAUUUUAACGGUCAGUAGAGAUAUUUAUGAUGAUUUUCUAUAUUUUAAGGAAAUAUGUAUGAUAUUUUAACUUUUAUAAGAGUAUCUAUGAAAUUUAUAAAUUUGAGAGGAUGCUGAUGAAAUUGCCCACUAUUAACUAUAUUUACUUGUUCUUACUUACAAGCAAAAUAAUAAAAACCAUAUGAUCAUCAGAUUAGUGCAAUUAGAGAAUUAUAUGAUUUGAAUCCACGAUCAAUUUGAUGUACUAUCUUAUUUUCAUACCAGCAAAAAAAAAAAAAAAAAAAAAAAAAAAAAAGUCAGUAGAAAAAACUCCUUUCCUCCCAUAAUAUUUCCUCUAAUAAUUCCUAGAUUUGCAUAUGAUGGGAAUUUUCAAUUGUUUUAUUUAUUCUUAAUUUUAUUGUGAUAUUUCAUAUUUUAAUCUUGCCAUCUUGGUUUAAAUCUGGAUAUUUUCAAAAUAUAUUAGGGCUUACUUGGUCCUAUACUUUUGUUUUAGGUUAAAUAUUUUAGUAGGGCUUUGCAUAAAUUAUUUAAAAAAGUCUAAUCUGUUGUUGUGAUAGAAUUAGAAUUACAAUUGUGAGGUGGAAAAAUAAAAAUUAUCAUUUAGAACUUUUUAAUUCCGCUAUGAAGAAAAUGUAUCAAGAUUGAAUUAAUUUUAACAGCAUUNAAAAAAAAAAAAAAAAAAAAAAAAAAAGGGCCUGUGCCUCCUGAUCCACCACAUCAACUCGUCCUGCCAUGUACCAACCACUACACAGUAAUUAAGCUUCGUUCAUUGCAAAAUGCAAAAAUAAUUUUUUCUUUAAAUUAAGUAAUUAAUAUUAGAAUUAAGAGGCUCUAAGAAAAGCAUGGUAAAUGAUUACGUGGUACACCGAUGACAUGGUGUACAAGUUCCAGGGAAUAUUUUUGCUCACCUACGUACCCCUCCCCUCGCAUCUCCCUUAUAUCAUUUCAAACCGAGCAUCGAAGCGUCACGUUGCGCUCGCACCCCAAUGCGUUGCUUGAGCCUCAAGCGACCCCGAACCCCAACUGGUUCAAAUUAAAGUUCGAACCCUAUUAUUUUAUGUUUUGCACCUUCAUGCAUGAGGAACUGUACGGAUUAUUUGUUAUGACAAAUUAUUAGGAAUUAGAUGGAGCUCAUUUGCACCGUACAUGCAUAUGAACUUGUAAAGCUCGCAAUGUAAUUUUCGCAAUAUAAUUUUCACUAAGUUUUCGACUAAAACAUCACGAUAAUUAAGCACCCAAGCAUGCAAAUUCUACUAUGUAUAUGCGUGCUAUAUCAUAUUCGUUUUUAGUUAUCAUAUUAUUUCUUUCUUUAUUGCUAGUGCACAAGAGAAAACACGUUAGCAUAGAGAUUAUUAUAUUUGUUCUAUCUAUAGUAAUUAGACUAUUAUGUUUUGCGUUCUCAAUAGAACCUGCAUACAUUUAAAAAGAUAAAUUGGUAAAUGGAGGAAUACACAUAUUCUCCUUCCCUUGUUCUACGAUGUUAGCAGAGAAAUUAUUACAUUUGUUCUAUAUAUCGUAAUUAGCCUGUUAUGUUUUGUGUUCGUAAAUCGUAAUAGAUCCUUCGUAUACUUAAAAGGUAAAUUGGUAAAUGAAGGAAUACAAAUAUUCUCCUUCCCUUGUUUGAGGAGGCAUGCUUUGUGAAAUUAUAUUGUUAUACUAUAGUUGCUUAUACGUGUACGUGAUCAUUUUGAAUUUGAAUGAGAAUAUAAUUAUGGUUUUUUUUUUUUUUGAGAAAAAAAUAGCAUACUAUCUGUUUCAUUCAUUUAGAAUAUGAACUUAGCUAUAUGGGUGAGGCAAAAAGGCCUUUGAAGAGAUAAAAAGGAGGGCAAAAUCGAAGACGAAAAAAAGAAAAAUAAAAUAAAAUAAAAUAAAAUAAAAUUAGUGUCUUUCCACGGGAUGAAGUUUUUUCCACAGAGACGUCAGCUGUUUAACCUUAAAGCAACAACGGAUUGGAUCAGUCUGAUUUUUCCUUAAAAUCACGUCAUUUCUGGUCUCCCAAAUGAUCCACCAGCAGGCUAUUAGUCCAGAUAAACCAUCGCUAAUUAAGGUUUAUGUUAGAGACUCAUUCCUGUAUAUCAAAUUAGCGUUUAGACGAAUAGGGUUGAAAUCCUGAGACUAAAUAUUUCCUAGCAAAAUGAACAAAACCUGGUUUGCAAUUCCUCUGAAAUUUGCAAUGCCAAUACAUACUUACUAUUGUAGUAAACAUUCCAUAUUUAAUAUUUAUCUUUAUUUCUUCGAUCGGAAAUAUUUAAAAGGACAAGUAACUUUUCAGGAAAGGAAAAAGUUUCUGUGUCCAAAUUCCGAUCACCAAAUAAAAAUUAAUAUUUCUAGAGCUUGUUUCGUUGCUAUCAAAGCAAAAUAAAUAAAAUCCUGGUAAGAUCAAAUGUAUCUUUCUACACAAUAAAUAAAAGCAAAUCCGGCACCAUUGAUGCAUGCACUAACCAAAUAGGUGCCUUAAAUUGAUAACGCCCAUAAAUGAGACUUGGAAUUCGAUUCAGUUAACAUGGACUAAUGAUUUUUGACGAAAAUGCAAUGAGGUUUGCAGAAACAUUUUAAUCACCAUAAUCUAGGAGAAAGAUUUUCCUAACACUUUUUUUUUUUUUUUGAGAGAUAGGUAGCACGCUACCCGUUUCGUUUAUUUUAUUUAGAAAUAAAUUUAGCUGGAAAUGUGAAUCAACUAACAUUUGAACUUGGGUCUCGGAUACCAACCACCAAGACUUUUGUCACUUACUCUAGGGACGGUCGGUUCCUAACACAGUUAUUUCAUAUAAAAUUUACAACAUCAGAUUAAAUAUCUAAAUAUUACUAAAAAAAGUACAAAUAAGAUAAAAAAAAUUAAGCCAUCAUUUGAGUGUUCAAUUACCAUUUUAAUCUUGUUGGAUUACUCUCUAUCUAAUUUCUCGUUUGGCACAAUAUUAUAAUUGGUUUCAAAAUCAAUCCCAUAUAGUGAAACUGUUAAAAUAAAGAUCUUAUUAUAUAAUUUGGGAGUUCAUUUAGCCACCAAAUUAUAUAUAUAUAUAUAUAUAUAUAUAUGUAUAUAUAUAUAUAUAUAUAUACACAUAUAUAUAUAUAUAUAUCAUCAUAUAUAUAUAUAUAUAUUUUGGCUGGGGUACUUUACUUAUCAUGAGUAUACAGCCCUUUGUACUCAUAAGUUUUCAGCCGUUCAGCAUGAAAAUAUGUACGGUUAUGAUAAAAAGUGGUUUCAGCGUUAGGUUGAUAGUUGGCCCCCUAGGAUGAGAGGGUGGUUGGUUGAAUAGUAAAUCUAAAUGGGUUGAAAAUGAUGAAGGGUAGAUCUAACGGCGCAAAAACUUAUGAGUACAAGAGGUCAUACUCAUAAAAGUAUAGUAGCCGGACUCAUAUAUAUAUAUUAAUACUAUAUAUAUAUAUUAUAUAUAUAUAUAUAAAAGAACUAGGCUAAUAUUCAUUAAUAGCCACCAAGUCAUUGGUGCUACCAAGUUUUUGGCCAUUGAAUUUAAAAUGUGCGGUAGAGAUGAUGUGGGCCCCUAGGUUGAGUGGCGUGGUUGGUUGUAGUAAACGCUCGUUUACUACCGAUUGUUUCAAUGAUAGAGCUUCCAAAUUGAUGAUCGGCACCGUUAACAUGAUUUAAACUAUUAAUACUAUCGGGAAAAUCAAAUUUCACACUAUUUCGAUAUUGUUUCUUGUCCAUCAAAGUGAACAGAAAAUGAAUGGCUGGAAUGAUAUCUUCAAAAAGUAAUAAUACAAUUUUUAUAUUUGAGAUUCUAGAGUUUAGAUCUUAUUUUAAAUAAUUUUAAAAAAAAAUUUAACAAAAUUUAGUUGAUUUGAACUCUUCUAUACUGUUAAAUGAGCAAACACACACUAUUGGGCAUUUAAAUUAUAAAUUUUGUUGACCCUUUGAUCAUUCAGUUAGUGAUGCCAAAAAAUCAUAAAAUUUGGAUUUCUAGAUAAUUUAAAUGGUCAAGAUCAUGUUCAACGGUGCCGAUCGUCGAUUUGGAAGCUCUAUCAUAAAAAACAAAUCGGGUAGUAAAAACCGAGCAGUUUACUACGUAUUAGCCCAAUCAAACUCUCUCUCUCUCUCUCUCUCUCUUAUAUAUAAUAUAUUAUAAUAUAUAUAUAUAUAUAUAUAUAUUAUAUAUAUUAUAUAUAUAAUGCUGGAAUACCAUCAAUAGCACCAAGCCUAUUUGGUGUUAUGAUUUUUUAGACCUUAGAUUGAGAAAUGUUAGCUUGGGUGCUAUUGAUUUUUAGACCUUAGAUGAGAAAAUGGCGUGUGUUAGAAUGAUGUGGCUUUCUAGGUUGAGUGAGUGUUUGUUUCGAAUAGUAUAAUAUAACGGAUAAAAAUAAUCAGAGGUUAAAUCUAACGUGUGAAAUUUGAUAGCACCAAAUCUUUGGUGCUAUCGAUAGUACCUCCGACUUAUAUAUAGGUAAUAUAUAUAUUUGCAAACGGCUCACUACGGCUAUUAAAAUUAUUGAUUUUGAGCCCUCGAUCAUUAGGCAAAUGAUGUCGAAAAUUAUAAAAAAAUUUUCUACAAAUACUUAGAUAAGUUUAACGGAGAACUGUACGACGAUUCGAAAGUUCACAACAUCAAAAAAUAUCAAAAAUAUUGAAGAUUCCGUGCUUCCAAAACAUAAUAGUAACACUAUAUAUAUAGUUUAAUAACUACUAUAUAUAUAUAAUAUAUAUAUAUAUUAUUAAUAUAUAUAUAUCUCUUUCCAUUAUUAGAGAUUGAUAAUCUUUGUUUACCCGAUCCUAUUUUAUGUACGUUGCUUUAAAAUAAAAUAUUGUUGAAUUUGAAAUGUUUAUUUCUACCGUUAGUAUAUUCUACUUAAUCUUUGGUUGCAUAUAUAUUAUAUGCAACAAAGAUUAAGUAGAUAUACUAACGGAUAAAAUAAACAUUUCAAUUUCAAUAUAUUUAUUUUAAACAACAUACAUCAAUUAGAUUAAUAUAUUAUAUAUAUAUAUAUAUAUAUGAUAUUAUGCAACCAAAGAUUAAAUAGAAUAUACUAACAAGUAGAAAUAAAUAUUUUUCAAAUUUCAACAAUAUUUAUUUUAAAGCAUGUACUCAAAAUAGGAUCGUGCAAACAGAGAAUUAUCGAAUCUCUAAUAAGUGGAAAGACAGAAUUAAGAUGAAUCACAAGGUAUGAUACAUGUGUGUCAUUUUAAUACCAAAGAAAAUUUUUCUAUUUAUUUGUAUUUAUUUAAACAUGAAGGAAAACAUAUAUAGAAUAUAAUUAAAUACAUGUUACGUAAUAUAUUAAAAAACAAAAGUAACAUGCAAUUAAUGUUGGUAGAUGAAAAGUAAUAGUAAUAAUAAUAAAAAAUAAAAGGUUGACGAAAAGAUGUGUACGUAGCUUAGUGUAAAGUCGCGGAGGUAAACGCACCAUGUCGGUGCACAGACAACGACCGGAAAAUUCGACGAGAACUAGACUCACCAGUCACCACCUCGGCCUCACCGUAACAAAUAUGAGUCAAUCAUCGUGAUUUUAAUAAUUAAUUAAUAAUACCCACGUAACUUGGUAUAAACUACCCAAUUCUCGUAACACAUAUAUAUGUUUGAGUCCUCCUUGCACCUUUUCCUUAAUAAUAAUAAUAAUAAUAAUAAUAAUAAUAAUAAACGUAUAUAAUUAAUAUAAUAAAAUUCGAUGUAAAUAAGAAAAUAUUUUAUUUAAUGCAACGAUUAAUAAUGAGGAGAAUUAAAAUUAGUGGCGACUCGGCCCCGUUUCUCUCUCCCUUUUCCUCUUUAUAUCAUUCCAUGUAUAUAUGUAUAUGUCUCCUAAUUCCCUCCUAUAAAUACCCCCGCAACGCCCUUACAAACAUCCUCACACAGCGCAUCCCUCGCCGCCUUGUGCUCUUCCUCAAGAAAAAGCCCUUCUCCUUCUCUUUUAUCGAUCUCCUUCUCCAUUUAGAUAGGUAGGUAAAGAGAGAUCCAGGGAGAGAGUUUGCGAAGGCUCUGUUAUAGUGGUAGCGGUACUAGCUACUAGCUACUAGCUACUAGUUCAAGCAUGGCCGUGAUGAGCUCGUGCACGGAUUCCAGCUGGUUGGUCUACGCGCUCCCGGCUUUUCUCGGCGCCGACACGCUGCUCUGCGACCGCGGGCUCGUCGUCGUGCUCGCGGUGGCCGCCGCGGCACUGUCCGCGGCGCUGCUCGCGUGGGCGCUGUCCCCGGGCGGGCCCGCGUGGGCGAACAACCGGAGCCGCAAGGGCGCCGUCCCAAUCCCGGGCCCGCGCGGGCUCCCCGUGUUCGGCAGCAUCUUCGCGCUCUCGCGCGGGCUCCCCCACCGCGCCCUCGGCGCCAUGGCCCGCGCCUCCUCCACACAGCUCAUGGCCUUCUCCGUCGGUGCCACCCCGGCCGUGGUCUCGUCGGAGCCCGGCGUCGCCCGCGAGAUCCUCACCCACCCGUCGUUCGCCGACCGCCCCCUGAAGCGCUCGGCCCGCGAGCUCAUGUUCGCCCGCGCCAUCGGCUUCACCCACCUCUUCGCCCCGCGCCGCGUCGCCGCCCACGAGCCGGGCCGCCAGUCGGACUGCGCCGCCAUGCUGGCCGCCGUGUCGGCCGAGCAGUCCCGGUCGGGGUCUGUCGUCCUCCGCCCCCACCUCCAGGGCGCCGCGCUCAACAACAUCAUGGGCAGCGUCUUCGGCAAGCGCUACGACCUCUCCCGCCGCGACCCCGAGGCCGAGCGCCUCAGUAGCAUGGUGCGCGAGGGCUUCGAGCUCCUCGGCGCCUUCAACUGGUCCGACCACCUCCCUUGGCUCGCCCACCUCUACGAUCCCGCCCGCGUCAACCAGCGCUGCGCCGCCCUCGUCCCGCGCGUCCGCCACCUCGUCCGCGCCAUCAUCGCCGACCACAACUCCUCCGCCUCGCCCCCGCAGCUCGGCGACACUGCCGACUUCGUCGACGUGCUCCUCUCCCUCCAGGGCGACGAGAAGCUCGAAGAGGACGACAUGAUCGCGGUUCUCUGGGUACGUGCCAUAUCGCAUGGGCAUGCGAGUGCUCGCUCCAUCUUUUAUCCUCGUUCCGCCUCCCUCAUUUGGCUGCGGUGAUAUUAGACGACAAAACUACGCGUAAUAAUAUAUACAUAUUUUAUAUUAAAGUGUAGUUAACUUAGUACGCCUUUGUUGGGAAUGGUCUUUUCGAACCCAAAAUGAAUAACGAACGUGAAAAACAUUAUAAAAAUAUACAAUUAAUGUAUGACGUCCCGUUGACGUUCUUUAUUAUUAUUUUUUUUUAUGCGGGUUUUGUAAGAAUUAAAUAAUAUAUAUUCAUUAUUUGUUUUGGCAUAAGUUUAAAUAACAAGUGACAUGGCAGGAAAUGAUCUUCCGCGGGACGGACACGACGGCGCUGCUGACGGAGUGGGCCAUGGCGGAGCUGGUGCUCCACCCGGAGGUCCAAUCGAAGCUCCGCUGCGAGAUCGACGCCGUGGUGGGGCCCGGGCGCCACGUCACCGACGCCGACGUGGCGCGCAUGCCCUACCUGCAGGCCGUGGUGAAGGAGACCCUCCGGUCCCACCCCCCGGGCCCGCUCCUCUCCUGGGCCCGGCUCUCCACGGAGGACGUGCGCCUCGGGAACGGCAUGGUGGUCCCCGCGGGCACCACGGCCAUGGUGAACAUGUGGGCCAUCACCCACGACCCGGCGGUGUGGGCCCGCCCCGAUGAGUUCUCCCCUGAGCGGUUCGUGGAGUCCGAGGGCGGCGCCGACGUGGACGUGCGCGGCGGGGACCUGCGCCUCGCGCCUUUCGGGGCGGGCCGCCGCGUGUGCCCCGGCAAGAACCUCGGGAUCGUCACCGUGGGCCUCUGGGUCGCCAGUCUGGUCCACCACUUCGAGUGGGCCCCCGCCGACGCCGCCCCCGUCGACCUGUCCGAGGUGCUCAAGCUCUCCCUCGAGAUGAAGAACCCGCUCACCGCCGUCGCCGUCCCCCGGAACACCACCGUCGAGGGCUUCUGAAUCACUGGCAAUCAAAUCAAUGUCCGCCGCAACCGACCGCAAUAUUAAUAAACUAUUACUAGCUAGUGUCAGCGAUAAUAAAAGUACUAGGUGAUACAGUAAGUCGAGUUCCAGUUUUGGAAAUGUAGUGUUUGGAGCUCCUGUUCGUUUUGGCUUGGAUGUUUUAUUUGUUAUCGCGUCUUGUGUUUAAUUAAAUGUUUAGUCUGUAUUCUGUGUUUUAUUGUCUAUGUUCAUGUGAUAGUAAAAUGUCAUUAUGGACCUCUCUCAAAGUUUGCUAUCUAUUUUCGUUCUUCAUCCCUUUCUCUUCUUCUCUCGUCCCUCUCUCCUCUCGUCUAUUAUAACACUUAGCUAAUAUGGAACGUUUGUUCUUUUUCAUAGCUUUUAGAUGCAGCGCUUUUGGUGUUUUUUGAUCAAACCAAGAAAAGAUAACAGAGGGAGCCGUAAAAAGUAAGAGAGAGAGAGAGAGAGAGAGAGAGUUGGAUACAGGGUAGCCGCCUUACUACGAAAAGGGUGUGAGGUGAUGGUAUGGCAUGUAUGUACACCCUCAGAAAAUGACACGCUAGAGACCAAAGAGCUAGCUCCAACCACAACCGCCUAAAGUGGGCCUCGACCAUAAAUGCUACAGGAGCCUAUAGCAUACGAGCCUACAACGGUCGAGUCACAUCCUCGGGUCAAAGUUCUCGGGUGGGACCCAAUCAAUGCGAUAGUAACACCAGUGUAGUAGUAUUGCACAAAGCUCGGGACGGUACGCCCAGCAAAGAGAUCGCGAUCUUCAGGCACAGUACGGCUCAGAUUUGCUGAUCACCAUGCAACACCCUACGAACUCCACGUAGCACGUACUGCCCCAAAAGAAAACCCGAUCAUAAAAAAAACAGAAACCCCUGCAAAACCAAAGAGAAAUAAACCAAACCAGCCCCGAGUUUUAUUGCUAUACGGCCACGUUGCGACGCUCCACUUUGCUUCGGAGGGAAACAUAUGCUUUUAACGUGGCCAAUGGGGAAGCUCCACGGAGCGACGAGGAGGAGCAGGAGAUGUGUGCCGCAGCGAGGCUAAAUGGUGCGGUCCUAGUGUUUGUAGGGUUGGACACCACGUGAUUUGGGCCAUUACUAUUUGCUGUUGCUACUGCUGCUGCUGCUGCUGCUGCUGCUGCUGCUGCGUUCUGCAGAAGCGGCUUGUUGCAGUUGCGUCGCACUCAAACUCUAGAGCUUUUUUACAGUUCUUUCCUAGUUUGUAUUAGGUGCAGUGAAGAAGCAGUGAAAAGAUACACUUACAGUGGCUGCGGCCAACUGCUGAGCCUGCAUAUCUGGUAUUUAUUUCACCUAAUAAAUCAACGACCAUCCCGUGUAUAAGUCAUUUAUGAAAGAGAGAGAGCUUUACUUUUAAUUCAAUUCGAUGGUGACAUGAACCAAGUGAACGGGCCCUUGUAAGUGCAUCUGUAGGUACAAAAACUUUUGCUUGUUCUACGUAGAUUAUUGAUGUACAUAUUGGUAUGUUCAUUUGAUGGUGUGCGUAAUUAAACUAAUUAAAGAACUCAUAUCAUUAUGUUAACAUAUUUAAAAAAAAAAAAAAAACUCAGAGAACUAUUCUUCCAUUCUUAAUUUUUCAGGUGAAUGGUGAAUGAUGAUACAAUAUUAAACCUUUGAGACUCGAUAGUAUUGCCAAACCAUGUAGGACUGAUUGAACCCAAGGUUGUAGGAACUUUGUACAGCGUGGCGUACGAAAGAUCUACCACAGACUAGAUCUCUCUAGUUGCCAUGAAGGCGUCCUUCGCAUGCACCUGCGUAUGUGGGACAUCAAUAUUGAAGGUGCUAGGUCGUUCCUGCAAGCAUUAUAUCAGCCAGCUCAUUUUAUGAUGGUAAAAAUGUGUGGGAAGAACCCAACGGUAAACGCUAUUUGAUUAAGAUGAAGAACCACAAGAAUAGAUAUAUGGAGAGAAAUAGCAAAAAUCUUUGGAAAGUAAACGAACCAAAAUAAAUAAAAUAAAAUGUUUCUAAAUGAUAAAAAAAAAGAAGCUAAAACUAAUGAUUCAGACUUCAAAAUGAUUAUGUUUGGGACCGGAAACUUUGUCGAAUUACCCCCACAAUUUACCUAAAGGUCAUUUGUCUUGAAAAGUUGUUUUCGAAUUUGGGAUGCACGUCCAAAGUGAACAUCCGAGCGCAAAAUUAUAUGUGAUUGCUUACUGAGCCCAAAUUAACUCGAAAUCACAUCAAACAUACCUUGCUUGACUUGAUUUCGACUACGUUUAGCCCAUCAUGGCAUCACUGAAACUAUAAAGCGCUUUCAAGUUACUUAUUACAAAACCAUUCUGAGGUUCGGUAAUAAUACCAAAUUUUCUAAGGUUCAAAUAACCAGUUAAGGUGUGUAAGAGAAAGCAGAACCUACAGUGAUCCUCAACUAGUUGAUCUUCUUAUCUGUUUCUCCGUCUUAGUGAAGAAUAUAUCUGAAACAUUGGCCACUCGCAAAGUACAUGUGAUGAGAGUCCCAUGUGGAACAACAGUCAGAAGAGUGAGGAUAUUGGCAUACUACAAAGCCUAAGUUUAGAGGUUUAUUCAUUUUGGUAGAGCUGAUACCAAAAGAUUUGUCUUAGCACUCUCAAAUCAGUGGGCUUAGGUUUUUACUAAUCUUUUUCACGGGAGUUCUCAUACUUGAUGAUUUGACAAUUUUGAACUGCUUUAUAUGUUAAGAAUUAUAGUCCGUGCAUGGUUCUUGUGAACUUGUUGGAUCGUUGGCGUUAAUCAUUAAUUCUAAAAACUCGAGCCGUAAGAAAUACGAAAUCAAUUCACUAAAAGCGUAUAGAGACAACGUCCACGAGUCUCGAUUGUGACUUAACCCUCUUAGCCUUACGCCACUUCGAAUAUGACUCGGCCCAAUCCGAUCUCACGCUAUUUCGAAUGUGACUCGGCUCACUUGGCCUUCCGUCACAGGGUAGGAUGCUGGUCCAUUUAAGCGAAUAAUUUUUUCUCCAGUAUCUGCACACAUUUACAGCAUGCGGGAAUCGAACCCAUAACCUUUAUUUCUGGUACCACUUGUCGGAUCAUUGACACUAACCAUUAAUCCCAAAAGCUUGAGCAAUUACAAAUACACAACCAUGCGUCAAUUCAUUUAAAGCGUACAGAUAUAGCGCCAAUGGAUCUCGAUUGUGACUCGGCCUUCUUAGCCUUACGCCAUUUCGAACAUGACUCUGCCUAACCCAGCCUCACGCCAUUUCGAAUGUAAUUCGACCUACUUGACCUUCCGCCACAGCGUAGAAUGCUGACCCAUUUAAACCAAUACAUAACGAUUUUGAAGAGAGAGACAAGGUAUUGCAACAAAAUAUGUCGUACAAUUGAAAAUGAUGGGCCGUGAAAUGAGAUGCGAUUUAGGCACAUAGGUAGGUGGAUUAGCUAUAACUUACAAAUAAUUCGACAAAGCAUUUUGUUGAAAUAAGCCAAGAACGAAUCGAUGUAUUGCUUGGGGCAUGAACUUUUGGGUUGUAUAACCGAUCGUCCCUAGAGCAAGUGGCAAAGGGUUUGGUGGUUGGUACUCGAGACCCAAGUUCAAAUCCUAGUUGAUUUACAUUUCUAGUUAAGUUUAUUUUUAAAUAAAAUAAACGAANCUUUUGGGUUUUGUGUGUGUGUGUUCCUUAAUUAGUAGGUAUAUCAUCAGUUUAUGUGAACAGUGUGUGUGCGUGUAUAUACAGGCCUAUAUAUAUAUACAGGCCUUAAUUAGUAGGUAUAUCAUCAGUUUAUGUGAACAGUGUGUGUGUGUGUAUAUACAGGCCUUAAUUAGUAGGUAUAUCAUCAGUUUAUGUGAACAUGUGUGUGUGUGUGUGUGUGUAUAUACAGGCCUUAAUUAGUAGGUAUAUCAUCAGUUUAUGUGAACAGUGUGUGUGUGUAUAUAUAUAUAUAUACAGGCCUUAAUUAGUAGGUAUAUCAUCAGUUUAUGUGAACAGUUAAUAUGGCCUUUACUUGAUCUUCCUAACACGUUAUAAUCGUCCCUACUGUGACGAGCUGCUGCCCAGUGAUAGGGAACAACAACUUUUUGCUAUAAAUUAAGAGAUGAUAAUGGAUCUUGAUGACAUCUAAAGCAUUAUGGUCCAUACAUGUCCACGUACUGCUUUACUCAAACAAUUCGCUUGCUUUGUGAAUCGUCAAAGUAAACCACAACGGCCGUAGAAACUUAUGAUAACUCAAAAUGAGUCUGCAGGAUCUGGUUUAAAAAGUGAGGCAUAAAUGUAAUGAAAAAGUAAUUAGCUCUAGCUACUUCCGAGUAAUUCGCAAGAACCGAGGAUUUAAACACAUUAAUGAAGCAAUUUUAUCAAGAACACUUCACAUGGUAGGCCUUAAAUUCCCUCUCAGUGUUACCUCACAUGAUCACAACUAAGUUGAUCAAUUCGUCUCCAACAAAAUCGUUCGAACCCAUGAGAACCCCAAUGCUCUCCAUGUGCGCAGUUCUACUAAACGAAACAAUCACACCCCACCACUCCAUGCAUCCAUAACAAGUAUAUAGUGACAACCAAACAACCUCUCUCUCUCUCUCUCUCUCUCUCUCUCUCUCUCUCUCUCUCUCCAUUAACGUGUCUCACAUGUGGGGUGUAUAUAUGAGACAAGGUGUUGCCCUAGGUUUGCCUCUCAGGAACCACCACGUUGUGCAACUGGGGUUAGUAUAUAAAAGGGAAGUAAUAGUCCAUUAAUAGAGGCAACAUAAACGUGCACUAGUUGCCCUACUUGGUCUACUUCGAAAUAUGGCAAAGCAUGGGCUCCAUGUUCACUAGUCACUACAAAUAUAUUUAUCUUUGACCCUCUCACACUAAGAACAAAAAAACGAAAAAAUAUGAAAAACCAAAAAUAGAAGGUAGCUAGAUCUACUACACUACAAUAUAAUUUUACUUACGUAUGAAAUCCAUGCCAAAAUUUAAAAUAACAUGGAAACAAGAUGUAGCGUUAAUUUCCAUAUACCGAAUAUAGAUAGCAAAGUCAAAUCAUGAAUCUCAUAAGCCAAUAUAAAAGGACUAGGACUAUUUUGAUAAAACAACAAAAAGAAUCCACUAUACAUCAUCUAUCUAUCUAUAAGAAGAUGACAAAAACAAAAAAACAUCUUUUCCUGUGAACAACUUUAGAGAAGUAAUAUACUUUGACCAAAUUACGGCAUCAGUAUGAGGCUAUACCUUGACCUAACCUAAACCUAUGUAGAAAUUAGACUAAGACGGGGCAAGAACUUUGGGGUACAAAAGUUGGAUCCGGUUACUGUACCGGAUCAACAUUGGAUUCCUUAUACUAUUGACUGUACCUAACUAAUUAAACUAGCUAGGAAUAGUAUGAACCUGUGAAUUGGACUUAGCUUGAUAGAUGCAAAUUGGGACCCGACUUUGAUUGGUGUGAUGGAUUUGAUCGAUUCUCCGUACUUAAAAAAAAUUUAGAAUAUAUCAAUUAUAUUUAUUAUUAAUUGAGUGUUCAUAACAAAUAAAAUUAUUUUUUAAAACUCACUUGUCUUAUUAUGAUUACAUUAGAAAAAAAAUUUAUUAUAUUUUUCUCUCGAGAUAUAAUUUGUUGGUUAUUAACGAUGCUACAUACCAGACAUCUUCGAGAAACGAUAUCAAUGCAGCAAAAAAUAAAUAUUACACCCUCCACAUCCAUGAGUUAAAAAAACUCUUUGAAACUUUUAAUUUUUUUAAAAAUAUUCUGAUAAGAUUAGUGCUUUAAAAUUGAUUUUAAUUAGAUGGUAUAAAUUUUGCACCCACUUUUAGAUAUACAGAAUGUUAUAGUGCUUUCUGAAAAAAAAAAAAAAAAAAAAGGUGAAAAUGUACUAUAGCUCUCUCAACAUAAAGCCAUUUUGAAUCGUCCCUCAAUUUCAUUUUAUAUGAUAAAUUAACACCCUCUUAACUUCUUUUUUUUUUUAACUUAGUUAAUUCUAUUUUGUUACAUUAAAACGUUUGUUAAACUAAUAACAUUUAACCAUUGAUACUAGACAUUGAUACUUCUAGUUUCCUUCUCCCCCUCCCCCCUCUUAUAAUUUGCUCUCAUCGCGAUACGCGAAACGCAAUAUUACUUACAAAAACAAACAGAAUAUUUUUUCAACAUACUUUCUCACCGCACGUAACGUAAUUUUUCCGCAAUCCCAAACCAAAUCUAAAUGCUAUUUGUAAAUCUCAUAUCUUAUACUCAACCUAUCUAAUAAGUGAGAAUAUUUUAUUUGUCAUAUGAUGUGACUAGUGAAGCUCCUUUUUUUCCAUUGGGUGUAAGGUAUAAGUCAUAUACUCGGAAUGAGGUCUAUAGCAAGUAUAGCUCCUCUUAUCGAUGAGCAAUACUAUACAUACAUCCCAAUAUAGGGCCUAAACUUUAUACUUUUAUACAGCAUCUUUAUAAAUUAUAUAUCUUGACUAAAAAUUCUCUUUGUACAUCCUAAUAGGGGAGUGUAGAUCUUACACAUUUUAUUGUGAAAUUCAAAAAAAUAUAAAUAAUUUUUAGUAAAAAAAAUAAUGUGAUAAGUAAGGCAUAAUGAUUCUUGGAUGAAGAUAGUAAAAAAUAUAUACUUUAUUUUAGAGUGUACUAGUAACAUUGCUGUUUGUCCAGGUCAUUUUUUUAUUUUUACUCAUUUUUUUUUUUUAUUUUUACUAAGUCUCAAAAAUAUUUUUCAUUUUUUGGAUUACACCCUUUAUAGGUGAGUGCAUGUUUGAUAUUUAUUAAAGAACAAUGCUAAUUAUACACUUUUUGCGGGAGUUAUAGAUUUUUUUUCAGUCCAUAUUAAUUCACUUAUCUUGCCUUUUUUUUUUAAAUUAAACUAAUACUUCAAGGAGGUAUAUCUAGAUCAAUGCUUAAAAUUUGCACUCUAGCCUUUUGGUGGUCCUUGUUGCCUCACUUGUCUUAGUAUUUUUUUAACUAAAGUUUUAAAAUAAUUUACUAAUUUUUGAACGGAAAGUAUAAGAUAUACAUUUUUAUAAAAAAUGUAUAAGUAAAAUAUUUUGUGUAUUAAUUCUUAGAUUAAAGAUGUAAAAUGUACCUUUUUGAGUGAAAGUUGUUAAAUUUUAUUUUGAUUUUUUGGUGAUUUAAAACUUAUUAAGUUUUUUGAACAGUCCCAUACUUGAUGGGUUUUGGGAUCUUGGAGCCCAUAUUAAGAUUUUCAUAUGUGAGAAUUAAUUCCACAUUGGAAACAAAAAGUAUGUUGUUAUUAUUUAUAUACUCUUUCAUUCUCAAAUUAAUUGUUUGGAAGAAAAUAAGAGUUGUUACGACAAACGCACAAACGGAAACGAAAUGACGAACACAAAAACAAUCAAACUACAAGCAGAAAAUAAAUAGACACAGAUUUACGUGAAAAAUCCUUUACAGGGAAAAACUAAGGGCGAGGGAGGAGAGAACUUCACUAUGGAACGAAAAAGGAAAUACAAUGUUCUUCCAGUUACAACCGACUACGAUCACACGCCUCUAGGGCAAAAACGAAAAAAGAAAAACUCAUAACGGGUUUCGGAUCCGAUCCGUACCGCAGGGGGCGGAGUCCCCCGCACCCCCUGGCGAAUGUCAGUGGUGGGCUACGAGCUCGGGCCUGUCGGCCCGAGCCCUCUGCUACCCACCACAGACAUUCAUUUUUCCUCCAUAAUUUUCUUUUUCAAAUUGGUCACACCGCGAAGCUAUUGGCGAGUCGUAAAUCCGAACUUGAAUCGAUAGUAGAUUUCGAGUUACAUCUAACAAGAGUUAUGUUCUCGACUAAAUAUACACACGCACGGCACAAACCGAGAUGACGGUGGUGCGUGCGGUCCAAACACCCGGCUUAUUUUAUUUUAUUUUUAUUUAUUAUUUUAUCUUUAUGUGUUUGGGAGUCAUAAUCUGUAUCAUAAUUCGUAUCCCGUAUAUUCGGACUCGUAGGCUUAUCUUGUACUAACGGAUUGACAUGUUGAAAUAAAAUUUUUAUCUUGGACAUAUAUUAGAGGAAGUUGCAUGAGUGCAACCUAAACUUGGGCUUAUCUGAGAGCAAAAAUUCUAAUCUUUAUCUCGUCAUCUUCCGUUUUUUCGCCAUCGAUAUUUUACGCUAAUUUUUACUGAGCUUUCUCAUAUUUCGCUCGAUUUAAAAUUUGUUGGGUUCAACUUACGCCAUUUUGAAAACAUGCCAACGGAGUAGAAUGUGGAUAUUGUAUAGCUAAAAUAAUUGUCAAAAAGUCUCGCACGUCGAGAGAUAAUUUUACUUAUAAGAUAGUACCUCUGCACCUUUGCUAAAGGAUAAAGAAGAUUUUUCAGCAAAAGUUGUGUAGAUGAUAUUUUUGUUUGUAAUGAGACAGGAGUUUAGUAAAUGAAUCUCAGUAAAGUGACACUGACAUUUGAUGGUACCACCAAGUUCAGGGUCUGGUCUGUUGUCUCUGUUCUUGUUUUUCUUGUUUUUCUUAACUAUAAAAAUGGUGGUCGAAUAAAGCCGUACAUUUCCAAUCAGACGGCUAGUACAGUCCCAUUAAAUGAUCACAAAACAGGGGAUUGUGUUCUACAUGGUAGUUUCAACAGUAUUAAAAUAUUGAAGGUUUUCUCUGUAACCAAUAUUCUAAAUUACCGAAUACAUUGCAUUAAUCCGAUUGUGUUACCAGAGCGUAGAGAUCUAAUUAAUGGCAAUUGAGUUACUUCAGAGCAAAAUAGUGUCGAAAAAGAAAAUUUUGAUAAUAAGCGAUAGUAGGUGUAAUAUAAUAUAAGUCGAUGUUUAGAUAUGUAAUAGCUGUUUAAGGAGAAACACUUUUCAUGUAUGUUGCAGCUUAGUUUAAGAGAAAAUAUACAUUUUAGUAUGUGUAGUAGUUAGUUUAUGCGCGAAUCACUUCCUACGUAGUGAUUAAUUAGUACUCGACUAUUGGAUAACAAAUUAAUAAUGUUCCAGAUUGAACCCCUGCUUCGAAUGAACGUUCCUUUUAGUUCGAUCGACAGCAUAGAGUUUAUAUUGCGGAUUUGCGUUAUCGCCAAAUGCUUUACUAGUCAUUUAAGAAAUGUUAAUCACUUAUUUGAUGUACAAAAGGCGACGACUGGUUACGUGAAAAUGUGAGGAGUACGUGCGAAGGAUAUGUAAGUGAUACUUUCCAUUGUAAUUAAGUAAUUAACUACAUAAAAUCUCGUUUAUUAUAGCACCUUUCUAUGAAAUAACCGAGACGAGCUAGCACUUAUGUAAUAAUCAUACGAGAAAAGCUCCACCCAAUAAUUUUGGUAGGCCGGGUCUACAUAGAGCGGUCCACGCAAUAAUUUUUUGAUCUGAGCCCACGGGGGCUCGAAUGCGGGCCCCACGAAGCGGCGAGGUGCAGAGUCAAAGAACCGCUGACCGUUGACCGGGUCGUACAGUGAGGGCUACGAAUCUGAGUGACGGAGGCGCGGUUCGGCACACUUCCCGAAGCGGCGUACGACGUGGCGUGGAUGACAUCCCACUACAGCGGGCCCCACCUAAAAGCGUACUUGGGAGAGAGUUUUUUUUUCCAUGGACCGCCCCCUGUACGCCGCAGUUAAUAUGGUCUCAGAAAAAGUGAAAAAAAAAAAUUAUCAUCUAUUUUUAUUUUGCGCCUUGAUGAUAAAUUUGUAAAACUAUAAUUCCGAAAAAAAUUAUAUCGUCUCGAAAAUUCGCAUUUUCUGGAGAGCCCGGUCCAUGUGUCCAGUGAGUUUUCGAAAUAAAAGUAAAAAUAAAAAAUAAAAAAAAAGUAGAGCCCGAACUCGACACUUCUUGAACAAACGGUGGGCCCCAAAUGUUGGGGAGUUUGUCCACGUGGAGUCACAUGGAUGUGGGGCCCACAAAGAUUUUGCCAAAUCUCGCCAAUUCACGGAAAGCAGUUUUGGUGCAUUCCAAUACCCAUUAACUUUUGGGAGAAGUUACCUCCACACCCUUCUAAAAACAUCUUAUUUCAUAAAUACCUUUUUAGAAAUUAAAAUUUUCUCAAUUUUAAAAAAUUUUUAAAAAUAAUUUUGCCAUCAAGUGUCCAUCUACAUUAAUGUUAAUUAGUAUUUAUAAAGUACAUGUUAUGUGCUAUUAGGAGCACAGAGACCUCUGUGCUCGUAAGCCAUUUUCGAUGAUGAAAUUUUUGAAUCGACGAUCAACUCCAUUAGAUUUGAUUUACCAUAUUUAAAUUAUUUAGAAAAUAAAUUUUGUGAUUUUUCGAUAUUAUUUACCUAACGAUCAAAAGAGUUCAAAAUCACUGGCUAAAAAUAAAAAUCUCACAAAAAUAGUGAUAUAACUAAAAUUUUAGAUCAAAGAUAUUAAUCUUGCAGUAAAUAGUAUAAAAAAAUUUUCUAUCAAAAUUUCAUCUAAUUUAAAUACUUCUACACCGUUAAACUUACAAAUGAUAUAUAUCAAUUAUUAAAAAUUAUUAUUUUUAAACCCUUUAGAUAAGUAGGAUAAUGAUAUCGAAAAAUUACAAAUUUUUUUUCUUUUUUAAGAAAAUAUAGUAUUGGAGCGAAUCUUAAUUCUUAAGCCUCGCCGGUUUUAAAAGGCACACAUCCCUUAUUUUAUGAUAUAUAUUAUUGUUUACUGCUUUAUUGUUUUUUUCAGCAUUAAUUAAUUCGAUUCGCAACAUUAUGCUCCGAAAUUAAUCAUAUUAAUGUGAUUGGUGCAAUUUAUUUUUUGCUAAUCAAACUUGUGUUAGUACAGUUUAAAUUUCUUCAAAAAUAUUAUCUUUAUAUAUUAUUAAAGAGCCCAAAGAUAGAAUAUAAAAAGUUUUGAUUGAUAAAUAAAAUAAUUUUGAAGAGCAAUACUAUUAAUACAUACCAAAAUGUAUUUAUACGACACAUUUGAUCAAAUCGAUGUAACUAAUAAAGACUUUUUGCUAUUACAUUCGAAAAGAUUAUCUCUUGAAAAAAUUGAAGAUAUAGUACAAAAAGUUUUGAUUGUUUAGCAAAAUAAAUUUAAAGAGCAUCACUACUCAUACAUUCUAAAAUGCACUUGUAUUAUACAUCUCAUCUAUUCUAAAAUGAAAAUAUUUUUACUAACUAUAUCGAUGCGACUGACUAACGAAAAUAUAUUUAUCUUAAAAUGCAUAGGGAACGUGUAAAAUGUGCAUUCCAAAGGAUCUGCCUACUCAUAACGUUUGCUUAAUUUUUAAAUAUUUCAUUAAGCACCUAAUAGGUCAACAGCACCGGCCAAAACAGUUUGUGGGGAUCAAAAGAUUCUUAAUUUUUAGAAGAUGACAAGCAGCUAGGCAAUUAUAAGUUGAAUAUCACAGUUGUUAUUGUUGUUUUUUUUUUUUUUUCAGAAAUAGAUAGUGAUAUGUCUGCUUCAUUCAUUCGGAAAAUAAAUUAGACUUACAAAGUGGAAGCAGCCAGGAUCUCCGAAGAGGAAAAGCGUCAAAGAGUAGCAACAAAAAAGAAAAACAAAAAAAGUAAAAACGAGAAAGUAAACCGAUAAACUAAGGAAACUGAACAGGGUCACCGGAUUGCGACUCAGGAAUCCACCAAAAACUUAACACGCUCCAAAGACCGGGCGGGAUUGGGGGCGUGAUCGCGAAAGAUAAUGUCGUUUCUUUCCGUCCAAACCACCCACCAGAUGGCAGAAAUGAGAGCGAGGGAAGUAACUCUCUUGUUGUAGUCAGGCAAAGCAAUCAAUCUUGACCAGAAAUAUCACUGUUGUUGUUGUUGUUGUUGCUAUUAUUAUUAUCAUGAUUAUAGAUCGUAGUUGUCAUAAUCCUAUCUUAUUUUAAACUAAUUAACCUAGCUACCACUAAUCAGUGAGCAGGCCACAAACUCCAAAAUAUGCACACAUAGAAUUCGAACCUUCACCAUUUGAAAACGCCUCCAGAAUAAGAACCAUUUCAGUAAGCAACUGAUAAAGCCAUCACAUGGAAUGCCUGAAAAAUUACGCACACUAUAUUGUAGGAUUCUAGCAAUAUAAUUGUUUGAAAUAUUACAUGCCUUUUCUGUUAAAUAUAAAAAUGUUUAAACAUUAUUUUUUUAACAGCUUAACUUUUUAAAGUACAACGGUUAGUUCAUAUGGUAUCAGAGUAGAAGGCCUGAGUUCGAGUCAUAAUCACGCCAGGCUCCUAAUAUAUUAAUUUUUUUUCAUUUAAUUUAAGCACACGUCAUGGGCCGACUAAAAAGUUUCGAGUCCAGACGUGAGAGGGAGUGUUAAAUAUAAAAAUAUUUAAACACUAUUUUCUAACAGAGUACAACGAUUGUUUCACACUUUCUCUCUCUCUCAAAAAAAAAAAAAAAAAAAAAAAAAGAGCCCGCAACUAAUUACUGCUUGAUUAAUCUCUUUUUGUUUCUUUGUGAAUAGGUUCUUGGUUCAUUAAUUAUGUUGUUAAAAUAUAUAUGCCAUGCCUUAAAACUUUGUUGACAUACACACAAGCACUAUACUAUAUAUAUAUAUAAUGAGAGAGGAUAUAUUUGAUUAGACUCUCGCCAAAAUUACAGACAAAUCGAUUCCUCGAACACGAAAAAUGCUCACUCUAUUAAACUAAUUAUUUGCUGUAACCUGAACACUAGACAACAUAAAGCAUGCAUUACUUAACAGUUACACUACUUGUUCUUGUUGAGAUACUCUCUCUCUCUCUCUCUCUCUCUCUCCAUAUGUGAGAUGGAUGACCCUUUAACUCUUUACUUUGAUUCUUAACUCGAAAAUAACAUAUGCUACAGUCAUAUAAACUUUUAAGACUUGCGAGUUUGAAUGCUUGAACCUAUGUGUUACAAAACUUUAUAAAUCUUACAUAAGCAUCCAUCGUAAAGUAUUACCCGAGCUCGUAAAAAGUUUAUAAGCAUCGUAUUAUUCUGUAACCUUUUUGCUAUACUUUCAAUUUCUCUUUUAUUUUUAAUUAGAUUACAGGAAAUCACGCUCAAAAAUUAAGUUUUUAUGGUGCAUGCACGUUAAGAGAUAGCAUGUGAAUCAUAUUUGCUAGCUAAACCAAGGAGGCAAGUACUGAACAUAUCUAGAUACUUUAAUAACAAUCAAUAACUAUCAAUUAACUAGAUUCAAUAUUAAUCUCCUUUUCCAAGGAAAAAUUAGCGCUUUGACCUGAAACUAAUUUUUUUUUUGCUCUUUUAUUUUGUGUGUUCAGUUCCCAUUAAUUGGACCUUCCUAUCCUAGCCAUCCUGCUGACGUGGAGUUGGGACUCCAACUUUGGAUCCUGUCUCAGAUUCCAAGGCACAUGUUUACCAUUAAUUAAUGAAUAAAUACUUGUGCACGUUUGAUUCUAUUGUACACAGUUUUAUGUUUAACCUUUGUUUAGUUCCUUUAAUAGCAAAUGUAUGUGUGUGUACAAGGAGACAAUCAGACAAGGCAAAAAAGGCAAAAAAUGGGAGAGGGCUAGCUUUCAGGGAGAGUUUUUUUUUUUUUUUUCCCGAAAAAGAACAGUAGAAACUUAGCUGAAAAUAUGAAUCAACUAGGUUUUAAACUUGGGAUCUCGAAUAUCAAUUACUAAAUUCUUUGUAACUUGCAUUAGGGACGGUCAAUAGCUCAUAGGGAGAGUUUUUUUUUUUUUUUUUUUUUUUUUUUUUUUUUGAGAGAAAGAUAGAUAGCACGCUACCCGCUUUGUUUAUUUCAUUUAGAAAUAAACUUAGCUGAAAAUGUGAAUCAACUAGGAUUCGAAUUUGGGUCUCGGAUACCAACCACCAAAUUCUUUGCCACUUGCUCUAGAAACGGUCGGUCUUAUAGGAAGAGUUAAUAUUAUAAUAUGAGUACAUAGAAUAAAGAAGUGAGGGAUCAUCUUAGUUGUAUUGUUUUUGAAUGGAGCGGGCAUAUAUAGGGAGCAAACAAACAUGUGGAACAAGAUCUAUUGGACUAAAGCUUUAAAUGGGAUUGGGUGUAUGAUUGAUGUGUCACAUGUUUUUUGAGAGAUUUGAUGUGUCACAUGUUAAAAGUGGGUUUAGUUAAGGAAUCUCUUCAAUUAUUUAAAUAAGAGCUUAAUUAAAGACUUGAUAUAAGAUAUUGCUAACAGCAUAGCAAUCACAUGAGGCAGCAACACGAUGGCGACCGGAUAAUGGUAACUUGGUGAGUAAUAACAAAUGCGUUAUAUGGCUUUUAAAACAGUUUCGCUACUUCUAAAAGCAUGUUAUGUGGCUUCUAAAACAGUUUCGCUAUUUCAAAAAGCACUAGUGCAUGCCUGCAAAGCGAAAAGCCAAUCUUUUUCUGUAAUAAGCCACCAAAUUUUGCUUCUACAGUUUUAAAAAGAAGCUCAGCUUUUAAUGAAAACAGAGUUUCCAGAGAUAUAAACCCCAACAAGGAACAUUACUAACUAGGGAUAAUCCUGCUACUAGUAGUACAUUAUCCUAAAAGGUCGCCCAGUAUCUCAGCAGUUAAGGCUUCAUACAGAUCAAUUCUUCAGUUAAUUUCAUAAACUGAGCAGCUUAAACUGCUGCAACCAAAAACCAAAAUUUCUUUCUACAUAUAUUACGCAGAACAGGAAAAAGAAAAAAAGAAAAAAUAAGAGGACCUUCGUAAACUUCAAAAUACAUAUCACAUUAUUUCACAUCAAGAUUGAAAAAAAGAAAUUUUUGCCCGAGAUUAUCCUCGGCACAGUAAACAAGUACACCCAACAUUGGCUCCUUUAUUCUUCCUGUUUAUACUAGCGUAUCACCUUCAUUUUACACCUCAUAUGUACAGUGACAAAUUCCCUAAACACUACAAAAUUCACUAGUAUAAUCUCCAAGGGAUACCCCCUUUUCCACCACCUAUUAAACCCUCAUCAAUCCUCUCUUAUUCAAACCCCCAGCUUCUGAGUAUCAAUACAGCUUUAUUUUGUUGCAAACGAAAAGGACAUCACAAUCUGCCGCGUCCCCGCAGAUCCCUGUUAGAAAAAAAUUUUGCCUCUAUGCACUCCAAGAAACAAGACCACGACAAAUCAUCUUGCUCUAGAGUUGUUGGAGGCGAAUAAGCAAACACCAAAUAUGCACUCAUUGAUGCAAACAUUUGUUUUUUCACUCAUCGAGAUUGCGCUCCUUUAGGUUCUACCGUCACGACAGCUGAAACUGUGGCGUUACAAAAGAAACAUCUCUGGCUGUUCAAAAGGUGUCGGCUUAUGCAGCCAAAGCAAGAUGUGUGGUGGCACGGCUCGAAGAAAGCAUCUGAAUUAUUGUUGUAGCAGAUGCAGCAGCUAUCUUCUGUUUCAUCAUCACCACUUUGGGUUUCUAUUUCUCCUCUGCUAUUUAACUCCUCUGUUCUGCUUCUCAAGUAGCUGGAGAAUUCCUCAAGCCGGGCAAGCUUCGUAACGGAAGCAUCUCCUCUCAGGACAAUGCUCUGGAGCAUACAGACAACAGGAUUUAGGUAAGAAGAAAAGUUAGCAGAAGAAAGCCACGCCAUAGGAAUGAAAAUGCAACCGCAAAAGAUCUUGUUUGUUUUAAGGCGUGCAAAAUAUAAAUAACAAGCAAAGUAGGAGAUUGAUUCACUUGGCAGCAUUAACGAAAGGGUUAAAUCACAAAAUGAUCAUACUGUCUCCACGUCUCCACUUGUAAAAUGCUAGCAAUUGCAAAGAAGCAAUCCGUUCCCUAUGUUUCCAGGUUCCGACAUUGAUACAUUCCUCAAAUACUUAUUUAGUUUAAAAACAUUGUUCCUUGCGCUAACUUACGAGUAAUUCAUAAUAUUAUAGAACAAGUAAAUAAGUGAGUAACUAACUGCAAGAAGUUCAAUGGUAAUUGUGUGGUCUCUUUCACAUAAAAGGCUACUAGUCCACUCGCUAGCAACCUGGUUUAUCACAACCAAACAUUGUUUUCACUGAAAAUAGAAUGUCCCAUGCGGUUUUUAUCUUUUUCCUAAUUAUCAAAGCAACCAUCUAUGAAAUUCUCAUCCCAAUAUUAAUAUUAGCCAGAAAUAUGAAAAUAUAAAGGAUCAAGAAAGCUAACCCAAUUGUAGCUUAGCAGGUAUUGCAAUCCGUAGUGGACGGUAGGACAGUCCAUGCUAACAAACACAGAAAUCACAUCAUUCAGCUUUUCUCGCCCUGGAUCUGAACAAGCAUCCAUGAGAUUAACAAUGAUCCCAACCAGAGGUGCCAAAAUCAUAGUCCGAUUUGUUUUCUCUUGGUUCUGGCCAGGUCGCCUAAUUGACCUGCAGAAGUAGCUUAACAACAUCAAUACAAGAGGAAAAACAAACCGAUAGAAAGUAACAGCAAGACUGAAUUUAUUGCUGGAUUUUUUUUUUUUCCUUUACUUUCGCCUAUUUAUCAAGGAUAUGUUUAAAGUUUGGUUUUACUUAAAAAGCUUGGAAUUGAAAGGGAAAAUAAUUAAACAAUGAAAGAGCCCAAUUAGAUCUUUCUAAUCAAACUUACAUGUCAAAAAACUCUGAAUCAGCAGCUGAAAUUAUGUGGUUCAAAAUAAAAAUGAUCCAUUCAGUUAGCCUCCGAAGAUUCAUGUCAGGCCCAAAAAGAAAUGCCUGAGGAAUUUCACGCAUACAGAAUUCUAGUAUCCUUGCAAGGUUGCAUGAAAUGUCAAAUAUCGCACUGCAUUUUCUUUGCUGCAGGUCAACAAUCUGAUAAAAAAGAAUACAAUAUCAAGAUUAAGGAAGUCAUUUCACACACUAGUCGGCAGCAUGAUAUAUCAGCAGAUAUAUCUUGGGAACGAGAAAAUGCAAUAUCAAUUUACCUCAUAAUUGUCUUGCAUCUCUCGAAUGGACAUAGAGAAUUCCGUCAUAGUCCAGCUCAGCAUGUUGAAAAGUCGAUUGAGAAAGGAAGAAAAUAAUUCCUCAUCGUGAAUGCAUGCCUCUCGCAGCAACACCUUCGUGAUGCACACAAGAAACUUGUCACAAUAAGUUCAAUUGAUUCAAGGAAAACAGAAGCAAAUAUAUCUAUAUCUAACCUGGAAAAGUGCUGAUGAUGAAGAUUCUGCAUGUCUUGACACAGCAAAUCCAGAACCUUUGCAUAGUCGUAGAAGUAUAUUUGUAACAGGUAACCAGGAUCGGUUAUCAAAUGCUGCUAGUAAGGCUUUUGGCAUUCUCUGAACAGCUUCCUUGUUGUUCUCAAAGGCAACUAAAAAGUCCUUAUACUGUACUAAGACUGAUAUUGACUGGAGAAGAAGAUCUUUUAUGUCCGCACUUGAAAUUCGGUGAUCAUUGAAGUGCUUAGCAAUAAAGGUAACCUGAUAAGGAAAAGACAAGUGAAAAUCCUUGGAAAUGUACUCAGCUGGACAACUGGCAUCUAGGAAUGAUAAUUCUAGGUAGCUAGUACCAGAAUACUAUUUCUCUGAUCAAUAAUUCUCUGAUCCAUAGUAAUUUCCUUACUAAUUUAUUCUGAUAAAAGUAAUUCUAAAUAGGUAAGAUCAAUGGCUCUCUACUCUCUUUCUACUAUCUUGAUAUUGCGACUUAACCCCUGAAGUUUCCACUUAAACAAUCUAAUCUCUGAACUUCCUCAUGCUUUGCAAGUGAAUCCCUAACCUGCUAAAAAAGUCUGCCAAAAACUGAUCUUUUCAUACCUGUUUUCAAGUAGCCUGAAAAAGUUAGAAGUUGGUCAUUUUUAUCAGGGAGGAUUUACAAUAGGUAAGAAAGUGACUGAAGUGUUUAUUUGAAAACUUCAAGGACUACGACACAUUUUGGGAUAGUACAGGGACUUUCCUUGCAUUUUACUAUGUCUAAAAGAAUGGGGUUCGAACGAAAGAUAAAUGCAAUCCUAUAUUGGUCAUCAUGUAGCAUAAGGAAAUACUUAUCAGUAUAGAUUCCAAGCUAAAAGCAUGUUGCAUGUCGUCAAUUGUGCUAUUCCCACAAAAUAUUUUGCAUGCUACCCAUUCUCAAAAGCGCAACAAUUAUUUCGGGUUUGCAGACCAUUUCUAUUUCAAAUAUCAACAUUAUAUCAAUUCACAUACGAAUCUUGAAUGCUAAAAAUUUUGCUGCAGAGAAGGGGAUAAGAAAGCUGGACAAUUAAAAAAAUUAACGUCUAUGUUCCAAAACAUACAAAUGAUGAAAGUCCAUGCUUGAUAAACACUGAAGAAGAAACAAAUGGAGGAUCACUCCUUCGCAAUGCAUGGAAACUAUCAACCUGCAAAAGAAAGAAAGAAAAGUUAUUUAAUAAAGGAGUUCAGGUCACAACCAGAAAGAAGAACAAUCAAUCAAGGACAACAAAGAAUAGCUUACCAGCGAUUCCACAUAAAAUUCAGGAAUAUAUAGGAAAACAGUAUCAAUAUCGCUGAGGACCAACAGUAGAUCCACUACCCACAUGCAUGUCGCAUACAAUCCUCUUUGCUUCCACCGAGAAAAAAGAGAGGCACGAUACCUGUGAUAGGAACAAAAAAGGGCAAAAAAACAAACAGUGAACAUCGCUACAAAAAGGAAAAAAAAGAAAUAUAUCAAAGUGUUAAGUAAUAACUCCGCUUCAUUACAACAUUGUUUUUGAUCCUGUCGGUUACGAGGACGGAUUAAUUUGAUACAAAUUGGAAGGUUAAUUUAACUAUGUCUGGAAGGUUAAUUCAACUAUGUUUGGAUAGUCAAAUUAGCAAAAAAAAGCAUGCUAACUAAACAAGUGGAAGGCCUCCAACAUUGAGCUCAACAUUCUCAUCAGCACAGACUUAUAGUUCUGCAGUAGUUAAUAUGAUGUGUAUAUUUCUAUCUGGACAAUUUCACUAUUGUGGAAGAAUAAUCCUGGGUUACCAAACAAAGGUGUACGUAGUCAAAAGUCAAAGACAAACACUUCUCCCCUGAUAUUUUGUCAUUAUGAAUGUCCGAGGUUUAUUAUGGGUCGACUGGAUAAUUGACCUGGGACCCUUGACCCGCUCAUUUUGGUGGGGCAGUGAAUAACCAGGUAUUAAAACAUUGGUUCAGGUAGCCAGGAAUGUUAUAGUAUUAUUUAUUUCUCACAGAUUUCUAGAACAGAAAGUUAGGAGAAUUAAUCGAAAGGAACAGAUACUAUGGUAACAAGGCAUGAAUUCACGUGUCAGCAUGUAGCAUGAUGGAAUAUUACUUUUCAACACUUAAAAUAAGAUAGAAGGGAUAAGAUGCCAAGAUUUGCAAAAUAACAUGCAAGGAAAAGCAACUUCACGAUUUGAAGAAAUGAAUUUAUCAAUAAUGACCAUACCAUACACAAUGCUUGACACAGUCAACCAAUUCUUCACGAUAAACAUUGCGAGCUUCCUUCAAGCGCUUUACUUGCUCAACGGAUGAUUUUUCUCUUAUCUGUUUGUCAGUAUCAUCUAAUAGAGAAAUUGAUUGCGACUGAUGAGACAUGAAAUAAAAUGCCUGCAGUGAAUAUAAGAAUUGGUAGUUCAUCAAAAAGAAUGCCAAAUGGAAAUUCAAAUUAUGACUUAUGAUCAGCAACCAAAGGAUCACCUGUUAGAAAGAUGUAAAAAAGGAGACAUUCAGAUAGUGGAAAACUAAAAAUAUCAGAAUAACUCCUUAUGUUGUUCAUAUUCUAUGGAAACUCGAUAUCAAAAGUCCAGGGCGUAGGUGCUAAAUUUUCAUUAGAAAAUUAGAUAAAUGAGAGUUCGGAUCACUUGCCUGCCGAAAUUUCGGUGCAACACCCAAAUGAUAAAGCAAUAGCAUAAUAUCAAGUAGCUCCUCCUCUCUCAAUGCUUCUGAAGAUAAUUGAUCCAUCAUUGGGACGCUCCCCAAAUUAUGCAAUGGUCUGUACCCAAAAUCAGUUUCUGACUGGUCGCUUGAACUAGGUUUAUCCACAAUCUCAUCACUGAAACUCCUUGCACUGCAUUCUGCUGCGACAGGAGUUGACUUUUCCGGCAUAGACUUACAUGGACCUUUAGAAACUUUACCUGGGUAUUUAACACUAUCUUUUGACAUUUCGAAGACUUCAACCUCAGGUGUUGAACAACAACAAGGUUUCUGCAAUGUAGAAUGUGUUAUUCUUGAAUCUCCAUCAUCUGUGUAGCCUUCAUCCCACUGUACUUCCUUUUUCUCAUCAUCAGUGACUUGGUGAGACUUUGAUAGAUGACACAUUGUACCACCAAUUCUAGGAACUCCACUGCAAUAUGUAUCAUUUCGAAAAAACAAGUCCACAGGAAAGUUCCUUUUUCCACGUCUGUGGAGAAAUCCAAUAGCAAUUCCAGAGUUUGUUCUAGAGCUGGUCGUUGACCCAGAAGAAUCCUCCAUGGAGAAUCCUUCAGAUAGCAUAUGCAGGAUAACAUUGUAAAGAGAAAGAAUCACGGUAUUGCUUGAAAUACCAGAAGAUACCAUCUUGUGAUCUACACCUCUCGUCUUUACUAUGCAAUUCUGUAUGAAAGUUCUGAACACGGAGCCAGGUAACUGGGGAGGACACCCUGGAGGUAUGAAACGAAUGACCAAACUACAAAGGUCGCGAUGCAUUUCCUCAAUCUGCAGAUCACAAACAAUUGCAUGUCAGUAACACGAGACACAAGUACUUUUUUUUCAAGAUGAUUUUUUCCCUAUAAAAAUGGAAAGGCAUAAUCCAGCAAACAGAAGAACAGUUGCCUUUAUUAGAUAUGUAGGUGACAAAAGCUGCAAUGAGCAUUUACAGAAUAUCAUUUGAGGUGAUUUUACAUUCACAAGAAUAGGACUCCCUUUAUGAAUAUUGCCAGGAUUAAAAGCAUAUGUCCAGUUUAAUUAAUGAUUACUAUAACAGAUAGUUGUACCCAACAGUAAAAAAUCUUUAUGUUCUUAGGCAGUUCUACUUGAUGUAUUCAAAAGAAACAGUACAUAACAUAUAUACCCUAAAUAAUAUCCUCAUAUUUCAAGUUUAUGUCUCCUCUGACUGACUUGAAUGUUCUCUAUAAGGAAAUAAAAUUGACCAUAGAAUGUUCAGAAGAUUCAUAUCAUCCUAAUAAUAGUAAAAUCAAGAUGGUUUUGGAGAUUAUCACUACAUGAUAAGUAUAAUAUGGAAAAAGAAAGUGACCUAAAUCAAGAUGGUUUUGGAGAUUAUCACUACAUGAUAAGUAUAAUAUGGAAAAAGAAAGUGACCUAAAUCAAGAUGGUUUUGGAGAUUAUCGCUACAUGAUAAUUAUAAUAUGAAAACGAAAAAAGAAAGUGACGGGUACCUUUGCAACUGCUCCAGAUAAUGCUGACAUGGUCAACAUCAUGCUGCUUUCAUUACCGACAUCCUCACAUGAACCAGGCCACCACACAGACGGAAUAAGGCAGUGUAAAUCCUGCUUGUUUGGGCUCUUCAUCGAAAGGAAACCUUCCAAUGAAAAUCCAAAAUCCAGCGAUUUCCACCACAGGACCAUCAUGUCUUUACGCCUGACAAUAUGGCAAGCCAGUGCAAGAUAAGGAUAUGAUCCAGAAUAAGGACACUCGGUUAGAACAAGUGGCGCUACUUUGCAGCUAUAAGAAAGUGCCACAAUAACAUGCUGGAGCAAUGAGUUCGCGCCUGGAAACUUGAGCAACAGGUCAAUAACCCGAUCCAAACUUGAAUAAUCAUGCGGUGCUUGGGACCCGAAGACAUCUACCAGGAAAGAAGAAAGUACUCCCCAGGCAAUAUAUUCAGUACUCCACUCACUUGACUCGACUAUGUUGUAGAAUUUUUCACAGAUUCCAUGUGAUAUGGGGCAAAACAGUUCUUUCAGUGGUGCAAACCUCUUCACCCUUCUCAAUUUCUGAAAAUAAGCUGACUCAGAUCUCUCCAAACACUGCACCUCCAGUAACCUGGACAAGCACUGGAGCAGAUAAGUAGUAAAAGCUACACGUUCGGGCGGAGCCUGAAUCGGACGAAACCCCUCAACAGGGUAUUUGAAUGGCCGAGAUCCAAAGUUCAAAUCGCAACGCUCACCUUCAGAGAGGGAAAUCGCCGGAUAAUAGCCAAUUGCCGGACCCACUUUGCGGAUUCCAUCAAACGCCACUCCAAGAGAAACCCCGUUUCUAUAAAAGGAGAUCUCUUUAGCAUCAAAAUCAAUACAACAUCCAAUCACAUCGCCCACCACCCAUGGCUGACCAUAUGCCCUAUGCUCCUUAUUCCACUUGGUCACUCUCCGGCCAUCAAAAGCAUAAGAAUGCUCCGAAUCACCCACUCCUUUCUGUUCAGUGAAGGGGCACAAAAGGGUAGCCCACCCAAUCUGCUGGAUUCCUGCAGUUUCUAAAGUCACCUCGUACAUCCACUUCCCCUUCCAUACGCAUGCAUUAACCCGAGCACUACUGAAUACCGACCGGCUUUCUACAAGCAAUGGCUUCCUUACGGUCUUGAAUUCCCCACACAUGCUUGAUUUGUCCAUACAAACAAUAUAAGGGCCGCAACCGUGAUCGUUAAAAAAUACGCCAUCUCUGCUAUAGUCAUCGGAAUCUGGAUAUCUUUGCGCUUGAUUCUUAAGGAUAGAACAGAUAAACUUAAUAUCAACUGUGUUAGAGGUUAGAGCGACCGAUUUGUGAGGGAGAUCAAAUAUGUAUUCGAUGGUCCGUUCCACUGCUUGGUUUCCGAUGUCACCGUGGUAAGAAAUUAAGUGGGACUUCUGAGGAUUCCCUUUUGGGUCAUCAUCUGAUAACAGAACAGCUAGGCCAGAGGAGAAUCCAUUUAGCCUAAUACUAUCUUCCGCCAUUAAAUUACACAGCAAGCAACUAGCUUUUCCUCCCUAAUCAUCGAUAUAACUAACAACAACAACAACAACAAAUUGUACAACAGCUUCUUCUGAUCAAAUCCCUGCUUUUUAGAGAUCGGGAAACCAGAAUCAGAUGCACAAGCACAGAACAAGCUCAAACAUUUACAUCAAAAAAUAAAGGAAGGACGCAAACAAUGAGCAAUUACCGAUUGAAACAGGCGAUUACUUUAGAAAAUCAAACCGAUUGAACUCUGGGAUGCAGGAGAAAGCGAUUGACGGUAAAAUUAUCAGAAUUAAGAAAAUAAGACGCGAAUUCUAAUCAGGUCAAACGAAAAAUUCGAGGGAUUAUAAGGCGAAAGGGACGAACUUUACCUUCUCCCGACAUCCAGUAGCUGAUUCCACGAAGAAGGGAGCCCUAGGGUUUCGCGAGGAUCGAUGAAUAGGCGGCGCGGGGAGGGAUUAGGGUUUCUAGAAGGGAAGGGGGAAACGAAACGGAGACGGAGAAAAAAAGGGGCAAAUGAGGAACUCGGAGAAACGAUUUUCGUUUCCUCGACAAGCAUCGCCGCACGAGUCCUGCGUCCGGGGACAUGUACCGUUUCUUUCGUGCGGGAACGUCAAUUAUUACGAUAAUUAGUUAUUUAAUUAACCCGUACGUGAUUUGCUUGGGGAAUCAUUUUAAGAAAAUUACACUGCGACUCCCCAAACUUUUCGCAACCAUUUUAUUUUGGUCCAAAAAUUUUAAAUUCCACAAAUUUCAAAUUUCAGAUAUUUACUAUUUGAAAAUAAAUUUUAAUUAUUAGAUUGGAAAAAAUAAGAUGAACAAUGAGCGAAGAUUGAACGUAAAAGCUAGCGUCUUUAAAAACCAAACUUAUAAAUUAAAAGGACUACAGUGAUACCUAAGGGACUAGCAGUGCAAUUUUCUCAAAUAAUAAUAAUUUUCAUUAUGCCUCGAGAUUCGCGACGAAAAUCUAGACCGCUGAAGGGAGCGUUGAGAAGAACGGUCGCGUAGGAAUAUUUAUGCGCCGCGCCGCAUGGCGACGAGAGUGGCCACGCGGGCACCCGCACGCUGACCGAAGCGGGUGAUCGCACGGACAGGAGGUCAAACGACACGUGGCAAAGGGCGUGUGGCGAGGGAGGGAGAUGACGUGGGAAAACCAAACAGCUCACUGUUUCAAACGGCCAACACACAAAUAAAAAUAAAUAAAUAUAAAUUAAUAAUAAAAAUAAAGAAAUGGUAAAAAAUAAUAAUAAUUCGAGUUUCGCGCUUUCAAUUAUUUCCCCUUAUAUUGGCUCGGUCCCGUGAUACCCACGGGAGAGAGAAGAAAAGGUGAUACGUGAAUUUGCACAUGAACUCGAAUCGUCUAUAAAAGUUGAAUGAGGGCGUGUUUGGAUUAAUCAAGUAUACUUCGAAAAUGAUACGAUGUACUGAUUAUCUUAACUUUAUUGCUAAUGAAGUAUAAAGUCGUAACUGUAUAGCUCGGUCUGUAGCUCAGUGUUAGAUAUACAUAUUAAUAGAGACACCUUUAUUCAAGUUGAGCUGAUAUUAAUGGUUGUGAUUAGUUUUUGUUCCAUAUUUAAAUUUUUGAAUAGAGAAUUUGUCCCAAUUUAUCCAUGUGACAAGGGAAUGAAUUAAAUUUGUUAUGGAGUUGCUGAAUAUCUUAGGCCUACUUUUUGUUUUUUCCUUCGGUUUGUAGCUAAUUGUUGUAGUCUUCUUCUUGUCGUAAAUUAGUUGUUGCUCGUAAAUAGAACAUAAAGAUGUGUUUGAUGCCAUUUAUUUCUAUGUUUUUGCUCGUAAAGGUUGCGAUGAAAGGCGAUGCGUGCUUGUUUGAAACUUUUAAAAUCGACGAUUAAAUAAUGGAGUACUUUGAAUAAAUGGCUUUUGGAAUUUGAUUCCUGAUGAGCCUAAAAUAUGUUAGCUUUCGAUACAAGUUUGGGAAAAGUAAAAUUUUUGAGAGGAUCGUAAAAUGAUUAGUGUAUCUUAAAGCUAAAAUAAUUCCAAUAAUUAGAUAGGAGGACCUUCCAAAAUGGAGUGUGAUGGAAUAUUAUUUGUGCUUUGUCUAGGUGACAAGGACUGAAACUUUUAACUUAAUUGGUUGGGACUAUACGCAAAUCCAUUAUCUAAAUGUCUACAUCUUGAUAAAUUUUAGCAGGGAUUUGCAUAUAAGUUGUUACAAUUGUCAUUUGAUCCUAAAAUGUCCCUUUUUAUCCCCCUUUUUGGGUAAUAAUAUCAAUAAUUUUCCAAGUAUUAGCGUAGAUGCAAACUCAUACAGUCUUUUUUUAAUAAAAUAAAUUUAAAAAACUUAAGUACAAUCGGAUCAAAAUUUAUGCGAGUGUAACACAUUUCUUUUCUUUUCCUUUUGAUAUAAAAAGAGAUGGGUUUUUUUUUGAGAAAUAAGUAGCACGCUAUCCGCUUCGUUUAUUUCAUUUAAAAAUAAACUUAGCUGAAAAUGUGAAUUAAUUAGGAUUCGAACUUGGAUUUCAAAAGAGACGGGUUUUGAUCAUGUAUCCAGCAAUCGCCCAGCCCAACUGGCCCAGGUUUCUAUAGAGCAGAGUAACUAAUGGACCGGUCUGAGUCAAAAGGAUUUACUCACCUCAUGGGCUUUAAGUUGACCUAGGUCCAUUAGAAACACUAACUCCAAAAUAAAUACUCAACUUUUCACUUAACCAAGAGGGUGGGUAUAAACUGUUAAAUUAUAAUCUAUUAGAAUCUUAAAAUCAAGUUUUACUGUCCAAUAAACAUCUUUUUUUUGAUAGUGCACUAUCCGGCGUUAGCCUUUGAAAAUAAAGGAAGUGCCGUGAAUAAAACCAAAAUUAUCACUGAAAGAAGGGCUUUUUUGGCAUUUGACUGCCUCAAAAAUAUUAUUUUCAUAAAUAAUUUUAUUAAUUUUAUAAUUAUAAUUUUAGUUUUAUUUCUGUCACGCAAGCGAUACGUCAGCGCCACGCAAGCAUCGACGGUGGAUGUGGAAUAAGUAAAACACAGUUUAUGAUUUACCGUGUUUAGUAUAUUGUAUUAUUUAUGCGCUGAGUCAAUGUAUUCACCGAGCACAUUAAAUCAUUCACUGUGUUUGGACACAGUAAAUGGGUUAUCAUGUUCAACUUAUUCCACAUUCUCCAUCUCUACUCGUAUAGCAUUGACGUGACGUCUGUAUGACAAGAAUAAAUUCAAAAUUAUAAUUAUAAAAUUAAGAAAAUUAUUUGUGAAUAAUAAAUUUGAGAAGGCCAAAUGCCAAAAAAAAAAAAAAAAAAAAAAAAAAGCCUUUGAAAGAAUGAAGUUUUUUUCUCAAAGUUUUCUAAAAAGCGAUUCAUUAACUAGAACCGGUAAACAAGAGAACUUUUGCCAAUCAAGUUUAUAUGCAUCUAAUUCGCUCUCAUUCGGCUCGACUCGAUUUUUUUUCUUGGCUUAAUAAUAGCCUCCAAUUUUCCAUACAUGCACGCGACUAAAUCAACUUCCACCUAAUCUAUUAAACAAACACUUACGCUCUUAAUCAACGUAGACUUUGACCGCGUCCGACGUGGCAGGCGUGGACCCCGCACUGUUCUUUGACCAGAGUUCCAACCGGGUUAGCCUGUUGACUAAUUGCGGGCAGCGGGCAGCGGGCAGCUCGUGUUCUCAAGCUCUCACAAAAUCGAAAAAUUCUACACUGUUGUACUUGCACCACGCCAUCAAUAAUAAAUUUUUUUUUUAAAUAAAAAUAUAAUAAAUUUUUUUUUAUAAUUAUGAUAAAGUAUAUAUUUUUAAAAACAUAUUUAAUUAACUUGUUACGCGACGCCACCAAUAUAACGCUGUAUUCUUGAAUUUUGCCUCGAAACCCCACCACCUUACUCCGUCACUCGUAGUCGUCGAAUGAGUCUACCCAUUUUUUUAAAAAAAUAUUGUUGGAUUUUAAUACAAACCCCCCCCCCGCACCCCUUCCUUUAUUUAUUUAUUUAUUUAUUUAUUUUUGGUUUGGUUUCUUCUUCAGAGGUCGCGAUUGUGGAAUAUGUGAUCGUGGAAGGAGAACCCACGUGAGCUUUGAAUCUUCUUCGAAUCCAUCCAAUUUUGGAUUCGUAAUUGUUCGAAUUUCGAUCUGUACGAUGCUCGUGUCCGCGGAAAAUGGCGCGGGAUUUGGGUUUUUUUUUUUUUUUUUUUUUUUUUUUUCUUUCCUUUGGUUUCUCUGAGCUCGAUCGUCGUUAGGGUUUGAAUUUGAUAUCGGAGUUGUAGAAGUAGGGGCCGGAGCUGUAGAAAUGGCGAUCUCCACACGACAAGCGGUAGCGCCGUGGUUUCUGUGGCUUCUAUUGUUGUUUAAUCCCGUUGCUAGGGUUCUAGCGAACCCGGAAGGUAUUGGAUUCUACUUUGUUUUCUCGAUUUGGAUUAAGAUUUGAGCUUGGUAUUGGUGUUCUACUCGUUAGGUUGACCGAGGAGAGUAUUGAUAAGAGAAACUGUUUGAUUGAGUGACUGUUUGAAAGGGUUCUGAUUGGUUGUGAUUGUUCGAUAUAUUUCAGGUUCCUUGUUUAACCUAGCAGUUUGUGUUAGUAUAUUUCAAGCCCUGAGCUAUAAAUUUAGCUUUUUUUUUAUUUUUUUCAGUGACUUUGCAGCUUUAACAACUUUUAUGUAGAUUUUUUUUUCCCCCUCUUUUAUUUGUGCCGUAAUUUUAGUUACUUUUCCUGCUCUGAAAAGCUUUCUAGAUGUUAUAUUUUUGGCGAGACAAAUAUUUAUCUAGUCGAAACCAUGAUGUUAGGGUUAAGGAGUCAAUAGUGUGAAUUAAAAGUUGAAACUGGUUAAAGAAGCGCACAUCAGCGCUUGCAUAAUUAUUGACAUAAUUUUAUCUUCCAUUUGUUUGCUCAUGCUAAAUCCUUCUGUUCGCUUUUACAUGGCCGGAAUGCAUAUACACAUAGCUCUACACGAGCAGAUGGCUCACUUGAACAACCAUGCUCCAUCAAGAACCUAUUAUCUAAUCUCUUCUUUCAAAUAACUUUUUUAUGAGAUUUUCUUAUUUAGGAUAAUUUGGCUUUGUUCUCAAUGGGAACCUUUAAAGGUGUAAAUCAUUCUCAGUUUAUUAAUUUUUUUAUUAUCCCGAUUCCUAAUUGUGGCUCAAUCUGAUAUCAACAGGUGAUGCAUUAAGCAAAUUAAAGAACAAUUUGAACGAUCCUACUAAUGUACUGCAGAGUUGGGACCCAACGCUGGUCAAUCCGUGCACAUGGUUCCAUGUUACCUGUGAUAACGAUAAUAGUGUUAUCAGAGUGUGAGUGAACUCCUGUUAAUGCAAUUCAAUGUCAUUCUGGUAUUUGUUUACUUAAAUUUGUUGGAUUUACUGAUGAAAUAUUUUGAUUUCACUGCAGUGAUCUUGGAAAUGCACAGUUGUCUGGUACAUUGGUUCCUGAUCUCGGUGUACUAAAAAAUUUGCAAUAUCUGUGAGUUCUGUUCGGGAGUGCAUCAAAACUUCUAAAAGAUUUGUCAAACUUAGAUUAUCAGUUUAGUUGUUAAACAAAGUUGUUCCAUGUUGGUUUGAACUUCAAUAGUUUCAUUCUUUCAUCCAUUCUGAAUGAAUGGUGCUUUCUCUGGGGAUAAAAAGGAAAGCCAGUAUAGUUCUAGAGAUACUCUCAACAACAUAUGAUAAACACUAGAAACUACAUCAAAGCUGCUUGCAGCAAAACUGUACAGCACAAUCUUCUGUGUUGUAAUUCUUUUUAAAAAAAGUAUUUUAUCUUAGGUCCAUUCUAGAUUUUGUUAACAGUGUGGUGCUAUUGAAGCUAUUAACUAGUAAAUUAUGCCUUUAAUAGAAGUAUUUUUUUGACUGGCCCUUUCUGAGGUGCAGAGCUGAUCGAUAUUGAUCAUAAGUUUUAAUCUCUUGCAGAGAAGUUCUCAAUUGCCUAUUACUUAACCUUUAUCUUUCAUUCAGGGAACUCUACAGUAACAACAUUAGUGGGAGUAUUCCUUAUGAACUUGGGAAUCUGACAAAUUUGGUGAGCUUGGAUCUGUACAUGAACAAGUUCAGUGGCCCGAUUCCCCCUACAUUGGGGAACCUGAUGAAUCUACGUUUCCUGUAUGGAGUCUUCUUUUCUAUAUGCAGAUGAAAUUAAUUUGCUAUUUGCAUUUUUAAGGAUGGAUUUUAGUUGUGGUAGAAGGCAUACUACAUGGCAAUUUUGAACAGUAUAAUGGGAAAGUCUUGUUUAGCUUCUUAGAGACAAUACCCCAAUAUAAUUGAAGUUACAGCAAACUUGGCCGCCUCAGAGGUAAAGAUGUGACAAGCAAGAAAUGAAUAAUACAUAGAAUUUGAGGUUAACACUCUGUGAAAAUGCCCUGUUGUCUGAAAAAAGAAUUUUAGUUUUAUUUCGCUUAAAGCUUUGGUUUUAUACUUUCUUUCAGGCUAACUUCUUACCCUUAGCUUAAUAAUUUCUUUUUCUUUCACCUGAUGCAUCUGUCAAAGGAUAGUCGGCUCAACAACAAUAGCUUAUCUGGUCAAAUUCCUCAAUCUUUGACCAAUAUCACCACGCUUCAAGUUCUGUAAGUGAUUUCUGACUUUUGUACAAUGGUAACCUAAAAUCUCGUGAUUUCCCUACUUUAAUUAUGUGAUAAUCUUUAUCUUUAAAAUGCUCAGGGAUUUGUCAAACAACAAUCUAUCAGGACCUGUUCCUUCUACUGGAUCUUUCUUACUUUUCACCCCCAUAAGGUGUCUUUUCUAAUAAGCCUAUCAAUGUUUCAGGCUUUAUAAUAGUUGGUUAAUUUAAUUCACCCUGAGCUAUGUCUAUCAAAAACUGCAGUUUUCAAAACAACCCUAAUUUGUGUGGCCCGGGAACGACAAAACGUUGUCCUAAUGGCCCUCCAUUGCCUUCGCCGCCUCCAUUUGUUCCUCCAACACCGCCAUCAUCUCCAGGUUUUAUAUCUCAUACUUUCAAAACUUACCUCAUUGUGAUGACUGCCAAAAUUAGCCCUUUUUGUUCAUUACUACAUUUUUCCUCAUGAAACUUCCAGACGAGAAAUUCUCCUUUUCUUUGUCCUCUGUUGGAAUGGCUAGUUUACUCUGUAUAAAAAUCCUAUGCUUAUUUGAUAUAUUAUUUCCGCAUCAUGAUCACUUGGUUAUAGGAAAUGAUUGGUUUAAAUUUCUAUAGCUGGAGUUGAGCAUCAUAUUGAACAUAUUAAUUAGCUGUCAAUUCUAGUUCACAGGGAACACUUUUACAGGUUUAUAUCUUUUUUUUUUUUUUUCUAGACAAUGAAACCAGAUAUAAUAUAUUAAUUAUAAUUUAUAAAACACUCUUUAUGAUUCAUGUGCUUUUCCAAUGUUAUACACUAAUUAUAAUAACACUAAUUAUAAUUCAUGAACUACCCUUUCUGAUUCAUAAAUUUUUCUAAUGCUUUGCACUAAUGCUGAAUACCUGAUUUUCUCAUUAGAGUGCCAUAUGUCUUAAUCUCAUGCCUUUAGUGUAAACUUGAACAGGAAGCAGUGCCUCUACAACUGGGGCACUUGCUGGAGGAGUCGCUGCAGGCGCCGCUCUUUUGUUUGCUGCACCGGCUAUCGGGUUUGCAUGGUGGCGGCGCCGCAAGCCACAAGAGCAUUUCUUUGAUGUACCAGGUUAGUAAUCAUUAACUACGAAAUUCUACAGUAAAAAAACACCUUUUUAAUAUGAUGUAGAAAGGAAGGGUUUUUUAUGCAGCUGAAGAAGACCCAGAAGUCCAUUUGGGUCAGCUCAAAAGAUUUUCUCUGCGGGAAUUACAAGUCGCAACUGAUAACUUCAGCCCCAAGAACAUUUUGGGCAGAGGAGGUUUCGGAAAGGUGUACAAGGGCCGUCUUGCUGACGGUACGUUGGUGGCGGUAAAGAGGUUAAAAGAAGAGAGAACACCAGGUGGCGAGCUUCAGUUUCAAACAGAAGUUGAAAUGAUUAGCAUGGCAGUGCAUCGUAACCUGCUCCGCCUUCGUGGAUUCUGCAUGACGCCGACCGAACGGUUGCUUGUGUAUCCCUAUAUGGCUAAUGGAAGUGUUGCUUCAUGCUUAAGAGGUAACCCAAGCAUAUAGUGUUAGUAGUGGUACAUUUUUGAAGUAUUUCUGUUCGAUACUAACAUAUGGGGAACUAGGGUGCAUUGUUUUCUUCAUAUUAUCCUUUUUCCUCUUUCGACCAAUGUUUGAAUCAAAGGUUUUGGGUUUCUGGUUUUUGUGUUUCCAGUCUCUGAGGCAUAGCUUUUCCCUUGAAAUUUGGAUUUCAGAAUUUUUUUUUAAAAAAAAACCCAUAUCUGAUACUUAAACUUGGAUAAAGCUGUGGCAAGUUCUUGUCUAUCAACUUACUGUGUCUGCCUAGUAUUAACUAUAGCCCUGUCAUAUUUUAUUACUGCCAUGUGCAUUUCUCUAACUUUGGUAAGGAAGGGUUUGCUGGAAUUUGGGAAUUUCUGGUAAAACAUUUUUUUUUCAUAAAGAAAAGAAACUACACUUGUUUGCAGAGAGAUUACCUUCUCAGCCACCUCUAGAUUGGCCAACCCGACGACGGAUUGCUUUGGGAGCGGCGAGGGGGCUGUCGUACUUGCAUGAUCACUGUGACCCAAAAAUUAUCCACCGAGAUGUCAAAGCUGCAAAUAUAUUACUGGAUGAAGAGUUCGAGGCGGUUGUUGGGGACUUCGGCCUGGCUAAACUCAUGGACUACAAAGACACUCACGUGACAACCGCUGUUCGUGGAACGAUUGGACACAUCGCCCCUGAAUACUUGUCUACUGGAAAGUCAUCAGAAAAAACUGAUGUUUUUGGGUAUGGGAUCAUGCUUCUGGAACUCAUUACAGGGCAAAGGGCAUUUGAUCUUGCCAGGCUCGCGAAUGAUGAUGAUGUCAUGUUGCUUGACUGGGUAAGCUCCUCCCCUCUUUCCCCCUUCUUCUCCUGUGAACUAUAAUAUUUGGGCAUUCUACACGUAAUCACUACAAAAUCAUCUAUAGUUGCAUAUCAUAUGCCCCUGUAAAAAGCUAAUUUCAUAUAUCCCCUUGAAGUGCUGUUUCUCGUAAAAAAAUGCCCCUAUUUUAUGUUGGGCAAUUGUUCAUUUCAUGAGAAGUUGGUUUUCUACUGUAUGCAAAUCUGAUUUUCUGUUCUUUAUUUUGAUAGGUAAAAGCACUCCUUAAAGAAAAGAAGUUGGAAAUGUUGGUAGACCCGGACCUACAGAACAACUAUAUCGAUGUCGAAGUCGAGUCGCUUAUACAAGUCGCGCUGCUAUGUACACAGAGUUCGCCAAUGGAGCGGCCGAAGAUGUCGGAGGUGGUGAGAAUGCUUGAAGGAGAUGGUCUCGCAGAGAGAUGGGAGGAGUGGCAGAAAGUAGAAGUGGUACGACAAGAGAUGGAGAUGGACCCUCGUAAUCACAAUUCUGAGUGGAUAAUAGACUCCACCGACAACCUUCGUGCAGAUGAAUUAUCUGGCCCUAGAUGAUUAUGAUGCUGAUGCAAACAUGAAGAAGAGGAGAUUACCAGGAAAUGCCCAGCAAAAUGUUUAUACGAAUCUGUGGGAAUACUUAUAAACUGAUACAGUGGGAAUACUUAUUUUCUCUUUUCUUUUAAACUGAUACAGUGUUGAGUUUGCUUCUCGCAGGAGAUGCAUUUGGAGACUUUGACAGGGGUUACGAUAUGUAGAUUAUUUGUAUUAAUACCAGGUUUGUCGAUUAGGGAUUCACCAUUUUGAUUGUUCAUAAGGCGAAGGACCACAGCAGUGUGAAAUUCUCCUACUUUGUGUAAAAUGCAGUCAAAUUGGGAAUACGAUUACUUAUUUAUAGGCCAAAUCUUUUGAGGAAGCAGAUUUGUAUCAAAGAUUGAAUAACUCACAGCUUUGUACCAUUGUUUGUGAAUUACUUGUGACUUGUCCUCCAAUUAGUCAUUUAUUUACUCAUAAAUUAUCUGUUAUUCAUACAGUUGCUUAUAACAUAUAAUUGCUGCUCGGAUUUGUGUUUUCCCUCUUUUUCUGUGGUUGACUCUUCACAACAACAGUAACAACAAUAUCAGAUAUUAGUUAUUUGUUGAAGCAUUCUGAUUUUUAUUUAUUUAUUUAUUUUUUUUAUGGGGGACAAAAGUUCCUGGCAAGCAACAAGUAGCUGAAAAAUGAUGAAGUUCCACUUCUAUCUCACAUUGCGCCACUAUAAAUUCAAAAUCUAACUUUACAUCUGCUUUUUUUUUAACUGCAAGAACAAAGUAUCCAAGACUUCAUAAAUCUGUGAGCUUUGCGGGUGAGACCUAUCUUCGACAGCGAAUGCAUGGAAGAGCCCAUCGAUCUCUAUGGCGCUCUGGCCUGCAUUUUUCCUCGCCUUCUUCUGCCUCAUCAUCGUUCUUACCUCUGCCACGCCCUCCCACCUCUCUUUCGCAGCAUAAAUGUUGGCCAUGCCGACAUACGACACUCCAGUUUGAGGCCCCAGACUAAAAAGGCGGCUCGCUGCGUACUCGCCAAUUUCAAUUUCGCGAUGAGUUACCGAAGCACCCAACAAAGAACCCCACACACCUGCAUCUGGUUCAAGAGGCAUCCUUCUAAUGAAAUCCAGUGCCUCGCUCACUCUUCCUCGACGGCCAAGGAGAUCAAUGACACAAGCAUAGUGUUCUAACCUUGGAGCUAUGCCGUAAACUUCACUCAUGAGAUUGAAAUAGUCCCAUCCUUUCUCAAGCAAACCACCAUGAACGCAUGCUUGAAGAACCGCGAGAAAGGUUACACGAUUAGGCUUCAAUCCUUGUUCCACCAUGUGUGAGAAGAGAUCCAAAGCUUGCUCAAAUUCCCCAUUUAUGGCAUAACCCAUAACCAUGGUGGUCCAAGAUACUAUAGUUCUUCCGCUCAUUCUAUCAAAGAGCCUUCGAGCUUCACCGAUGCUACCACAUUUUGCAUACAUGUCGAUCAAUGCAUUGCUCACUAAUAUGUCGUCUUUGAACCCGUUAGUGAGCACGUAAUCAUGCAUAUGUUUACCGAGAUCGAGACCACCAACUUGGCUACAAGCAGAGAGAAGAGCAACGAUAGUGAGAGCAUCAGGCUUCUCCCCUGCAGCUUCCAUAGAAGAAAACAGAGCCAUUGCUUCAUUUAUAUCUCCUCUUUGCACAUAUCCGCUGAUCAAAGCAGUCCACGAAACACAAGUUUUUUUUGGCAUGUUAUUGAAACAAUACAACGCAGCUUCUAAAUCUCCACACUUCGAAUGUAAUGAUAUUAGAGUAUUCAUCACGGAGAUAUCGCAAUCCACACCUAGUUUGAUACCUAGCGAAUGAACAAGUUCGCCUUCUAAUAACGAGCCUGAAUUGGCGAACAAUGAGAGCAAGCUCAAAAUAGUGCUCAGGUCGGGCCUAAUACCGUCCCGAGCCAUUACAGAGAAGAGCAAAAUGGCUUCUUUUGAUAGGCAAAGACGAGCAUAACCCGCGAUCAUAGAAUUAUAAGACACGACCGACCUCAUUCCUGCAGCAAUCUCACUAAACACCGACUCCGAGGAGCUCAAAUCCUCGCAUUUGCAAUAAGCGGCAAUCAGAGUAUUCGCGACGGAAGCAUCAGCUUCGAAUCCUUGUGCUAUCGCCAAAGAGUGAACGGCUCUUAAAAAGCUCAGCUUUUCCUCACACCCGCACGAGCGCGCCAAGCUUAUAUAGGUAACCAAAUCGGGCGCAAUAUCCUCCAACCUCAUGCGGCGAAAGAGAAAGAGGGCUCUUCGGAGAGAAGAACCCAAUUGAGACACGCCCACGAUCACGGUGUUCCAAGCAACAACAUCUCUCUGGGGCAUUCCGUCGAGCACUUUCAACGCGACGUCCACCUCUCGGCUCUUCACAUACAAGUCGACCAGCGCUGCUCCGACGAAGAUGUCGUCGCAAAAUGGGGAUUUGGCGACGUGGGCGUGGGCGACCGCAGGAGCGGGAGCAUGCGGGAGCCCCGCAUAGGCUUUUAGGAGGAAGGGAAAGGUGAGGUUGUUGGGUCGGACUCCGUUCUGCUUCAUGCGGCGGUAGACGAGCACGGCUUCGCGGGGGAGGCCGUCGCGUACGGACGCUCGGAUGGCGGAGUUCCAGCACGCAACGGUCGAAGGAUUUGAAAUGCGGUUGAGGGCGCGAACGGUGGAGGGAGGGGUCAUGUCUCUGUAUCGUUGGUCUAAGAAUCCAUUGAUGGAGAGUGGGGGGAGUGAAUCGAAUAGAAUAAGAGAAGAGAACGGUUCUGAAAAAUUGUUGAUACAAAAAAUUCUAAUGAUACUCACAUAAACUCACAAAAAACCAAGUCAAAUUUGUCAUACUUCAUAUUUUUCAGUCAAUAGUAUAAUAGCGGAACUCAUGCCGUUCGGUAGCGUUUGAUUCGAAUAUAAAUAAGAACUAGUUAUUACAAAGAUAAAUACAAAUAUGAGAAUAAGAAAAAUAACGUUCGGAUAAAAAUUAGAUUAUUUUCGGGAAUAAAAAAAAUAGUCUUUGAAUAGAUAAUAUGGAAUAAGAAAAAUAGUGUUUGGAUAGAUAAUAUGGAAUAAGAAAAAUAGUGGGUAGUAAUAUAUAGAAAAUGGAGGUGUUGGUAGGGAUAGUUAUAUAUAUAAUAACCGAGAACUACUAUUCUCGGAUAAAAAAUUAGCAUUUGGAUAUAAAAAAGAGGAUAAGGGCCUAUUGAUGUUAAGUAGAAUUUUUUAUUAAAUUUUUAUCUAAUUUGGAUACUUUUAUAACUUAAAAACGUGCCACAUCGGCCGUUAAAAUAGUCAUUUUUGAGACCUUUUGAUCGCUUGGUAAAUGAUGUCAAAAAAUUAUAAAAUUUGGCUUCUAAAUAGUUCCAAUAGGGUAGAUUAUAUUUAACGGAGCUGAUCGUCGAAUCGGAUUUUCAAUUAUCGAAAACAACUUACAAGCACGAAAGUCUCCGUACUUUCGAAAGUACGGAAGACUUACUAUAUAUAUAUAUAUAUAUAUAUAGAAAAAUGUUACUAUACUAUUAAUAGCACAAGUCAUUGGUGCUAUUAGAUUUUCAAUGCUUGGAUUAAGAUAUAUGAGUUAAGAUGAUAAUGGCCCCUUAAAAUUGAGUGGGUGGUUAGUUAAAUAAUACGUUCUAUAAGAUGAAAACGAUUAAAAGAAUAAAUUUAACAACGAAAAAUUUGACAGCAAUAAGCAGUUAAGCACCACUCAUAUAAAUAUAUGUUUAUUUAUAUAUUCUAGAAAUGCCAACAUAUGGAAAAGAGUUUAUAGAUAUAAUAUAGAGAGAGAGCAAAAAAAGAAGCGCAAAUGUAAACGAUGAUAUUCUAAUAUAAUCCAAUCCAGGAGCCAAAUCAACUUAAACUAAUUUUUUGAUUUCAAAUUUGAAUUUGAAUUUUGAUCAUGGUGUGGGUGCCUGGCUGAGGUUCUCCCGGAGGAGGGGCGCGUCCCACUGCAUGGUCUGCAGGCAGAGCGCCGCCGUCUCCGCCAUCCAGUGGGCGGACCCGAGAUGCCAGCCGCGCCGGUGCACCAGCCUGAACUCCGGGGCGCGCUGCUCCCACUCGCCGCACUCCCGCACCACGCGCUCCGCCUCCGCCUCCUCCGCCGCGCCGCCGCCGAGCACCAGCCGCUUCGCCCCCGGGCUCUGCGCCGCCGCCGUGGCCGGUCGCCGCGGCACCGCCCCCGCCGUGGAGGCGGCGACGACGCGGCUCCGUAGCUCCUGCGUGGGGAGCAAGAAGAUGAGGCGCUCCUCGCCCAGCUCGACCAUGGCGCGGAGCGCCUCGCGCAGCGCCACGGCGUCGCGGAGGAGCGUCUCGGCGGGGCGCGCGGCGACGGGGAACGCCGACGCCCCCACCUCCACCACGCGCCACCCCGGGAACACCUGAGGGCUAUCCUCGCUCCGCAGCAUCGUCCGCAGCCACGUCCACGCUUCCCGCUCCCGCUCCGGCGCCUGCUCCUUCUCCUUCUCCUGCUCCAUCAUAAGUCUUUCACCCAUGCACGUAAACAAAAGCUCCAUGGAAAUAUAUUCAAAGUCGGCCGUUUACAUAGCGGCACAACCGUUAGUCUCUAAAAGCUUAUAUGCCUGAGUUAGAUUAUGAUUAGGAGCCAUAGUAAGUUUUAAGAUAUGCUCAGCUUUAAUAAUUUUAUUUUAUUAAAAAAAAAUCGUGGUGUUUUAGAUAAAGUAUAUUUAUAUAAUUUCAUGAUAAAAUUCUAAAGAGAUUUGAGAUAUGCGAGAUUUGAGAUGUGAUCUUACGAUUGGUAUUUAAAAGUGUGUUGUAUCAGAUAAAAAAAGGUUUUAUUUUGCAUGCCUUUAUGUUUAAAAAAGGAAAAAGAAAAAAGAGGGGGGCUUGGUGAUUUAUCUUGUAAUUUUUUGAUUUUGUAGGUAGAUUAUUAAUAAUAUAUCUACCUCUGUAAGCAAAAAAAAUCUGGGUUUCUAAUGCAUGUUUAGAUACCGCAAAAAAAAAAAAGAAAAAGGAGGGGGGUUAAUGUAGUAUAAUAUUACAAUAGGAUAUUUUAAAAAGAUUUGAUAAAUCUUAUUUAUUCAGAUCAUUUUCAUAAUAACAAAUUAUAGUUAGACAAGGAUUUAUAGUUUCGGAAAACACAGAAAACAAAAUGAGAAGCAGCAGGUACAGAGGAAGAGUACAGGGACUUUCUUGUUAAUAUAUACAUAUAGAAUUAGGCUGGAAUACUAGUGCUAUUAAGUUUUCUGCCCCUAGAUUAAAAGAUGUGCGGUUAGAAUGAUGUCAGUCCUCUAAGGUUGAGUGGGUGGUUAGUUGAAUAGUAUAAUCGAACGGACGAAAAUGAUAAAAAAGAUAAAUCUAACGGCAGAAAACUUGAUAGUACUAAAUGCUCUAUGCUAUAAAUAGUAUCCCAGUCGGACUCAUAUAUUUAUAUACUAUACUAUCGGGAGUAUAGAGAAUUUGAUACUUCCGACUUUUUGACCCUUAUGUUAAAAAUUAUUUGGUUAGGAUGAUUGCGGUCCCUCCAGUAUUGAGCGGUCCCCAUAUGAUAAUAGUAUCAAUUCAAAUAUUAAAAUUAAUUAAAAGGGUUGAUAUAAAGGAGAAAAAGUUAAAAGCACCAGAUCAUAUAUAGUCAUCUAUAUAUAUUAUAUAUAUAUAUAUAUAUAUAUAUAUAUAUAAUAUAUAUUAUAUUAAUAUAUAUAUAUAUAUAUAUAUAAUAUAUAUAGUGUGUGAGGGCUCUAUGCUUUUUGAGCAUGGAGCUUCCGUGCUUGCAGGUCGUUUUCGAUGUUGCGACUUCCGAAUUGUCCGAUCGCUCCGUUAACUUGAUCUCAGUAUUUGAAUACUUAGAAAAUAAAUUUAUGAUUUUCGUAUCUUUGCCUAAUGAUUGAAGGGGCUCAAAAUUUAAUAAUUUAAUGGCGUAGUGAGCCGUUUGUAAGUUUAACGGUGUAGAAAUAUUCAAAUCACGUGAAAUUUUGAUAGAAAAUUUUUUAUAUUAUAUAAAAUAAGAUCAAUAUCUUUGAUCAAAAUUUUAUGUCAUAUUAUUAUGUUUUAUAUAUGAUUUUUAUUUUCAGCCGUUGAUUUUGAACCCCUUUGUUCACUGGCAAAUAAUAUCGAAAAAUGCAUAAUUUAUUUUCUACGUACUUCAAAUACUCUAAAAUCAAAUUUAACGGAGCCGAUUGACGUCGAAUAAAGUCACAACAUGAAAAAUGACCUGGAAGCACGGAAAGCUCCGUGCUUCAGAAGCCAUAGUAGCCGCCUCAUCACUCACUCACUCAUCUCUCUCUCUCUCUCUCUCUCUCUCCUCUCUCUCCUCUCUCUCCUCUCUCGUCUCUCUCUCUCUCUCUCUCUAUAUAUAUUAUAUAUAUAUAUAUAUAGUAGGGUUGCUAUACUCUUCUGAGUAUAGAGCCCAUCGUACUCAUAAGUUGUUUUUCGAUGUUUGGCUUCCGAAUUAACAAUCCACACUGUUAAACAUUAUCUAGAGCAUUUGAAACUUUUAGAAAUAAAUUUCGUAAAUUUUUAAAAUCAUUAAAGUCCAUCAAGUGGAUAUAAAAUGAACGGUCAAAAUCGAACGACUGUCCUAAAAUGGAUAUCGGAUCCUUCAAUUAUAUCGCGGGUUAUUGAUUUUAUCUAGUAAUGAAUAGAAUUUUCUAUCAAAAAUUCAGCUAUUCCGAUUCUUUUACACUAUUAAACUAGCAAGUUAUCAAUACCGGCCGUUAAAAAUUGUCAAUUUUGUGAGCUAUUGAUCAUAAGGUAAAUGAUAUCGAAAAAUUAUAAAAUUUUAUUUCUAUGAGUUUUAAAUGCCUAAGAUAAUGUUUAACGGUCUGGAUCGUCGAUUCAGAAGCUCUAUUCAGUCGAAAACGACUUAUGAGUACGAAUGCGAUCGUACUCAUAAAGUAUGUAGCCGGCCAUAUAUAUAUAUAUAUAAGAGUUGGAUUUGGCUAUUAUUAAGUAGCAAAAUCUCAUGUUGCUACCAGUUUUUUGGCCUUUGGACAACUCUUUUCAUUAUUUCUAACAUUGGAUUAAAUACUAUAACCAAGUGGGGACCACUCAACGACCAUCAACUCUAACCGACUAAUAUCAUCCUGACCCUACAUUUUUCAUCAAAGGUUAAAAACUUGAUAGGAAAAAGAGCGUUUACUAUUAAUAGUAUUCCAGCCUAAUUCUCUCUCUCUCUCCUCUCUCUCUCAUCUCUCUCUCUCUCUCUCUCUCUUCUCUAUAUAUAAUAUAUAUAUAUAUAUAUAUAUAUAUUAUAGAGAUCGGCUACUAUACUUUUAUAAGUAUUCUGGCUCCUUUAUAUCAUAAGUUUUCGCCUUAGAUUUAUUUCACUGAUAUUUUCAUCCGUUAGAUCAUACUAUUCAACCAACUACCCACUCAACUCUAGGGGACCACUAUCAUUUUUAAAGUGGACCACCAUCAUCUAACCACACAUCCAUCAAUGCACGUUAAAAACUUUAUGAGUACAGAUGGGGCUAUGUCUCAUAAGAGUAUUAUACCCACAUAUAUUAACUAUAUUAUUAUAUAUAUAUAUAGUAUAUUAUAUCAUUAUAUGAGAGAGAGAGAGAAGAGGAAGAGAGAGAGAUGGAGAGAGAGAGAGAGAGAGGCUGGUAUGCUUAUGGAAGCAACGAGCUCUCCGGAUUCCAAGUGUUUUUCGAUGUCGGACUUUCGAAUGGGAUGAUUGCUCCGUUAGUUAAGUUGAUACUAGAGUAUUUGAAGUACCUAGAAUAAAAUUUUAUGAUUUUCGAUAUCUUUGUUCUAUGAUGCGAAAGGGUUCAAUCAAUAAUUGUUAAUGCCGUGUUGAAGGCCCCGGUUGCAAGUUAACGUGUAGAAAUAUCACAAAUCACAUGAAAUUUUGAUUAGAAAAAUUCUUUAUACCAUAUAACUACAAGAUUCAAUAAUCUUUGAUCUAAAAUUUUAUGUAUAUCAUAUAUUUUGUAGAUUUUUAUUUUAGCCGUUGAUUUUGAGCCACUUCGAUCACUAGAAUGAUAUCGCAAAAUGACAAAAUUUAUUUUCUGAUACUUCAAAUACUACUAGAUGCAAGUCUAACGAGCCGAUCGUCGAUUCGAUAAUGUCGAAAUCGAAAACAAAGUGGAAGCACGAGGCCUCCGUAUUCGCAAUAUAUAUAUAUAUAUAUAUAUGUAAAAGAAAAGGAAACGAAUUACUUGGUUCUAAUGCAGGUUAUUGAAAGAUAGAUAUAGAGAGCCUGAUGGACAAGCACACACAAACCUAACUUGAAAUUUGUGAUCUCUUAGCCCAGUAAAAAAAUGAGAGAUAUACACGAAUAGUUGGCAAAAGCUAGACUUGGUAAUUAUCAACUUCAAAAGAGAAAAGAAAAGACUUCAAAAAUCAAAUUUGAAAAUCUCCUUUAAAACUUUGGCUAGUCUACACAAGUAAAAAACUUCUAUAGACAUCCUAGAAAACUUGAAAAAUUACCUUAGAACUGGAGUCAUCUGAAGAAAUUUCUAUGUAUUCCAUUAUUUGUUAAUGAGAUAAUUCUCUCUCUCUUUCUCUCUCUCUCUCUUGUGUCUCUUAACUUAAACUUCCAUCUCUAUGUGUUAGUUUUGCGAUGCCAUAACCAUGAAUUUAAAGAUUCAAAAGAUUAAAAGGCAUUCAUUGUGAAGAUUUGGUUUAAGCCGCACCCUCUCAAUAUGUACUGAAAAUUUUUUGGCACCUUCUUUUUGCGGCUUCAAUAAGUUUCUUACUUUGACACUGUCUUGUUACUACGUAUGAAGCGAAAUAUACUGGUGGUGAAUCCACAACAGCAUAUAUCUUUCUCUCCUUAGACGUACCCUUCGAUGAGUGCCACGUGUUUUAGGCCACGCUUUCCAGUAAAGUGCUGACGUAAGCAGGCUCCAAAAAAGAAUGCCGAGUGAGAUACACUGAAACGUAAAAAAAUUACUGUAUCCAGAAUUAAAAAGUAGGAAGAAAAUAUUUGACAAUGACGCGGCAUUUCUCAGUGAAUUCAUUGCUACGGUUUGUCGGUUUAUCCACGUGUCACCUCGUUGCCCGUUUUAGUCGUCUAUCGCAUUCUCCACACGUAAAGCGCACCACUUAGUGCUUAUUAAGGAAGAUAUUAGUAAUAUUGGAUUGAUAAUUAUUAUCAAUUAACUUAUAUUUUUUGUGAUCUUGUUAUCAUCCUUAUUUAAGUAAAUAUGACUAUAGUUUGCUUCUGUAAUUUCAUUCUACGUUGGAGCGAGUUCGCAUUGCAAUUACAAGCAAAGUAUUAGCUGUGAUACGCAAUUUAUGCUUCUGUUAUCACAUAUUCUUCACUUAAUACAUUGUGUCUUAAUACUAUGCCAAGAGUAUGUCGAUGAAAAUACAAUAUUUUGUUUGUGCUGCAUAAUAUGAUUGGUGGAAAUAAUAAUGCACCUAAAACAAUAUAGAAGUUGUCAUAACGUGAACAAAAUUGGAUAAAAAAGGUAUCUUAUUUUUAAUAUAUAUAUAAUUAUAAAUCACAAUUAAGCCAAGCGGAUCCGUGGCGCAAUGGUAGCGCGUCUGACUCCAGAUCAGAAGGUUGCGUGUUCGAUUCACGUCGGGUUCAAAACCCCGAUCCCAAACGGAUCUUUUCUUUUUUCCCCUAAUUAUUUUAUUUUCCAUUUAUUUAAUUUUAACUGUGUAUACUACGCCGCCUUUUAAAUGUGUUGCUUUGAAGAUGCGGAUACUCUUAAGAAUAUAUUUUCAACAUGGUUCUUUUUUAGAUGUUUUUCAGUUUUGAUGAAAGUUGGGAGAAAAGUUUAUUACUAAACAUAAAUUAGAUUCGUUAACAGAUUCUUUUAAAUGAUUUGAUUAACCUCAACUGCUCAUGUUUUCCCAUAAUUUUCCCAACUUAUUUUUUUAGGACAAUUUAGCAGAAUCUGUAAAUAUCCAGGUAUACAACCUUGUAAAUUGUAUUCUUUGUAUCUGCCAAAAUUUCAAAAGAACACCAAGAAUCACAGUGGAAUAAUUUAUGAAACACUACGUAACAUGAUCCACUGUAAAUUUCCAUUUACAAUUCAGACAAGAACAUAGAAUCGACCUAGAAUUAAAACUUCACAUAUAAAUUUUUUUUUUUCUGAACACUAAAGAGCAGAAACAUAACAUUUUUGGAAUAUUUUCUUUCCAUGGGAACAAAUAUACACGGACGUAAAUAAUAGUACAGAUUUUGGGCUCUUCCGUUGAAUUUUCUGAUUUUAAACAUCAACCGAAGAGAAUCUAUGUACAAAGAAUAAUUCAACAUUUAGUAAGUUUCUCAGGCAGCUUCGUCGUCGUCGGUGUCGAGCUCAAGUCCUUCCGCGGCUAGAAGUUGAGUAAUGACCUUUUUCUUGUCCUCCUCCGCCUUUUUCCGCAUUAAAUCUCUCUUUUUCAGAACAAGAGUAUGCCUCCUCAAUGUACUGGAGAAGUACUCCAUCGACGCCUUCUUCUCCUUAGCCAAUAUCCUCUUCUCUUCCUCGGGAUCGAUCUGAAAUAGGAAAAAGAAGUGCAUGAUUUAAAUAAAUUUGAUUUUUUCUUUUUUAAUUCAUGGCACCUCAUAUGUAUGCAUCAAAAUAAAGAUAACAAAAUUAGUGGUUGUAAAAUUCCAUUAAAAGGAAUAUCAGGACAUCAUGACUCUCAGUGCUUAUGGUUCAACUACGCUCCAAAAAACCACUGAUGCGUCUAUGUACUCCAAUAAGACAACAAUCAGGUAAAGUAACAAAGCUACCAAUCAGAGAAACAUAGUGGACACAAGUAAAGGUGAAUAGAGCAAGUGAUAUAACACCUUUGAACGAGAGAGGCGGCGAGCACGGAGAUUCAUCUCACGCUGCUGUUGCUCAGCCCAGGCUGCAACGGCCAUAUCUCCCCGUUGAUCAAAAGCUUUUCGCUUUUUCAUUAGCCAUUCCAUCCAUGCCUGAGAAGCCUGAAAUAAACCAAAAAAUAAAUGAGAAAUUAGGUUUUUUACAAAGACAAAAAUUGGGGGAUCAGUUGAAAAAAAAAAGAAAAAAACAGAUGAAUGAAUGGCACUCUGGGAAUAGCUUAAAAAUAGAUGUGGUCUAUGCAGGGCAGUCAAAGAAUCGUAUCUACAUAUGCAGCAGUAAAUAUGAUUACAGAUUUUCACCAAUUUUUCAAUGCUGAUAGGAAUUCGUCAUUACAAGGCUUACAGAUGUCGAUGAAUUCACAACAAAAUAUAUAAUAUGAAACCCAGCUAUGUAAGAUACAAGAAAUUAACAUGUCAAUCAAUUACUAUAUUUUAAGAAUAAUUGACAUCAGUAAAAGAACAAGGACAAAAUAAAAAAACCUUCAGUGGAUUGACUCGGUGAUCUCUGUCAUAUUGCCUUCGCUUUUCCACAUCUAUCAAAAGCUCAUAAGCUGCUUGAAUUUUGAUAAAGCGAGCUUCAGCGGUUUCACCUUCCUCUAGAGAUCCCCUACCGUUAUACACUGCAGCAGCAGAACAAUCAGCCAAGCAUUAAACCUAUAGGGGGCAUACACUGAAAUAAGAAGAGUUUAAGUUUCUUAUGUUUGCUUUGAAAAAAGAAAACAGAGACAUCUCAGCGAAGGUAUGAGCUGAUGAGGAGAAAAGAUAUAUACAAUAUUACAGAAGAAUCAAGUUAGAAAUUCAAUUGCUUCCCAGUGCUCGAGCAAAACUAUUCAGUAUGCCAUACGAAGGCAUAUUGCCCUUGAAGAAAUUGAUUAGACAGCAUCAAUGUUUAUAUCGGCCUUACGUCUGAGCCUUUCAUAACAAAAUCUCAAGAAGAGGCAGUUGGUCUGAACAGAAACCUGGAAAAGGAUACUACUAGCCAGAAUACUGCACAUGGAAAUUGUAUCAGACAGCUAUGACAAAUAUGACAUUUCUUUCAUGCAUCCCAGUUACAAAUAAUUCCUCAACGCAAUUAUCAUAUGAAGAUAACUAUUAACUUCGUCAACAGCACGAAGCAGAUCAGUGGCUGAAAGAGUAAAAGAUGAUCUCAGAACUUGAAAACACAAUAUAAUAUGCUUCAAAAGAUAUAAUUAGACCAUUUUCACCCCAUCAUAAGAUGCACCAACAACUUAAUUUACACAAAACAAAAUUGUUCAGGAACAACAACACAAUUGCGAUUCAAAAUACUUUGACCCUUUUAAAGAAACUACGAGUUUAAUACUACGCUAGAAAUAGAAAUUAAUGAACAAUCCAGUAUGAAAAAUUCUCCAGAUCUGUAGGAUAAACAAACCAUCAGGGUGAUAAAACUUGGCCAAUCUCCUGUACGCAGAUUUUAUCUUCUCUUCAUCAGCAUCUCUUUCCAGCUCUACACACGGACAAAAAAAAAACUUACUUUUAGCUUCGAAGCAUUUCAAAGCUCGACAAAAAUCAAAAUUUGAUAUGUUGCCCUGCACUAAUUCGCAUAAUUGAGACUGAUAACACAAAAAUCCAUCACUGCAGAGGAUUACCGAGGGUAUCGUAGGGAGAUUUCUCCGAAUUCCAAUUGGAAACCCUCGUGAGAGUCCUCCUUUGGCCGGAUCUGGACGCAGUCGCCGCCCCUGUGAGAUCGAAGUCGAGGACGAAAGCGGAGUGCAGGUAAGAAGACGAGGUAGAGGGGGAAGGGAUCCGGACGUUAGGGUUUCGGGCGGAGGGUGCGAACCCUAGACGGGCGUAGCCGCGGUAGCAGUAGAUGAAGGAGGAGACGGCGCCGUGGGGGCGGGCAAUAGACCAUUUUCACCCCAUCCCGAUCGAAGGAGAGGAGGGGGAGAAGCGAGGGUUGCGGGGAAUUAGGGUUAGGGUUAGGGUUAGGGUUAGGGCUAGGAUCGAGGAAGAAGAAGAAGCGUCGGGUCGUGGAGGGAAGAGAUUCCGUGACGCGAGUGGAGAGCGGGGGAGAAUCGCGUUGCUGUUCGAGUGCCGAGCCACGUGGCAGUUGUUCGUUCGCUGGAAACAAGCCGCGGGUCUCGCUCGAAGUUUGGAUUCGGUUUCGGGGAGAGCGAACCCAACCCAAGUUCGGAGGUGAAUCAAAUUGAAUCAAACCGAAUAGAUAAUUGAUUCAGUGCGGUUCACUUGGAUUAAUAUGUAACAAGUUAUUAUUACUUAUUGCUUAUAUAAUAAUACGAGUCUGGUUACUGUACUAUUUAUAGUACCAAUUGCUUGGUGUUAUUGAGUUUUUCGCUAUUAAUUUCUACCUGUUCAAUAAUACUAUUCAACUAACUACCUAUUUAAUCAUAGAAGAUCACUAUUAUUCUAACUGCACAUCUCUUCAUUUAAAGAUUAAAAUCUAAUAUUAUUAAGUGUUUGAUAAUAUCGAUAGUAUGAUAGUCUAAUUCUAUAUAAUAUAUAUUUAUAUCGAAUGGAUUAUCCAAUGAAUUGAGUUAGAUAGAUCGCUUUGAGUCUCUUUGAUUCUGAUUUUAAUUUGAUAACACUCCUCUGUUGUUAACAUUCUGGCAAAAUUUGGUUGAGAACGAGAUUUAUUGCGACGAUGCCAAAUUUAUCUAAAAAUUAUAAUUUUAUUUACAAAUGAUCAAUGCAUAUUUUGUAAUCUUAUGUAUAAAAUUUGUGGAGCCAUUACGCCGCUCAUUAACGACGGAAUAAAUUGAAGCUAGUUUUUUCACUCAUUCGGAGCCGUAGAGAACCGCUCACAAACAAGCAAUACUUUCCAAAAGGUUUUUUUAUUUUUAUUUUUUUUCAAAUUUUCAAGUUAAAAUAUGUUAUUUGAUUCUAUGUAUACGAGCAAUUAUUAUAAUCACAACCUGGCCCGACGUUUUUCCUGGUCCGGGUCCAGGCGCACGAAUCUCCAGCACAGCUUUAAUAUUUGAUUUGAUCAUCAAAAUUAAAAUAUUUGGUUUCCACGUCAUGGUCUAAUAACGUCAAAAUCGUCGACUUUCGCCUCCGCUCCUCUCUCUCUCUCUCUCUCUCUCUACUCCGAUAGUCCGAUCACGAGCCCGAACGAACACACAAGCCCUAAUCCCGUUGAUCCUGUACGCCAUGUUCCUCCGCAGAGAGCUGUGGCGGAGGGGCACCCGAUCGGCGGCGGCGGAGGCGGAGCGCCUCAUCCUCCGCCGUGGCCUCGCCGGCGGCGCGCCGCCGGCGCCGCCGCCCUUCGACCACCAGCCGCGGCCCUACGCGGGGAUCUCCGGCGACGAGAUACUCCGCAAGAGGAAGACCUUUCUCGGACCGUCCCUCUUCUACUACUACCAAAACCCGGUGAUUAGUAGUACUCUCUCUCCCCUGUAGCUUGAGAUUGGAUGCUAGGGUUUUGAAUCCGCCGCUGCAUGGUCGGAUAUAAGUAGUUUAUCCGGAUGAAAGAGUUUGCAUUUCGAGUUAGUUGUGGAGAUUUUAAUUGAUCUGGUUGUGGGGAAACUAUUUGAUCAAAAAAGUUGGGCUUUUCGCUUUUCCUUCGCUUUUCCUUUUUUGGACAAAUGAGAUUUUUAUUAACCUAGGAAAACAGGUGAAACCUGUUACAGCAUAUUACUUAUUUGCUACAGAAGAAUCUCCAGAAGAAAAGGUUGAGUUUUUUAUUACUAGGAGAAGAUUUCCGUGGGAUUGCUUUCGAGUUUCAGCUUCAAUUUUUGUUUUGAGGGGUUAAGACCAACUGAGUAAUCUGAAUCUAGAACUCUGAAUCAUAUGUUGCUUUAUUUGAUUUGUUCAGAAGAUAUCAUCAUAUUUUGUAAGAUUUUUAUUUUUAGCCGUUGAUUUUGAGCCACUUCGAUCACUAGGCAAAUGAUAUCGAAAAAUCACAAAAUUUAUUUUCUAGAUACUUCAAAUACUCUAGAUCAAGUCUAACGGAGCCGAUCGUCGAUUCGAAAGUCCGAACAUCGAAAACAAAGUGGAAGCACGGAGCCCUCCGUACUUCCAUAAGCAUCCUAGCCGCACUCUAUAUAUAUAUAUAUAUAUGUAAAAGAAAAGGAAACGAAUUACUUGGUUCUAAUGCAGGUUAUUGAAAGAUAGAUAUAGAGAGCCUGAUGGACAAGCACACACAAACCUAACUUGAAAUUUGUGAUCUCUUAGCCCAGUAAAAAAUGGAGAGAUGUACACGAAUAGUUGGCAAAAGCUAGACUUGGUAAUUAUCAACAAAAGAGAAAAAAAAAGACUUCAAAAAUCAAAUUUGAAAAUCUCCUUUAAAACUUUGGCUAGUCUACACAAGUUAAAAACUUCUAUAGACAUCCUAGAAAACUUGAAAUAUUACCUUAGAACUGGAGUCAUCUGAAGAAAUUUCUAUGUAUUCCAUUAUUUGUUAAUGAGAUAAUUCUCUCUCUCUUUCUCUCUCUCUCUCUCUCUCUCUCUCUUGUGUCUCUCAACUUAAACUUCCAUCUCUAUGUGUUAGUUUUGCGAUGCCAUAACCAUGAAUUUAAAGAUUCAAAAGAUUAAAAGGCAUUCAUUGUGAAGAUUUGAUUUAAGCCGCACCCUCUCAAUAUGUACUGAAAAUUUUUUGGCACCUUCUUUUUGCGGCUUCAAUAAGUUUCUUACUUUGACACUGUCUUGUUACUACGUAUGAAGCAAAAUAUACUGAUGGUGAAUCCACAACAGCAUAUAUCUUUCUCUCCUUAGACGUACCCUUCGAUGAGUGCCACGUGUUUUAGGCCAUGCUUUCCAGUAAGAUGAUGACGUAAGCAGGCUCCAAAAAAGAAUGCCGAGUGAGAUACACUGAAACGUAAAAAUAUUACUGUAUCGAGAAUUAAAAAGUAGGAAGAAAAUAUUUGACUAUGAUGCGGCAUUUCUCAGUGAAUUCAUUGCUACGGUUUGUCGGUUUAUCCACGUGUCACCUCGUUGCCCGUUUUAGUCGUCUAUCGCAUUCUCCACACGUAAAGCGCACCACUUAGUGCUUAUUAAGGAAGAUAUUAGUAAUAUUCGAUUGAUAAUUAUUAUCAAUUAACUUAUAUUUUUUGUGAUCUUGUUAUCAUCCUUAUUUAAGUAAACAUGACUAUAGUUUGCUUAUGUAAUUUCAUUCUACGUUGAAGCUAGUUCGCAUUGCAAUUACAAGCAAAGUAUUAGCUAUGAUACGCAAUUUAUGCUUCUGUUAUCACAUAUUCUUCACUUCCUCAAUACAUUGUGUCUUAAUACUAUCCCAAGAGUAAGAUGAUACGAUGUUGUCGAUGAAAAUACAAUUUUUUGUUUGUGCUGCAUAAUAUGAUUGGUGGAAAUAAUAAUGCACCUAAAACAAUAUAGAAGUUGUCAUAAGGUGAACAAAAUUGGGAAAAAAAGGUAUCUUAUUUUUAAUAUAUAUAUAUAAUUAUAAAUCACAGUUAAGCCAAGUGGAUCCGUGGCGCAAUGGUAACGCGUCUGACUCCAGAUCAGAAGGUUGCGUGUUCGAUUCACGUCGGGUUCAAAACCCCGAUCCCAAACGGAUCUUUUUUUUUUCCCCUAAUUAUUUUAUUUUCCAUUUAUUUAAUUUUAACUGUAUAUAUACUACGCCAGUAACGCCGCCUUUUAAAUGUGUUGCUUUGAUGAUGCGGAUACUUUUAAGAAUAUAUUUUCAACAUGGUUCUUUUUUAGAUGUUUUUUAGUUUUGAUGAAAGUUGGGAGAAAGUUUUAUUACUAAACAUGAAUUAGAUUCGUUAACAGAUUCUUUUAAAUGUUUGAUUAAUCUCAACUGCUCAUGUUUUCCCAUAAUUUUCCCAACUUAUUUUGUUAGGACAAAUGUUUAGAGCACAAUUUAGCAGAAUCUGUAAAUAUCCAGGUAUACAACCUUGUAAAUUGUAUUCUUUGUAUCUGCCAAAAUUUCAAAAGAACACCAAGAAGCACAGUGGAAUAAUUUAUGAAACACUAAUCGCACUAAGUAACAUGAUCCCCUGUAAAUUUCCAUUUACAAUUUGGACAAGAAAAUAGAAUCGACGUCGAAUAAAACUUCACAUAAAAUUAAAAAAUUCUUCUGACAUUAAAGAGCAGAAACAUAACAUUUUUGGAAUAUUUUCUUUCCAUCGGAACAAAUAUACACCGACGUAAAUAAUAAUAAUACAGAUUUGGGCUCUUCUGUUGAAUUUUCUGAUUUUAAACAUCAACCGAAGAGAAUUUCUAUGUACAAAGAAUAAUUCAACAUUUAGUAAAUAUCUCAGGCAGCUUCGUCGUCGUCGGUGUCGAGCUCAAGUCCUUCUGCGGCUAGAAGUUGAGUAAUGACCUUUUUCUUGUCCUCCUCCGCCUUUUUCCGCAUUAAAUCUCUCUUUUUCAAAACAAGAGUAUGCCUCCUCAAUGUACUGGAGAAGUACUCCAUCGAUGCCUUCUUCUCCUUGGCCAAUAUCCUCUUCUCUUCCUCGGGAUCGAUCUGAAAUAGGAAAAAGAAGUGCAUGAUUUAAAUAAAUUUGAUUUUUUCUUUUUUAAUUCAUGGCACCUCAUAUGUAUGCAUCAAAAUAAAGAUAACAAAAUUAGUGGUUAUAAAAUUUUCAUUAAAAGGAAUAUCAGGACAUCACGACUCUCAGUGCUUGUGGUUCAACUAUGCUCUAAUAAACCACUGAUGCAUCUACGUACUCCAAUAAGACAACAAUCAGGUAAAGUAAUAAAACUACGAAUCAAAGAAGCAUAGUGGACACAAGGCGAAUAGAGCAAGUAAUAUAACACCUUUGAACGAGAGAGGCGGCGAGCACGGAGAUUCAUCUCACGCUGCUGUUGCUCAGCCCAGGCCGCAAUAGCCAUAUCUCCCCGUUGAUCAAAAGCUUUUCGCUUUUUCAUUAACCAUUCCAUCCAUGCCUGAGAAGCCUGAAAUAAACCAAAAAAUAAAUGAGAAAUUAGGUUUUUUACAAAGACAAAAAUUGGGGGAUCAGUUGAAAAAAAAAAAGAAAAACAGAUGAAUGAAUGGCUCUCUGGGAAUAGCUUAAAAAGAGAUGUGGUCUAUGCAGGGCAGUCAAAGAAUCAUAUCUACAUAUGCAAUAGCAAAUAUGAUUACAGAUUUUCACCAAUUUUCCAAUGCUGAUAGGAAUUCGUCAUUACAAGGCUUACAGACGUCGAGGAAUUCACGACAAAAUAUAUAAAUAUGAAACCCAGCUAUGUAAGAUACAAGAAAUUAACAUGUCAAACAAUUACUAUAUUUUAAGAUUAAUUGACAUCAGUAAAAGACCAAGGACAAAAUAAAAAUACCUUCAGUGGAUUGACUCGGUGAUCUCUGUCAUAUUGCCUUCGCUUUUCCACAUCUAUCAAAAGCUCAUAAGCUGCUUGAAUUUUGAUAAAGCGAGCUUCAGCGGUUUCACCUUCCUCUAGAGAUCCCCUACCGUUAUACACUGCAGCAGCAGAACAAUCAGCCAAGCAUUAAACCUAUAGGGGGCAUACACCGAAAUAAGAAGAGUUUAAGUUUCUUAUGUUUUCUUUGAAAAAAGAAAACAGAGACAUCUCAGCGAAGGUAUGAGCUGAUGAGGAGAAAAGAUAUAUACAAUAUUACAGAAGAAUCAAGUUAGAAAUUCAAUUGCUUCCCAGUGCUCGAGCAAAACUUUUCAGUAUGCCAUACGAAGGCAUAUUGCCCUUGAAGAAAUUGAUUAGACAGCAUCAAUGUUUAUAUCGGUCUUACGACUGAGUCUUUCAUAACAAAAUCUCAAGAAGAGGCAGUUGGCCCGAAUAGAAACCUGGAAAAGGAUACUACUAGCCAGAAUACUGCACAUGGAAAUUGUAUCAGACAGCUAUGACAAAUAUGACAUUUCUUUCAUUCAUCCCAGUUACAAAUAAUUCCUCAACGCAAUUAUCAUAUGAAGAUAACUAUUAACUUCGUCAACAGCACGAAGCAGAUCAGUGGCUGAAAGAGUAAAAGAUGAUCUCAGAACUUGAAAACACAAUAUAAUAUGCUUCAAAAGAUAUAAUUAGACCAUUUUCACCCCAUCAUAAGAUGCACCAACAACUUAAUUUACACAAAAAAAAAUUGUUCAGGAACAACAACACAAUAGCGAUUCAAAAUACUUUGAUCCUUUUAAAGAAACUACGAGUUUAAUACUACGCUAGAAAUAGAAAUUAAUGAACAAUCCAAUAUGAAAAAUUCUCCAGAUCUGAAGGAUAGAGAUAGAACAAACCAUCAGGGUGAUAAAACUUGGCCAAUCUCCUGUACGCAGAUUUUAUCUUCUCUUCAUCAGCAUCUCUUUCCAGCUCUACACACGGACAAAAAAAAAACUUACUUUUAGCUUCGAAGCAUUUCAAAGCUCGACAAAAAUCAAAAUUUGAUAUGUUGCCCUGCACUAAUUCGCAUAAUUGAGACUGAUAACACAAAAAUCCAUCACUGCAGAGGAUUACCGAGGGUCUCGUAGGGAGAUUUCUCCGAAUUCCAAUUGGAAACCCUCGUGAGAGUCCUCCUUUGGCCGGAUCUGGACGCAGUCGCCGCCCCCGUGAGAUCGAAGUCGAGGACGAAAGCAGAGUGCAGGUAAGAAGACGAGGUAGAGGGGGAGGGGAUCCGGACGUUAGGGUUUCGGGCGGAGGGUGCGAACCCUAGACGGGCGUAGCCGCGGUAGCAGUAGAUGAAGGAGGAGACGGCGCUGUGGGGGCGGGCAAUCGAUCUCAAGGUGCUCAUCCCGAUCGAAGGAGAGGAGGGGGAGAAGCGAGGGUUGCGGGGAAUUAGGGUUAGGGCUAGGAUCGAGGAAGAAGAAGCAGCGUCGGGUCGUGGAGGGAAGAGAUUCCGUGACGCGAGUGGAGAGCGGGGGAGAAUCGCGGGGCUGUUCGAGUGCCGAGCCACGUGGCAGUUGUUCGUUCGCUGGAAACAAGCCGCGGGUCUCGCUCGAAGUUUGGAUUCGGUUUCGGGGAGAGCGAACCCAACCCAAGUUCGGAGGUGAAUCAAAUUGAAUCAAACCGAAUAGAUAAUUGAUUCAGUGCGGUUCACUUGGAUUAAUAUGUAACAAGUUAUUAUUAUUUAUAUAAUAUAAUAAUACGAGUCUGGUUACUAUACUAUUUAUAAUACCAAUUGCUUUGUGUUAUCGAGUUUUUCACUAUUAAUUUCUACCUGUUCAAUAAUACUAUUCAACUAACUAUCUAUUCAAUCAUAGAAGAUCAUUAUUAUUCUAACUGCACAUCUCUUCAUUUAAAGAUUAAAAUCUAAUAUUAUUAAGCAUUUGAUACUAUCGGUAGUAUGAUAGUCUAAUUCUAUAUAAUGUAUAUUUAUAUCGAAUGGAUUAUCCAAUGAAUUGAGUUAGAUAGAUCGCUUUGAGUCUCUUUGAUUCUGAUUUUAAUUUGAUAACACUCCUCUCUUAUUAACAUUCUGGCAAAAUUUGGUUGAGAACGAGAUUUAUUGCGACGAUGCCAAAUUUAUCUAAAAAUUAUAAUUUUAUUUACAAAUGAUCAAUGCAUAUUUUGUAAUCUUAUGUAUAAAAUUUGUGGAGCCAUUACGCCGCUCAUUAACGACAGAAUAAAUUGAAGCUAGUUUUUUCACUCAUUGGGAGCUGUAGAGAAUCGCUCACAAACAAGCAAUACUUUCCAAAAGUAUUUUUUAUUUUUAUUUUUUUCAAAUUUUCAAGUUAAAAUAAAAUAUGUUAUUUGAUUCUAUGUAUACGAGCAAUUAUUAUAAUCACAACCUGGCCCGACGUUUUUCCUGGUCCGGGUCCAGGCGCACGAAUCUCCAGCACAGCUUUAAUAUUUGAUUUGAUCAUCAAAAUUAAAAUAUUUGGUUUCCACGUCAUGGUCUAAUAACGUCAAAAUCGUCGACUUUCGCCUCCGCUCCUCUCUCUCUCUCUCUCUCUCUCUCUACUCCGAUAGUCCGAUCACGAGCACGAACGAACACACAAGCCCUAAUCCCGUUGAUCCUGUACGCCAUGUUCCUCCGCAGAGAGCUGUGGCGGAGGGGCACCCGAUCGGCGGCGGCGGAGGCGGAGCGCCUCAUCCUACGCGGGGAUCUCCGGCGACGAGAUACUCCGCAAGAGGAAGACCUUUCUCGGACCGUCCCUCUUCUACUACUACCAAAACCCG
rnacentral:lncRNA from 1 species